rnacentral:lncRNA from 1 species
GCGGUGGAGGUGGUGGUUGGUAGUUGGAGAGUUGGUAGAGUUGAUUGCCCAGAUUUUUGUUAGCAAUUGAUUGGAUCUGGUGGUAAAAAUUUUAGCAGUAGCAAUGAUAGUGAUGGAGUCAUGGUGGUGGUGACAGUAGAGGUGGUAGUGGUAUGUGACCCACUGUUUGACCCGUGACCAAUGUGACCUUAAAAUUUGAUAAAUGUGACCAACAAAUUCGAAAAUAUGUGACUAAUAGAUAAUCUGUGACUUAUAAUUUUUUAAUCUGCGACCAAUGAUGAAAACCGUGACUUAUAAAUUUUUUGAUUUGCAAUCUCGAAAUAAUCUGUAACCAAAAAAAUUUUUGAUUUGCGACCACGAAAAAAUCCGUGACCUAUAAUUGGAGAUUUGUGACCAUAAUUGUAUAACUGUGACUUUUAUUAUAUUUAAAUAUUAAAUAUUUUUAAUUAAUUACAUAAAAAACUGAUUUUUACAUAAUUAAAUUUAACCACUUUAAUUUCGAAGUGUGCAUACUUAAAAAUGGUUGGGAAAAUUAGGCCCAAUAUCCUCCUAAACUAACUAAAUUGAAUAAUACCUGCUUAAAACUAAUUAAACCAUUCAACCGUAAUUAAUACGUCCUAGAUCUAUAGCCACCUCUCCUUCAUUUUCAUUUUCACCUUCGUCUCCACAGUUACAUAUAGAUCCAACCACAAGUAAUAGCUAAUCUUCCAAAUACCUAUGCAAUAAUCCCACCUUAGUUCCUGCAUCUCCACGGCAAAAUUCCUCCUUCUUCCGUAGCCGUCGUCAACGUUAGAGGUGGCAUAUGCGAAAACAUAUUUCCAAAUAGCAAAUAAAGGGGCGGCCCAUUGCACAGAGCAAAGGGAGGAGAAAAUGGCUGCAAAGAAUAAAAAAUGAAUAUCUCCUGCCAUGAUUAAUCGAAGAUGUGGAGCAUUUCGAUGAAUGGAAUAGAUGUUUAAUUGAGUGGUUGGAAUUCCAAUACCCCUUCGCUUCAGAUCUGCAAUGGUGACUUGAAGCAGUAUGAAGGGAAGCGAACAAAGGAGAAGAUUAUUAAAUUUAUUCAGAAAAAUAGAGAUUACUUUGCUCAAGUUGCCUCGGUGCGGUGAUUAAUUGGAGUCACCGACGGUAAAUUGGGUUUUAGUCGGUUGGGUGAUUAAUUGGGGUACCCAACAAAUUUGCUUUGCCUUGGGGAAGACAAUGGGAGUGCAGCAAUUUUGAGUUGGUGAAGUUGGAGUUGAUUUUGAAGUUUCAAUUUUAAUACUGUAUGCUAUGUUGUGAGUUCAAUUUACAUAUUGAACUUUGAAGUUUAGGACCCAUUUUUUCACUUUACUCAUAAGGCAUGGAUAGGUAAAUUUGAGAAAUAAUGAUGAAGUUACUGAAUUAAAGAAUUCAUUUUUAACAAGAGUAAAAUAAGUGAAUUUUACUUGUGGGAAAUAUAAAUUGCUACCAUUGAGUUUGGGAGUUCCUAUGGUGGCAAUGGCACAAUGUUUCAAUGGUAUCAAAGCACAAAUGCAAAAAACUCUGUCACUUUUUUUAAAUUUGUGUCACCUUUUUUGUUACAUUUUUUAGUCACUUAAUUUGAAUUUUGUUACGUUUUGAGCGUUUGUCACUUUUUUUAAUGUCACUUUUUUGAAUUUUUGUAAUUUUUUUUUAGUAAUUGUCACUUUUUUUUUAAUUUUUGUCACUUUUUUUAGUGUUUGUCACCUUUUUCAAUCAACUUCUUGAUUUCUAUUAUUGUUUUUAGUGACAAACAUCAUUUUUUUAAUAAAAGUGACAUUGUAUGUCAUUUUUUAAUAAAAAAAAGUUACACAAUAUCACCUUUAAAAAAAAAGUGGCAAUUUUUAUAAUAAUAAAAAAAAGUGACGUUAUGUCACUUUUUAAUAUUACAAAAUAUUUUUUACUUUCAAAAAAUUUUUCAUAUGAUUUUUCAAAAGACCCCUAAUUUUGAGGGUAUUUUUGUAAGUUGCCCAAAAUGGUUUGUGAAUUCUUCCCUUAUAAUAGUGGGUCUAUGUGUUUCCGGCCCAAUCUCCAGAUUCAAUUUCGAUUUCGUUAUUGGGCUCAGUCUUCACCGAAACAGAAGUAUUUAAAACCCAGAGCAUUUCUUAGGGUUUCAACUUGAUCCGUCAUUCGUUCGCCUUAUUGGAAUUUCCUUAGCACUAAGCAGCGGGGAGGCAGCACCACCGUCGACAGCGGGGGCGACUUAACUACACAGAAGUAACAAAAUGGUUUGUUUUUGCUCUUCUUUUUAACCUCUACGAUUUCCAUGUCGAUCAUUUGAAUACAAUUUUUGUUGUUUAAUAGUGGAACGCGUUAACUUUUGAGAAUGAACUGGUGCAUGCAAGUUGUGUAAUUUUUCAGAGUUGAUGUUUUUAUCCUCUAUUAAUGUUAGAAAAAUAUAUUUAUCUUUAUGGAAAGCUACAUUUUGAUGCACCUCUUUUUCAUUUUGUGUUAAUUAAGGCCUUUGAAGAUUAGAACAGUUGUUUUUUAGAAACUAUGAAAGAGUAGAGGUAAUAUGGAAAUCCGUUAAGAGAGGAAUCUGAUAUUUAAAAAAUUUCUGGUUAGGAUUUUUUUUCCUUUUUUUUUUGAAAUAUGCACUGCAGCAAUGUCCAUUAUCGUAUUCGUUGGGUGCUUUACAUGGUUUGUCAAAUAUGGUGAGGCGUUAUAUCUGUGUGUUGCUAUUUAGAUUAGAAUUUUGGUGUAAAAUGAAUCUUGGAAGAUGAACUGAGUCACGGGGCUUAAUAUAUUAUAUCUUCUUGGGUGAAAACUUUGAAAUCAUACAUGAACAAGUUUCAUUUUCGUACAUAUGUUUUGGAGAUGCAAAGAGCUGAUUGUAAGGCGGUUGAUAUUUUGUGUCCAACUUGUUCAGUGGUCAUGGUACUGGAAAGUUGACUUGGAAUUCAGACCUUUGAUUGCUGAGUUUUUAUUUUUAUCUGUACAGGCAAGAGGAUUGAAGAAACAUUUGAAGAGACUCAAUGCCCCAAAGCAUUGGAUGCUUGACAAGCUUGGUGGAGCAUUUGUAAGUGAAUAAUUGUGUAGCCAUGUGUUAUUUCUUGUUCUGGUAUAGUUUCCUUAUCUAUUAUCUGAUGUAGGCUCCCAAGCCAUCAUCUGGGCCACAUAAAUCAAGGGAGUGCUUGCCGUUGAUCCUCAUUAUGCGAAACAGGUUGAAGUAUGCUCUGACAUACCGUGAAGUCAUUGCCAUUUUAAUGCAACGACAUGUUUUGGUCGAUGGAAAGGUUCGAACAGAUAAGACUUAUCCUGCUGGCUUCAUGGGUAUGUGUCAUUUCUGUCUUCCUUUCCUUAACCUCUAUUUUAAUACUGGUUACAUAAUGGCUGUAAAAUUGUGCAAGAGUGAGUUUCUUGUCAUAAUAAUAUUGUUAAGUAGAAACUUAUGAUCCCUGUUGUGGUAAUUGAUGCCUUUCAUGUCCAGAUGUUGUCUCAAUUCCAAAGACAAAUGAGAACUUCCGUCUCCUCUAUGACACUAAGGGAAGAUUUCGGCUCCAUUCAGUCAGGGAUGAGGAGGCAAAGGUUUGUUUCUGUGUCUUUAUUUUACUUUUAGGUUCGCUUGAGAAAUAUUGUUAUUUCCCAGAUGUUUAUUUUAGAAUUCUGAGCUUUCCUUCCUCACUGCUAUUAGAGAUUCAGAUGUUCUCACCAUAAUUUGUGAUUGAAUAAUUUCUUCAUGGAUGACUAAUUUUUUCCGUAUAACUAUGAAAUCGAUUAUUCCAUGUUGGGGUUAUCGUUAUAAUAAUCUCUUCUUAUUGAUGGUAAUAUUUGCUGGGUCUGAUGCAAUGUUUUCUACAUCUGUCCAGUUUAAGCUUUGCAAGGUUCGAUCUGUCCAGUUUGGGAAGAAGGGAAUCCCAUACCUCAACACUUACGAUGGCAGAACCAUCCGUUAUCCAGAUCCUCUCAUAAAGGCCAAUGAUACCAUCAAGUUGGAUUUGGAGUCCAACAAGAUUGUUGAUUUUAUCAAAUUUGAUGUUGGAAAUGUGAUCAUGGUCACUGGUGGAAGAAACAGGGGGCGUGUUGGAGUCAUUAAGAACAGGGAAAAGCACAAGGGUAGCUUUGAGACCAUUCACGUUCAGGAUGCAAUUGGGCAUGAGUUUGCUACUCGUCUAGGAAAUGUUUUCACCAUUGGUAAAGGUACUAAACCAUGGGUAUCCCUCCCAAAGGGAAAAGGUAUCAAAUUGUCCAUCAUUGAAGAGGCACGGAAGAGGCUUGCUGCCCAAUCGGCUACAACUGCUUGAAAUAUCGUUUUGUUGCAUCUCAACCUGGGACAGGAUAGAUUGAAUUUUCAUAUUUUAUGUUUCUUUUUUCUUUUUUUUUUCCCUCGAGCAGUAGUUUCCCUGUUUUCAGAACAUCAGUUCGAGUUUUAAUGCUUUCUGUGCUAUCGUUUGGUUGACUAAUGGAUUGGAUGAUAAUCUCUGUUUUGCCUGUAUUAUUUACUUAUCUAUUUCUAGCUAGAAAUAAUGCAUUUAUAGAACGGUUCAUUAGUUGCAGAAUGCUUUAAGUUUGCAUGCGUUUUUCACAAUUCAAAAGCUACAUUUACCUCUCAGAAUGAUUUCUCUGUGGUUUUAGAGAAAUGGUUUUUGUAUUUUGGAUUUUGAAGAUGGACCAUCUUUGUCUGAAAUCUCUAGGAGCGGACAUAUUUAGCUGCUAGUGAUGAGGACUUUUACUUCUUAGCUUUCACAGAGGGGUUGUAACUCCAGAGAUUUUGAUUCUGAUAAUAUUGUGGUCCUGAGAUUGUUGAUAGCGUGAUUAUAGGGCUCCAAAGCAUUGAAAUGGAGCGUUUUUACCCAUUUUACUCCUACAGUAAAAAGCCUGUUCUUCACUAGAGCUGUUUCUACUGCUGAAUUUUUAGUGCUUCUAUGACUUGAUAUAUCGACCUACAAGAAAUGAAAAUGGAAAUUAUUAUUGCAAAUAGUCAAGAACUCUAGAGAGGGUUACCUUUAUUUAUCUUGUCGCUUUAUUCAUUACAAGGUGGUUAAUCUAUUCACCCUUAGACUUGUCAUUUUGGGACUAACCUGCAAACAAUGGGCACCCUUAGAUACAUGGUGAUGUACUCUUUCUCAUCGAACCCUUGUUGCCCCUCUCGGAUAGACAUAAUUGGUACACUAAUUCUUUGAUUUGGGUUCACCACUUCCUUCUUCCCGCUUGUAGGUUUACUUCUUAGGCCCUACCUAGAGCAACCAUAGCCAUCUUGUAUCAACCCUUUCUGCCAAAUCCUCGCUUCUAUGGGCCAAAUCACGCUCCUCGGGAGUUAUCUCCUUGACUACACCCCUAAUUCUGAGCUUCAUGUUACUCCUGCCAAGUGAUUCGCUCGUAACGAAACCGUUGUUAAUGCUUGUAGCUUGCGUGUACGAGGGUAAAUAAUGCCGACCCCUAGCACCAUUGUUGUUGGACUGAUUUGUAAAGCAAAGAAAGAACCCAUUUAGGCCCUCUAAUAACUCCCUUAUUGAGCGUGAUUAUAGGGAUUGAGAAGAUUAUUUAGGGAUUUAGCUAUAAUUGUGAAAUUAUUCCCUUUAUCAAUUAUUUUUACCCUAGAUUAAUUUAUUUCCAUGCAUAGCAAGAUAUGGAUGUAAUAUAUACACCAUUGUAUUGCGUAUUGAAUUAAUAAGAAUUACUUCAUUCCAUAGGAAACUUAACAUGGUAUCAGAGCGGGUUCAAUCUUGAAGAAAUCGAUCAUUGAAUUCCGUUUUCGACAGCAGCCUUGGGCUGUCGCUGGGCCAAACCAUUUUCUUUCUUUUUCAUUUUAACCAAACUUUUCUUCUCUAACUACCUAUCAACUACAGCAGUAUAAGAUUCAGCCAAAUUUUUUACAACCAAAAUUUUACAACGAUGUACUGGAUCUCCCGAAAAAAAAAAAAGGCUAGUGCGAUGGACCAAAAGCCUGUGGUGUUCUUUUCAUCGCGGUCCAAUUUGGGGCUUGUAUGUUUGGAGCUCGAUGGGUAUUUAAUUGGGCUGUGUUAUGUGAGCUCUUGGGCUGAAGAUUGUGAUAGUGGGCUGAAGUUUGGGUAAUUUUGUCACUGUUGCAUAUUGUUGGGCCGGUGCAAUGAUAUUUUUGGGCUUUCCAUUUGUUACAUCCUCUUGAGCUAUUGAAAUUUUUAGCCCAUGUCGAAUGGGUUCGUUCCAAUUUUUAUUUUUUAUAAUUGUUUUUCAAAAAAAAAAAAAAAAGGGAACAAAAUUGGAGAGUCGGUCAUUGAUUUUUACCGGCUCUCCCCUUGCCCCUUUUCAAACAUUCGGGGUUUUCUUUAAAACAAAAAUUUGGAGGGUCGGUAUUAUGAAUUUUCCCGGCUCUCCCGUGUCCCUUAAACAAACUAGGGAUUUCCUUACCUAUGCCCCUUAAACAAACUAGGGGUUUUCAAAAACAAAAAAAAAAAAAAAAAUUUUGGAGGAUCGGUACCUUGAAUUUUACCGGUUCUCCCGUGCCCCUUAAACAAAUUAGGGGUUUUCUGCCUCUUAAAUAAACUAGAGGUUUUUAAAAACAAAAUUCUUGGACGGUUGGUAUCUUGAUUUUUAUCUACUCUCCCGUUCCCCUUAAACAAUCUAAGGGUUUUCUUAUGUUUAAACAAACAAAAAAAAAAUAAAAAAUAAAUAAAAAUUGAAAGUUGGGCAUUCUACAUCAAUUUGGAGGAUAUUUUCCCAAGAUCUCGGCAAGGAUUAUUUUCGUCAUUUUGCUGCAAGUUGGGCAUUACGGAUCUUCAUGCUCCAACUUGAGGGGGAGUAUUGAGCGUGAUUAUAGGGAUUGAGAAGAUUAUUUAGGGAUUUAGCUAUAAUUGUGAAAUUAUUCCCUUUAUCAAUUAUUUUUACCCUAGAUUAAUUUAUUUCCAUGCAUAGCAAGAUAUGGAUGUAAUAUAUACACCAUUGUAUUGCGUAUUGAAUUAAUAAGAAUUACUUCAUUCCAUAGGAAACUUAACAUCCCUAAUAGCUUGAGCUGGAAAAGGGAAGAGAGAGACAAAAGAUUAAAUUCGAGUCUUGUCAUUGUCCAUUUAUGAAAUUUGUGCACCCGUAAUACUUUGAUCAAAAUAUAAGUGAUACUGGAGAUUUAAAUGAAAAUAUGUGGUGCCAAAUAUUUUCGAUUUUUAGAUGAGGUGAUUAACAUAUGCGGUCUUGCAAUGCACAAUUUGGAGAGCUCUUCCACGUUAUAGGAACGAUUGCGUGCAAUAUGGCAGAUGAAGGUAUCUCAUGACAGUUAAGUUGCAGCACUGACGUGUUCUAGAAUCUGCUGGGUCUUCUUCCAUGCAUUAGUGGCUGGAAAAUUUUCUGGCGACUCCAUGAAUACUCAUAUACCCACCACCAUACAAGAAGAAUCUGUAGAAUUCUAUGCAUUUGAGACAACCGCCGUUGUAGGAUAUAUCUAGAAUUUACCGACUUUGCAAUGUAUAUAUAUCUUAUGUGGAUUCAAAUGUAUGAACGGUAAGAAAAAGAGUGACGGAAUGGUGAAGUGAGUGAUUUAUAGAAUUAGAGGUGCGAGAGAGUGGAGCAAAAGUUGUGAUUAAGUGCUUUCCUUGAUAAAUAAAAAAAUUAUGAGAGGGGUGUGCUUCGCUUGUAAAAAAUAAUUUUACGGAUAGAAUAUUUUUUCUUUGUGGUUUAAAUUUGACAAUUUGGCAUCAGUGCAUGGUGGUCCGGGAUGAAUUUUAUGAGCUUCUUGAGAUUGUACUCAAAGUGAGAUUGUGAAACUUCUAUUAAGCUUGCUCUGUAACGGGGGGCUAUUUAACUCACAAUGGACAACUUACAAGGAGUAGGUGGAGUGAAGAAGUUCAAUAAUUAAAAUUACACCACAACACAAACCUGCAUAGAUAUCUCCAAGGACAUGAGAAGUGGGACAUGGUCGAUGGUAGUGAGGUGACAUUGGCAAAGGAUGCUUGAUCUUUGAAGAAGUGAAAAACUAAAGCAGGUAAGACUAUGCUUGCAAUAAAUACCAUAAUUACGAAAGAAUUAUUUGACCACAUAAGGGACAAUAACACACAAAAGGAAGAAUGGGAGACAUACGUAGAACUAUUUUUGAAAAAGAAAAAAGAGAGAUCUAAAAUUGCAACUAGAUAAUGAAAUACUCUCUAAUACUCAACAAGAGGUGAUAGUAAACCAAUAAUUUAACAAUGUAUGGCCUCUUUAUAGUGAAAUCUUUGAAUUAGAUUUAACUAGUAUAAUUUUUGACUCUUUAGUGACGAGAAUAAUUAUAUAUAGUAUGAGACCCGAAUUUAGAAGUUUUAUUGGCACAAUACAAGGUUGGCCAAAGCAACUGCCACUAGUAAAUCUCAAAAAAUUGUUGAUUGACCAAGCAAAUGUAAUGGGACUAACUAAAAAAAAAGAAGAAGAAGCAUUAUAUACUUACAUAAGAAGAGACCGAUCUCAUCAAUUAAUUAAUAAAGAAUUGAAAGAAAAUAAAUGAGAAGAAGGUUCUCAAACAAGGGGAGCCCAAUAGAGUUGUGAUGAGGAGAGGCUAUCUGUUUAAGGGAAAUUGUCAAAUCGAUGAAUCUUAUUUUGUAUGUGACAAACAAGGCCAUUGUUCUAGAGAUUGUCAACUUAGGAAAAAGUCAAUAGAAGGCAAUAUUGCUACCUUCAAUGAUUGAGAAAAAUGCAAUAGUGAAGAAGAUGAAAUGUUAUGGCAUUGCUCAAAAUAAUGGAGCUGACUCAAGAAGAGAAAUGUAGUAUAGGCUCUAAGGAAGAAUUUACACUACUGAUAGUGCUCCCUCGACGAAUACAUUAUGAAAGGGAUUGAAUCGUAAACUUUGGAUGAUCCAUGCAUGACAUGUGAUAUAGAAAAGCUUAAAAAUACAAUAGAGUAUAAUGGAGUGUGAAUGGUGAUAAUGUCAAAACUCAAGAUUACUAGUCGCCCACAUUGGUAAGGUAGUUAUUACACCUCGUUUUAGUCAUAGUUAAGUGCAGCUACAAGAUUCUAUCACAUGCUAGAAAUGAAGAAAAAUCUCCUAUCAGUGGCACAACCGACGUUCUCAAGUAACUAUAUUUUGUUUGGACUAAAAGAUGUCAAGGUAUACCAAAAUAUUAAAAUUUUAGGUACACCAAUAAUGGAGGGAGGAACUAUCAAACUUAAAAUAAAUAGAAAUGUUUGAAGAAGCAUAUUUUCGACUGACAUCGAAUAGAAUAAAGCUAGAAUAUUUUAUAUAAACUAAUGACAAGUUGAAGGAGAAGAUGCCAUUGCAUAUCAAUGAACCAGAAUAUCAAAGGUAACAAGGAAAUCUAAAGAUCUACAAGUGUCAAAUGAUAAAGAAGAGUUCACAAGAGCGAUACAAAGUCCUUGGCAAAAUAAUGUGUAUCAGAAAAUACAAGAGGGGGAUCGACAGAGUCAACAAGAAAAAUUUCAAGUUCGACAAGUUUACAAUCACAAAUAAGGAAGUCGAGUAAACAAAAAAAUCAAAUAUCAAGCAUGCUAAAUGUUGACCUCAAUUUUAGCUGGAUAUGCAGCAAAAGAUCUCGGCUCUACUUACGUUCACGUCUAAGGUUUCUACACACUUGGACAAAUCUGUUGCAAAUAUGUAAAAUUAGUCAUUUGUACGAAAGAUCUCGUAAAUAGAAUUUCUUAGAUAAAUCGAAGCUAUGAAAGUCACCUCAUGGUACAAAAGCCUGUCAUUUCGAAAACAGGCUGCAACAAAUAGCGACAUCUUGCCUAAAAAAUAAAGGUACAGCCUCUACAGACCCCUUUACCACGAGAGAAAUUUUGGUAGGACGGUCGCACCACGUGGCGGUGUUGUCGCCCUAUUAGGGUUAGCCACCUCUACUAGUGGCAUAUCACACACUCUUGAAGUGUGUCGGCCACCCGUCGAGGUGGCAUCUCGACAUUGGAUGGUGUGCCCACCCUAUUGAAAAUUUAGUCCUUUGCCACAGUGACGACAUCACUUUGACUUUCUCUAUUUAACGGGAUUGGUUAGGCCGUAUAAGCAAGUGAUGUAGAGUGCAAGCUUUAGGUGGCUUCUGCCGGCUACCACUGGCCAUAUGAAAAAGAGCCUCGUAGGAUGAGGCGGAACACUAACCAAGAAAUAAAUGAAAAGGAAAAUAUGAAAUAGCCAUAUAUAUUUGAAAUAGCAGAUGUGUUGAACGAAGGACCAAGCUCUUCAGAAUUCGUCGAGUUUCAGACAUAGUUAGUUGUUACUGAAAAAAAAAGGAAAAGAAAAGGAAAAAAAAAGAGGAGUCAAACUAAAAGGUUAAUGCUGAAUUAGAGAAUUGAAGCAGCAGUACCGAUAUGUUGUAAAAUUUGCUGGGGUCUUCCUCCAUUCAUUAGUGAGCUGGAAAAUUUUGGGGACUCCAUAUUAAUACCCACCGCCAAGUUAGAAGAAUUUGGAGAAUUCUAUUCAUUUUACUACACUUUCGUUGUAGGGUUUAUCUAGAAUUUAGGAAGCCCAAUUCCACCAACUUUGCAAUUUGUGUAUAUAUCUGACUAGUGUGAGCAAAUAUAUGAGUGGCGAGAAAGAGAUAGCAAGAAGAGUUAGUGGUGUGAGUGAACUAAUAGAAUUUGUUAAAGCACAGGAUACCAAUCCCAUCUAAUAUCUAGAUUGUAACUGUUAAGGCACAAUAUUAGGCUGAUAUCCUGGCUAUAUAUGUCAAUCCCACAUAUUGUAUAGCCUAAUAUUCUGAUUAUAAUAGCUUAUUUCUGGGCUAUAUUCUUGCACAUAACUCUGUAUGUAAUGUUCUGUAAAGCUACUAUGUAUACAUAAUCAAUAUACACUGUUUUGCAUCUCAUUAAAAUAGCUUUUUGAAUUUCUUAAUCUUUCAUGGUAUUAGAGCAAUAGGGCUCACGCUAAAUAAUCCUAUUUUCUCUUUAUUAACAUGGCAAAGUCUAGUUCCUCCUCUUCAUCCAAUUUUCCAUUUACCAAUCCCGCGCAACUUGUCUCGAUCAAACUUGAUGAGACAAACUGUCUUGCAUGGAUUUCUCAGUUCAAACCUAUCCUGACGAGUCACAACCUACUGGGUUUUAUUGAUGGCUCUUCUACUUGUCCUCCUAUGUGAUGAUGAUGCUAAGAAAAAUGGGACAAUAAAUCCAGCGUACACUAUUUGGCAGAACCGUGAUCAACUUUUACUCCGUUAGAUCAUCCUCUAUUUCUCCUUCACUAGUGGCAUCUCUUUAUGAUCUGGACACAUCUUACUUAGCAUGGCAGUCUCUUGUAGCUCGCUAUGCAUCCCAAUCCAAAUCUUGAGUCUCACAUCUUAAGCAUUAAUUGUAGAACCUACAAUAGGGUUCUAUGACUUGUGCUGCCUACCUCUCUGAAGCCAAGUCCCUGGCUAACCAACCGUCUACUGUUGGAAAGCUAGUGGAUGAUGAUGAUCUCAUCUCAUUUAUCAUGGGUGGUCUUAACUCCAACAACACUCAAUUCAUCACCUCAUACUCCUUUCAUACAAGAAAUUCUACUAUGUCCUUCUCUGAUUUCAAGUCUAAGCUCUUAAAUUAUGAAAUUUUACUUAAUUGAGAUAUCUCUGCUAAUCUCACACCAAAAACUUCCACUUUUGCUCUUUACACCAAUAAACCACGACAUCAACAUGUGAGGCAUAAGUUGCCAUUUUCUAUCUCUCCCAAUGCCAAAAAUGCUAAGCCACACCAUCAUUCUAAACCCUUAGCUUCUUCCAUUCCCAAGGCAGGUACUAAUUCUUCUUCUUUGCCCGAUAGUCGCUCACCAUGCCAGAUUUACCAAGGCACUAACCAUCAGGCUCUGGAUUGCUUUUGGCGUAUGGAUUUCUCUUACCAAGGCCGUCAUCCUCCUACAGAUUUGGCUGCUAUGUUUGUUGACAUUAAUUCUAACGUCCUGAACACUCAAUGGCUUGUGGAGAGUAGAGCUAAUGCACAUGUAACCAACAAUGCUACAAAUUUUGAUUCCAAGCAUAAGUAUGAUGAUAAUGAGACUGUUAGUGUGGGUAAUGGUGCAUGUAUCUCUAUUAAACAUACUGGUUCUUCCAUUGUCAACUCUAAUGAUAAUCAAUUCUUGCUUGAUAAUUUUAUUCACUGUCCUCAAGUUGCAACUAACUUGCUUUCUACCACAAAUUUUGUGUUGAUAAUGAUGUUACAUUUCUUCCCACUAGUGAUGUUUAUUAUAUUCAGGACAACAAGACGGGGAUCACUCUACUUUAGGGAUCGAGUAAAAAUGGUCUAUAUCCACCUGUCUAACUUAUCACACAAUAAACACAAAGGAUUAACUACAUUUAUGGGAAUAAAGACAUCUAGCUCUGUUUGACAUCAUCGUUUAAGUCAUCCAUAUGAGUCUGUUUUACGUCAUAUUUUAUAUCAUAAUAAUUUGCCUCUUUACGGUUCUGUGAGAAAGGGUGUUGUAUGUGAAUCUUGCCAACUUGGCAAAUCUAUAGAACACCCAUUUCCCUCAUCACAUCAUGAGACAUUAUUUCCUUUGGAGUUAGUGCAUUCUCAUGUUUGGGUUGCACCUGUUGAUUCAAAUAGUGGUUUUAAAUUUUAUGUAAUAUUUGUUGAUGAUUUCAGUUAUUAUACAUGGCUGUAUCCGAUUGCAAAUAAAUUUGACAUUUUCAAUUCUUUCGUUCAAUUUCGCUUGCUUGUGGAAAAGCGAAUUUCUCAUUCCAUUAAACAACUACAAACAGAUAAUGGUGGUGAGUACAUAUCUUCUCAUUUUAGCAAGUAUCUUAAUCAAAAUGGUAAUUUUCAUUGGCGUACAUGUCCACAUACUUCUCAACAAAAUGGUAUAGCCGAACGUAAACGCCGUCAUAUAGUUGACUGGGACUUACUUUACUUGCUCAAUCUGGACUUCCUAGAAAAUUUUGGGUCGAAUCUUUCUUAAUUGCCACAUAUUUAAUCAAUAGAUUGCCUAAUGACACACCAUAUUUUAAACUUUAUAAAGCAAUCUCUGACUACUCUUUCCUUCACAAAUUUGGGUGUCGUUGCUACCAUUAUUACGUCCUUAUGCUAAAAACAAAUUGUCUUAUCAUAGUGUCUCGUGUAUUUUUAUUAGUUAUUGCUCGAAUCAGAAGGGAUAUAGGUGCCUUAAUACUGUAUGUGAGCGUGUUUAUAUCUCUUGUAGUGUUUUGUUCGAUGAGAAAUUAUUUCCAGCUAAGAUGGGAUCAUUGAGUCAUCACUCCCCUGUUGAUACUGUGGUCUCUCUUGGUAUGUCUUCUCUUCCAAUUCAAAUUUCUAAUCUUUUACUUAAUCUUGAUUCUUUUAGUUCACUUGUUUCUUCAAUGGAUUAUUAAUCUACUCCUACAACUAGGCAAAACCAUCCACAAUUAUCCCCCAUGUUAUCAAGUCCACAAUUAUCUCCAGUUGAUACUACACAAGUUGUUUCUUCUUUGUCUUUACAUGUUUAUUCUCCGUCUUCAUCUCCUUCAGUUGUACUCCCUUUGAAAACUAUCGACCCCCGACUAUUUCCAACUGUAGAAUUGUUACUUGUUCUCAAACUGGAAAUUCCCGACCUCAUCAAUUUCUAGACUAUAAAAAAUUUUAUUCAUCACAUUAUCCUCUUAAAAUUUUUCAAAUCACAUGAACCAUAAACAUUUACACAAGCAGUCUCUAAACCUGAAUGGCGCAUUGCUAUGGAAUCUGAAUUUAAGGCAUUAUUGGAUAAGAAUACAUGGUCACUUUGUCCACGGCCUUCUGCUCAUCCAUUGUUCGUAACAAAUGGUUCUACAAGGUAAAACAAAAAUCAGAUGGUUCUGUUGAUCGAUAUAAAGCAAGAUUGGUAGUGAAGGGGUUUGAUCAGAGAUUUGGGGUAGAUUAUUUUGAGACAUUCAGUCCAGUUGUAAAACCAGUCACUGUCAGAAUUCUUUUGGCUUUGGCUGUGCAAUUUCAUUGGACAACUCGACAACUAGAUGUCUUUAAUGCUUUUCUACAAGGAUUUCUUGAUGAAGUAGUCUAUAUGGAACAACACAAGGGGUUUAUUACUGCUGAACAUCCUCACUUUGUUUGUAAAUUACAUCGCUCUCUUUAUGGCCGUAAACAGGCAUAAAGAGCCUAGUUCACUUGUUUCUCUCAAGCACUAUUUGAUCUUGGUUUCUCUGGUUCAUAUUUUGAUUAUUCACUCUUCACAUUUCACAGACAUAAUCUACAUAUUUUUAUAUUAAUCUAUGUUGAUGACAUCAUUAUCACCGGCAACGAUGAUCCUACAAUUUUCUCUAUUAUUGCCCAAUUGAAGUCUGAAUUUGUGAUGAAAGACUUAGGUAACUUGAGCUAUUUCUUGGGCAUUGAAGCUGUUUGUGACUCCAUAAGUUUGUAUUUACGUCAAUCAAAGUAUAUUGCAGAUUUACUUGAUCGUGCAAAUAUGGUUGGUGCCCGACCUUACAAGUCCCCAUGUGUUUCUGGUACCCAAAUCUCCAAAUUUGAUGGUGGCAUGUUAGUAGAUCCAUCUAAAUAUCGACAUACAGUUGGGGCCUUACAAUAUGUUACAAUCACACGAUCGGAUAUCGCUUAAUCCGUGAAUCAAUUGUGUAAACAUAUGCAGGCUCCAACUAGCAUUUAUUGGACAACAACUAAGGGGGUUCUACGAUAUUUAAAACACACUACUGACUUCGGUCUUUAUUAUCAACCAAGCAUCAUUUCAUUACAUGCCUUUUGCGAUGCAGACUGGGCUGGUAAUCCAGAUGAUAGAAGGUCUUCUAGCGGCUAUGAGAUUUACCUUGAGCAAUGCUUAGUUUCCCGGUCCUCUAAGAAACAAGCUGUGGUUUUUCGGUCCAGUACUGAGGCACAAUACAGGAGCUUGGCAUUAACAACUGCAGAGGUCUACUAGAUAAGAAUGCAAUUACGAGAAUUAUGCAUCUAUUUACCUCAACCUUCUGUUCUUUGGUGUGAUAAUUUAAGUACUAUGUCACUGGCAUCUAAUCCUAUUUUCCAUGCUUGAACUAAGCAUAUCGAGGUCGAUUAUCAUUUCGUUAGAGAAAAGGUAGUUAACAAAGAUGUGGUUGUUCGUUACAUCAACACAAAAAAUCAGGUUGCCGACAUCUGCACCAAAGGACACACUGCUGAUCGCAUUUGUAUCUUGCACGACAAAUUGUUGGUCUGUUCCAUACCCUCCAAUUUGAGGGAAGGUGUUAAAGUGCAGCAUACCAAUCCCACCUAAUAUCUUGUUUGUAACUGUUAAGGCACAAUAUCAUGCUGAUAUCCUAUAUCAAUCCCACAUAUUGUGCAGCCUAAUAUUCUGAUUGUAAUAGCUUAUUUCUGGGCUAUAGUCUUGCCUAUAACUCUGUAUGUAAUGUUCUGUAAAGUUGCUAUAUAUACAUAAUCAAUAUACACUGUUUUGCAUCUCACCAAACAGCUUUCUGAAUUUCUUAAUCUUUCAGAAUUAUAGUGGGGCAAAAGCUGUGAUUAAGUGCUUUCCUCAAUAAAUAUAAAAUUGUGACAGGUAUGUAUUUAAUUUGUAUAAGUAAUUUUGUUAAUAAAAUAUUUUCUGUGUGGGUUUAAAUUCAACAGGCCGAUGCAUGAUGAAUACUGUGCAGAGUCACGAGGACUCUAAUAAUCCUGGGUAAUGAAUAUGGAAAGAUUUAUGGGAUGGUGUCUGUUUAUGAUUAUAUCUAUUUUGAAGUUUCUUGGUGUUUUGCCUUAUUUUAAAAUGACAUUUGGUAUCAUUCCUCUUGUAACCAUAAAACUACUUAUAUGUAAAGUUUUAGAAAUGAUAACGUUUUGAGAAAGAAAAAGAUCACUAAUUCUGAAAUUGAUGUGUUCUACUCAAUAAUUGGUGGAGCAAAUGAACAUCUGCUAAUUUGUUCUUUCAGUGUGUACAUUUUUAGGAAUUUUAUGCGUCAGCAGGUAUUCACUUGCUGCAUGAUAACUGCUAAGUAAUGGAUAGAAUACGAUUAGCUCGUAAAACUUAGAAAGGACCAGGUAAAUUUUGUAUGCUGACACCAAGUCUCAGUUGUGUAAAUUGACUUUCGUUAAAAAAUAAGCAUUACCCGUGAUUGUAUAUAAGGUAGAAAAAGAACUAUCAAAUAUUGAACAAAUUAGUUGAACAGUUAAAAGACUCGAGAGGAACAUAGAGUAGGUGGGGCUUGUGAUGCUGUGAGUUGCAUAUUCUAUAAAGACAUAAAAAUAAGAUUCUAAGGGUUUCGGGGUACUAGAAUCAGUAAAAGCUCGAAGAGCUGAAUAGGGUCGGAGAUAACGAAAGAUAUGUUCGGAUUACAUCUAUUCCUAAUCCAAAAGGGUUCGUAAAUGCUUUGUCAACUUGUACAUAUAUGCUUAUAUUUUCAGUUCAACCAACCAUGUUAAGGUACAAUAUCCAAAUAGCUUAGAAGUUGACAGCCAUUUACAUUGUGGAAUAAUAAUGCUGUAUAGGCUUAAAUAUCUUAUAUCCCAGUUUCAAUCCUACUGCGAAUAUAUAAUUCUAUUUGCAGUCUUAAAAUACACAUUAUGCUUAUUUUAAUUCUUGUAAUUGAAUGUUAGAAAUGAUACAUUGGCAGCUAGAAUCCGGGUUGCCUUUCUGUCCAUGCAGUCACGUGCCUAUGCUUGACUCUUUAAUUUUCUUCUUCUGCUUGGUAGUUGGGAAUUAGACAACUUUGUUUGUUUAGUAAUGUUUCUGUAUUUUUAGUGCUUUCUUAAUGAUAAGUCGUUGUCUACUUUCUUUAAUGAGCACAUGAUCUUCGAAGCAUAAGAGAUAUAUAUAAGAUACAGAGGUGUAAAAUGGGUUAGAUUGAUUAGUUUCGAAGUAAUUUGUAUUUUUUUUUUUAAGCACGAUCAACUCAGCUCUGUGUAGAAAAAUGCAAUAUCUAGUAGGAUUUGUUUUUCGAGACAUACGAACCAAUGACAUGACAUGAGAGUGCCCUGAUUUGUAUUAGGUAUGGACACCCUAUUCCUUAAAACCCAUUGUUACUCUUAUCACAGCUUUUGGGACUUUAUGCUUCCUUCACUUUAAGGUAAUAGAAGGGAAUGGGAAAUCAUUUACUUGAAUAUUUGAAUAAAUAGGACAAAGUUUGAGAAUAUAAUAUGUGGUUAAUCAUAAGAGCUCUUUUUACUAUGUGGUUAAUCAUAAGAGCUCUCUUUACUAUCCAUAUGUAUAAGAGAUUAUUGGGACUUCGAUAUUUAUGCAACUUCUUUUUGACAUUUUAACUUUUAACUUUUUAAUUUUGAAGGAAAAAGUUAUUCCCAACAUAUGAAAGGAGAUGGGAGGAAAUUUGAUUUUUAUUAAAUGAGGAAAGUUGUCUUUCAUUCGAUUUAACAUUGAAACAACUUUUUUCUCCAAAAAUGGAAAAUUUUAACUAAAUAUCAAGAGAAAAUUUGAGACCAAGGUUAGGUACUAAUGACCCCAAAGAUUGAGACAGCUAACUAUUUUUUUUCCUUUCCUUUAAACAAUUAUUGUCCUUGUACCCAUGUUCUUCCUUAUUCUCAAAGUAAAUCUGAUGACAAUCAAUGGAAAGGGAAAAUACAAAUAUUAUUUAGGUGGUUAUAUUGGCACUACAAUUUUUAUAUGUUAUUUUUACAUUUUAAUUAAUAUUUAAAGUUUUCAGCUUCUACUUAUUGUAUACUUGAGUCUUUUGACUUUUUUGUUGUCGAAAACUUAUCUUCAACCUUUCAUUAUUUAGCAGAUGUUGUCUUCGAUAUACUUUCUAUUAAAAUAUAUCGUUUGCAUGCUUUGCAAUGAGAAAAAAUAUUUGUCGUACUUUGUAUUUAUUAUUUUUAAGUAUGAUGGACAAAUAUAUUAUUUUACAGCUUCCCAAUGGACCUUCUGUACAAAAUUAGUUAUAAGAGAUGAAUGUACUAAUUAAUGGAAUAUUGAUGAUAACAAUGUAAACAAAAAAUGGUUAAGGAUGCUACACCGAGUAAAAUUGAGGACCAGUGUGAAAACUUAUCCAUUAUGGUUAAAAGAAUAAAAUGCCCCUUUAAACUGAAACAUCUACCAAAGUCUAAACGUGUAAGAGCAUUUCCAAGAUAUUUUUUAUAUACAAUAUGUUCUCUAUUUUAGAGAGUGAAUGCUUAAAAAUAUGCUCAAGUGAAGUUUAACUUUCCAAAUUCAAAGAGUCAAGUUCACUCAUUAUUCUUACUUUAUAAUGAUUCAUUUAAUAAGUUACAAGUUUCAAUAUUAUACUUUUUAAAAAUUUUAAAAAAUGUGUAUAGAGCUAAAAUAUGGAGCAUUGUUGGAGUGUAUAAAAAAAUGUAAUCUCUAAAUUUGAAGUUUAAAGAUACUAUUUAUCAUGCGUUUGAUGUUCUCUAUAAAUGGGGUCUUUUGGAGUAGGGGUAGAACCAGAAAUUUUUUUCAGUGCGGGCACAAAUUUUUCUCCCAACCAUUAUUUCUCCCACCAACUUUUCUUACAUGGAGGAAGCUGCUUUGUCCCAAAGCUGAAUUUUAGCAAAAAAGGAAUUUUUCUCUCAAAGUAGAGCCUGCACUCAACUAUAUAUGGCUCUGUCCCUGUUUUGGAAAUGCUUUAAGAAUAUUUCUAAGAAACUCUUUAAAUACAAUAAUUUUCUAUUUUCAAAGAGCUAAUACUUUGUAUUUUAACUUUUUAAAAUAAAGAAUGAUUUUGAGUCUCCAAAUUUGGAGAGACCCCUCACUUUCUAUUCUUUCUUUAUAAUGAAUGUAUUUAAUAAGUUACCAAUUUUAAUAUUUUGCUUUUGCUUCUUAAAUCAGUCAAAUCACAUUUUGAAUUUAUUGAACAUUGACAUUUAAAAAAAUAUGUAAAAUAAUAGAUGAGAAGAAAUUAAUAAAUAUUUUCUUAGAAGAAAUUAAUAAAAGAAAUAAAUGAAGAGCAAAAAUAGAGAGCAUUGAUUGAGUAUAUAAAAAAUUUUAUUUCCUAAAUUUAAAGAUUUUCUCAUCUAUAAUAUACUUUUUAUAAUUAGAGAGCUCCAAAAGGCUUUUUAAAUUUAAAAAGCAUCUUGUGCAUAAUAGAGAGUCUUUUAAAAUUUAAAGAGAAGAAAUUUUGACACAUUUCAACAAACUCGCUAUUUUUAGUUCUUUAUUUUUUUUUAUAACACCCUCUCUCUCUCUCUCUCUCUCUAUAUAUGUGUGUGUGUGUGUGUGUGUGUGUGUGUGUGUCCCUAUUUGGCCUCCAUUCUCUUUCAUUUUUUUCCUCUCUUAUUUUCAACCACACAAUCUUUCAUAAAAUAAUAUUACACGUAAAUCGAAAUUUUUUCAUUCUUUUCCAACCAUACAUUCUUAAAAAAAAAAAAAAAAAAACUAUUCCAAAAUAUUAAAAUUUGGAAAAAAAUGGAGGCCAAAUAUAGUUUGGGUUGUUCAAUAAGUAGAACAUUGAAAAUUGUAAUUUAUUAAAUUAAAUUAAGGAAUUCUUGAGAGAACCCUUUUUUUUUUUUUUUUUUUUAAGUAAGAUGCUCUUUCUUUUGAAAAAUGGAACCUUGAAAGUUUGACUCUUAUUUGAAGAGCCAAGUCAUUCUCUAUUUUUAUAUUAUCAAGAUUGCAUAUAAUGAAAUUACUAGUUUUAGUUAUCACUAUUUUAAUUAUUCAUAUUAUAUUAAAUAUUUUAUUUAUUGACAUCUAAAAAAAUAUUUAUAUUAAUUGAAAAAUGAAGGAAAAAAUAAUAAAAGGAUAGUUGAAAAAAGAAAAACAAAGAGUAUAGAAUAAAGAGUUUAUUGGAGUAUGUAAAACUCUAAAUUUAAAAUUUUCUUCUAUUAUAAUCAAGACUCCCUUUAAAAAUAGUUUCUUGGAGAUAGAAUUAAUACUUAAAAAUAAGUUUUAGAUACUCUAUUUUAACUUUAACAUAAGCCACUUCUCAAUAAUAUAGUUUUAAAUUAUUUAGAUUAUAUUUGAACUGAUUGACCAUUCACAUAUUAAAAAAAUUAAAUAUAAGAUGAGAAUAGAUAAGUAAGUAUUUCUUGAAAAAAUGAAAAGAAGAGCCUAAUAAUAAUUUUAUUUUUAAAUUUAUUGAAGUUCUCUAUUAUGAUUAAAAUGCUAUCAGGAAAAAAAAAGUUAUCUUUAAAAUGCUUUUAAAAAGUUAAAAUAAUAAAUCUAUUAGAACUUGCCAUGUUCAACCCUCAUUAAUUUUCAUUCAAUUAUAUUUCAUUUUUCUCUUUCGUAUUUUCAAUCACACAAUCUUUCAUAAAAUAAUAUUACACGUAAAUUGAAAACUUUUCCUUCUUUUUCAAUAACUUAUUUUUCAAAAAAAAAAAAAACUCUAUUCCGCUAAUUUUCAUUAUCACAUAAUGGGGGGCAAACGGGGCUUAAUUUUCUAAAAGUAAAAUAGAAUAUCGUCAAAGAUGGCUUAUUUUCUCCACCACCGUUUUUAGAGUUUGAAAAACAUCCACAUCCCAAAAAUGGAAUCUUCCAUAUCACUAAGAGCAUUUAAUGUAACGCAUUGGGCCUCGCACGUUUUUUAUUUUCUCUAAGACGGUGAAGAUGUCUGUUUUUUCCCCAUUACUUUAAUUUAUUCAUUUAACGUAAGAAACGCUUUUCAACACACAAUAAACUAUCUUUACAAGGUUCUCAUCCUGUCUGUACACUUCUUCCUAAGGACAUUGGGCCUCCAAACUUGAAUUUUACACCCAAAAUAAGAGUCCCAUUUUUAUUAAUCUUAUGUGCCUUAUAUUUUCAUGUACUCGACUAUUAAGAAGAAGAGAUAUAGACGACCAUAGUCUGUUAUAUCGUGUCUAUAUCCAUUGAGCUAAAAAUGAUCAAGCAAGAACAUUGAAUAUUGCGAACUGGGCUUGUUCAACCUAAUGUAUUAAUAAGUCUCUUUGAUACGACUUUUACUUUAACUCUUACCCCUUGUAAAAGAACUUCAUGAUAACAUUAUGUUAUAUCAAUUUUUCUCCAAAAGAUAUUCUAACGAGAUAAAGUACUAUUGGAAAGAUAUCUACACAUAUUCAAAAAUAGAUUCUCAGAGCAUCACGAACAACCUCUCUAUUUUUAAAGAACAUAUUCUACCAUAUGGAGAGCGUCUAUAAAUUUAGAAAAUUAAAAUUUUGAAAUACUCCAACAAACUCUUUAUGUUCAACACUUAAUUUUACUACUCCAAAAAAAUAUUUAUUAUUUUUUCCUAUAUUUUAGUUUAACUAACUUUUCUUUAUAUUAUUUUAUAAUUUUCUGUAUUGAAAAUUGAAACAUUUUGAAUGCAUUUAAUUAUAGAAAGUGAGCCCCUUUAUAUAUUAAAAUGUUCAUUGAAAGAGUCUUAUAGAGCGUGAUUUUAAAAAUUAACUACUUAGAAUAUCUCUAAGAGAAUAUUUAAACACAAAAUACUCUAUAUUUUAGAGAGUUAAUAUUUAAAAUGAGCUCAAAGAGACUUUAUUUUAAAAUUUUAAAAUAGAGAGUGUGUUUGGCUCUCCAAAUUUAAAGAGUCAAACUCACUAUCUAUUCUUAAUGUACAACGAUUACAUUUAAUACAUUACAAAUUUCAAUACUCUAUAAUUUAAAAUUUUCAAAUUAUAUUUGAAUUGAUUGGUCUUACACUUCAAUAAAAUAUGUGGAGAAAUUAUUAAAUGUUUAUUGGAAAAAAUAAAAUAAAGAAUCAAAGUAGACAGUUUGUUGGAGUGUAUAAAAAAAAUUACUCUAUAAAUUUAAAGAUUCUCUGUAUCAUGCAUAAGAUACAUUUUAUAAAUAGAGAGCUUUUUGAAGAUACUCUUAAAAUAGAAAGUAUUUCAUGUUUAAAAAAUCUACGUUCUAAUAAUCUCAUAAUCAGCUUUUAACUUUUUAAAACUCCUACUAAAUGAGUCUAAUUAUGUGUAAUUAAAAUUAUUGACAGAAAAAUAUAUAUAUUAUGGUGGGAUGCAAUAUACAAUUGUGACCCUGUUCUGUUUUUCUUGGAAUAGUAGAUUAGAAGCUUGGAAUCAUGUGAGAAGCAUUAAAUGCAAGAGCAAAGGGAAUCGAUCUUAGGGUUCUACAAUUUCUUAUAAUUUAGGAGUAUCAAUUCAGAAACCCUCGUGAUACAAACCACUAGCUCAUCAUGUGUAAUUGUUUAAUUUUUAAAUUUUGCAAUCUAAUAUGCAUAGUGUUUACUUCAAUGUCAAAUUAAUUCUUAUUUUCAACAAACUUAUGACUACUUGAAUCACCCUGUUUAAUUCGACUUCUCGGGCAUGUUUCGUCUGCAUAAAAGAAUCUUUUUAAAUAUUUAGGGUAUGAGCUUUUGCUCUUUUUUUUUCUACUUCUUAUAGAAGAUGUUAUAAAAAGCACAUUGAGCCAAAACAGGUUAAAAACAUUUUCUUAAUUAUCGAAACAGUUUUUAACUUUCAAAAGUUUUACCGAAUGGAUCCUUAGUUAAGCAGUAAACGACUUAUCACGUACAAGUACUUACAACUAAAAAAGUGAGGAAAACAUGCUUUUAAGCAGACCAAACUUAUAUAGUACUCAUGACAUGUAAUAUGUAGAAAACGUGAAAUUAAAGUAAUUACUGCUAACUUAUUUGCAUGUGAUAACUGGAUUCAUGUGGGAUCCCAUUAAUUUCUUGGUGGGUAGUUAUUUUGUCUAUUAUUGUUAGUAUUUUAGGAGAGAAUAUUGAAAUUAAAUUCAAUAAAAUGCAUUUAAUGAGUAUAGUUUUUGCUCAUGACACAAAAUAUUAAGAAACUUAUAACUUCUAACAAAGAAAUGACUUAGUAAAUUUAAUAAAUACAUCAAUGGAAAACAUUUUUAUGAAAUUAUCAUACCUUAAAUUCAUGUACAUAUACAAAUACUAGAAAGUAUUUUAAUGAAGCAUAUCAAACUUUAAAUAUCUUCCCAUUGAAACUACGAAUUCCCAAUCGAAUUUUUUUUACACGAACGAGGCGAUUUAGAAUCAAACUAUAUAAAUUAUUCAAUGUUGAGGGUGAUCAUAAGAUGUUACAAGAAAGGGAAAAAAUCUUCUUAUCAUGAAGUUAUUAUAAUUAUAGGGACAAUAGUUUUUGGAGUCCUUAAUGUUGGAUUCUUAAUGUGUAGAAAAUUGAUGUCCAUGUGAAUGUUCAAGAAACAAACAUUCACGUCGAACCCAUCUUGACCUUGCUUAGGGUAUAGUGUCUUUGCUAAAACCCUAGCUAUGCCUUCUCCUAGUUGUUACCAUCAAUUAAUUGCUCCUGUCUUUCUAAUCUUUAAACAAAUACUAUAUAUGUGGGAUUCCCAAUUGCCCUUUUUCUUUUUCUUUUUCUAUUUUUUUUUUAAAGAAGUUUGUAGUAGACAUUAGAGUCAAAGAACAACGUGGAAAAUUAAAAAAUUCAUUGCUUGAAAAGCCAACCUAUCACACGUAGUGACGGUGGUCAAUCACUCACCCUUGAUUUAUAAAUCUUCAAUUUAGAAGUUAGACUAAUGUAGCCCUUGAUGCAUGAGAUGGUAAUCUUUUCAAGCGGCCUAAAUAAUCAAUUAAUUUAGCUGUGUUUGCCAAGCUUUUUUUUUUAAAUAUAUAUAUAUAUAUAUAUAUAUAUAUAUUCUUUUUUUUUAAAAUGGAAAAAUUACUUUUUUUUAAGUAACUUUUAUCUUAUUAUCAAAAUAAGUAAUUUAUUAUUUUCAAAAUAAACGCGAUAAUGAAAUGUUUAAAUAGUAUAUUGGUUAGGUUACGAGACAUAAUUAUUAGUUAUGUUACAUUUUUGUUCGUCGUCAUGUUAAGUACAUCGUACCAAGUAUGAGUAAAUUUAAUUAGGUUGAACAAAAGUUUCACAUUAUAUAAUAAUCCAUUUUAUUGUGCAUCUCCACCUCCAUGUUGGACUAUAAAUAGGUUUCCUUACCUCAUUCUUUUUCAAACUAACAUCUUUUCUAUCUCCUUGUCUCUUUAUCUCUCUCUAUAAAGUUUUUCAAAUUUGCCGUCAAUCUUAAUUACUUUUGACACACCAAAUGGGAUCAGGUAGCUCACCCUGUGCUUCCUGCAAACUGCUGAGACGACGCUGCACCAAAGACUGCGUGUUCGCCCCUUAUUUCCCCCCUGAUGACCCUCACAAGUUUGCCAUUGUUCACAAGGUUUUUGGUGCUAGCAAUAUCAGCAAGAUGUUACAGGUUUGUUGAUUUUCAACUUCCUUUCAAUACGUGAAAAAGGGCAUCAGAGAUUUCAAAAUCUGUGGCUGAUGAGUAUUAAACCCUAAAUAGAAAAAAGAAUGACAUUUUCUCAUUUUUUUUUCCUGAAAUUUUUUUGCAGGAGCUUCCUGUACAUCAAAGAGCAGAUGCAGUAAGCAGUUUAGUGUACGAAGCAAACUCGAGAAUGAGAGAUCCUGUCUACGGGUGCGUUGGAGCAAUCUCUUAUUUGCAGAAUCAAGUGGCCCAACUACAAAUGCAAUUGGCUGUGGCUCAAGCAGAGAUUUUGUGCAUUCAGAUGCAACAAGAACCUACUAAUUUGCAGCCUCAAAUGGUUGAACCAGCUGAUGAAAACUGCCUUCUUUUUGGCAGUAAUAACUUGGAUCAUAACCUACAACAAUAUCUCAGCUUUGCUUCUUCUUCUUCUUCUAGCAGUUCUAUGGUGCAAGACUCGGUGAAAAUCGAGUCUCUCUGUGCUGUUGAUCCCUCCGGGGAUCAGUUCGUCCCCAAGAGGAGCCCAACUUACAUGUUUGGAAUGUAGUACUUAAUACUAUUAAACCAAAACAUCGACAUGAUUUCACUUUUAUAAUCUUGUUCAAUGUAGACCGUCCUAGAAAUGUUGCUCAUGUAUAUAUUCUUUUAGUCUUUUUGCUUAAUUCGUCGAUGGUUUCUUGACUCUGUAUUAUAUUUUUGCUCCACUUUUUCCUUCUCUUAGCGUGUGCUUUGUCUUUUCGCCUUUAUAUUUUCUGAAACUAUUUGUCAAUCACAGACAGGGGGCAGCUUCAGCAUGUGAAAGACUUGGAGUAAGAAUGAGGAAAAAGUUUAACAUUAUAUAUUCAUUUCUCUUGAAUAUUAAUUAACAAGUAAUUUCCAUAAACUAAGUCGUACGUGUCGGUGAUUAAACGUUUUCACAUUAAUGAUGUCAGAAAUUUGAAUCAUGAUAACUUUGAAUUUUCCUGGUCUUCAGCAUUUUAGAAAAUUAUUCGAAUUUCGAUAAUAAGUCAACUAUAUAUAUAGCCACUGUUUGAUCCCAUUAAAUUAAAUUACAUUAUAUUUCAUUUUUCUUUUUCCUAUUUUCAACCACACAAUCUUCCAUAAAAUAAUAUUAUGCGUAAAUCGAAAACUUUUCCUUCUUUUUCAACCACUCAUUUUUCUAAAAAAUACUAUUUCCCCCAUUUUCAUUUUCAAGUAAUGGGCAUCAAACAGGGGCAUAAGUGGAUAUUACAAUAUACAAAUAGGAGGAGCUUCUUAGCCAAACAGCUUAGUGAAGUGUCCACAGUUUCGCUCAUAUACCAUCUACAAGGGGACCAUCUAACGUUGUUCGCAAGCCAUCAAGCCUCUGAAUUACUAAGUAAAAGUGAAUGGGUCCGAACCUUGUUUGUGUUAAGAUUUGGAGUUCUAUCUUCAAAAAUCAAUCUUAUUAAGAAUAAUAGUCCAAUUUUUUAUGAAUUGGUCGAUGUGUUCAUCUUUAUUCAAUGUGGGAUUUUAUCCCUUAAUAUGCUAUCGCAAGAUGGUAACUCGUUUAAACAAACCAAUUUUGAAAUUCAUAAGCUCAUUUUUUUAGUUUUAAUUGAAUCAAAUUAUUCGUUUAAGCUUAAUGAAUUCUUAUAUUAUGUUAAGAUUUGAGUUUCAUAUUAAAAUGUCAACCUUGUUAAAAAGAGUAGUCCAACUCUUUAUAAAUUAGUCUAUAUUUUCAUUUUUAUUUGAUGUGAGAUUUUAUCUUUAAUGUUUUUCACCUUAAAAGGCAUAACAAGCAUGGCGGUUAAGGUAGGGGUCAUGGAAUCUUCCCAAAUAUUUAAGGCAAGAAUCCCAACCGAAGAAGAAGAAAGAAAAGGGAGAAACUAAAAUACAGACCAAGUUUAAAACACCAGAACUUGUGGCUCGAAAUAUGUAAGAGAUGCGCUUUCUAUAAAGCGAUAUUUGUCCCCUCUCAAAGUGCUUUCGAAAUUUUCGAUAGAUAGCUUUGUCGAAUAUGACCAGCUGGUAAGAAUUUGCACGAAGCAAUGAAGUGAAAUUUUCAGGGAAAAAAAUUAAAAACUUCAAAUGAAAUUUCUGAAAAUUUUGAAUUUAGGAUGGAAAAAGAUUUUUUCUCACUCUGCGGCUGAAAGCAUCUACAAUUCAAGACUACAACUUUAUUUCAAAUAUAUAAGUUAGUCCCUCCAAAAUUAUUUCCAACUCCCAAUUUUUCACUUAAGUUUGUUUUGGUCUUUUAACGUUAAACUUCUUCUUUUACUAUUUGAACAAAUUUUCUAACAAUGCCCCAUUUUGUUCAAACAAAGCCUUUCAAAAACAAACAGUGCUCAUGAAUAUAGUAAUGAUACAUUUUGAUUUGAACAUUAAACCUUAGUGCAAGUUUCACGACAUAAUUGCUAAAGUUUCAAGUAGCCUUACCAUAUUUGAAUCAGUCAUCCCUUGUGACAAUAUUGGUGAUACAACAAACCCAAAUACUAUGGUAUUUUUCUUGUUCUACAACAUUCAUUUAUUGCAUUGUAUGACCUUGUACUCAUCCUAAUUUGUGAGCUUUCAAAAGUGAAAUUCCAACUUUCAGUUGAAGCGGCACCAGUACUUCAACUUAUAAGUGAAUUUCUUCAAGUAUUUUAAUUACAUUUUGAAAUAUUUGUAACUUAUAUAUUGGGCCUUGUUAAAAGUUUAUAAAAUUUAACUAUAUGUAACAACUCGCACUAGUUAUUUGUGGUAGGACAAAUUUUUGAUGUAAUGCUCAACUGUCCACUUAUUGAAUGAUUUGCUUAGUUGUUUAUACCCUUUGAAACUAAAAUUACUGAUUUAGUAAUGUUAGAAAGGGUUGUCAUCAUUGGCGAAUUUUUUAGACAAGGAGUUUUCGCUCCAUCCUUCUUGAUGUUUAUCCUGCAUUCUUUUGAAAAAAGUUUAGUGAAUUGAUAAGCUAGAUUCUCGCUAGACUUUACAUAUGUAUAUGUGAAAGAAAUUAUUCUACUUUUGAUUAAUUUCCUCAUAUAUUCAUGUCUUGAUUAAUUCUUUGAAAAAGAUUUAGUAAAUAGAUAAGCUAGAUUCUUCCUAGGUUUUGCGUAUGUGAAAGAAAUUAUUUCAAUCUUGAUUAAUUUUCUAAUGUAGUCUUGUCUUAAAAAGUUUUUUGAUAGAAGCUUAGUAAAGGGAUAAGCUAGAUUCUCACUAGACUUUAACAUACAUGAGAAACUUUUACAUUCCUGAUCAAUUUCCCCAGGUAGUUAUGUCUUCGACUCGAAUUAUUCAAUUUUGAAUAUAAAUUCGAAUAGUUAUUUAGAUAUCAGAGUGUAAUUUCGUUCACCCCCUUUCAUGUGGGAAGCCAAUGAGAGUCACUAAUUAUCUAUUUAGCUGUAAUGACUCGAAUUAUACAAUUAAGUUAUGUCUGACAAGGUGUUUAUAAAUAUGGAUAAACGAAUGCCAAAUAAGUAAAUAUUUUUGUGAAUUCUAUGAAAUAAGUGAAUAAAAAGUUAUUUGAUCAAAUGUAUUCUUUGACUAAAAAACACCUAAAAAACAAUGAGCCAAACAGAGGCUUUCAACUCAAAAUUCCUAACAUUGUCUCCAAUGUUGAAGCUGAAAUUUGAACUGAUUUACCUCGAGCCCUAAAAGGGAAACCAGCAAAAAAUAAACUUUUACAUGCCUUAAAGUCAUUAAGUUUUAAGGAGUUAAGGAAAAUUGCUUUGUAAUGAGGAAUUAGAUUGACUGAAUCUUUGACUGAAUCUUCCUUUCAUGUUUAAUUUAAUAUAGUUAUUAGCGAGCUUAUUCUUUAUUAUAAUGUCGUUAUGCACCUUAAUUUCAAUAUGGGGAAGCUACACGAACUGACUUCUAUAGAUGACUUCCUUAAUUUCUGAGGAGAAAUAUUUAUAUUUUAUUAUAUACCUUUUUUUAAUCAUUUGUUUGAUUAAAAAGAAAUAGAAAUAAUUGCAUAAUAUCAGAUUAUUAAUUGUAAAGAAACUAUAAAUUCAAGAUUAUAAUAUCGUAUUUAACAAGUUUCAUCAUAGUAAGUCAUCCUUAUCGGUGAAUGAUUGAGUUGGCAUGUUAGUCAUAGGGCUCCAAAGUAGUAAAGGUUAAGUGAAGUUAUUCACUUAAAAAUUCUUGAUCAAGGAAAAUGACUCCUAGUAGAGUGGAGGAGGUAUUAGGAGUAGAACAUGUCAACAUGAUAGUGAGAAUGUUUGUGAAACCACCUCACUUUUAGGUGGAGAUGGAAUUCCAUUUCUAUAGAAGUUAAUACAUGUACAGCUGUACAAUGAAAAGGAAAGAUGUAUGAUAGGGAAGGAAAAUAAUUACAUCUCUAUAAUCAAGGAUUAACUGCUACAAUCAAGGAAAGGAUUGCUGAGAAUUAGGAGAGGAUUCUCGAGAAUCCUUAACACCCACUGCCACUCCGCAAGCUAAGCAUGGGAUGAGAGCACACACGUAGCUUGGAUCAAAAGAAGGUGAAGAGUGGCCUCGAAACACUCUUUGUGAAGACAUCGGCAACUUGAAGUGUGAAAAGGACAUGUUGAGUACGAAUAUGACUAACAACCACGAGCUCUCGAAGAAAGUGAUAGUCUAGAGCAAUGUGCUUGGAGCGCUUGUGAGUUACUGGAUUGGAGCUCAAGAAAACAGCACUUUUGUUGUCGCAUAGAAAAAGGGGACAAUUUGUAGUAGAGACACACAGAUCGCGAAGAAGGUGUUCUAACCAUAAAACCUCAGUAGCGAUGGGAGCAAGGGCACGAUACUCUAACUCACAACUAGAGCGAGAUACCGUGGGCUGCUUCUUAGCACUCCAAGAGACAAGAUUGUCACCAAGGUAGAUAGAGUAGCCCGAAGUAGAGCGUUGAGUAUCAGGGCAUCCAGCCCAGUCGGCAUCAGAGUAGGCGAUAAUCUUGGCGAAAGAGGAGGCAGUGAACAUUAAGCUAAAGUGAAGAGUACCCUUGACAUACUGAAGAAUGUGCUUCACAGCUUGGAAAUGGUCAUUAGUGGGAGCAUGCAAAUAUUGACUGACUGAGUUGACUAAGUACACAAAGUCUGGGCGAGUGAUGGUCAAAUAUUGCAAGGCACCAACAAGAGAGCAGAAAAAUAUAACAUCUACAAAUGGGGGACCAUUGGAGGAAAGGCGUUGAGCAAAAGCCAUAGGAGUAGUCAUUGGUUUGCAGUCAAGAAGUUGAGCCCUAGCAAGAAUGUCCCGUGUAUACUUGGUUUGGCUAAGAAAGAGUCCAAUAGAGCUGGAGGUGACUUCAAGGCCAAGGAAAUAACUUAGAGAACCCAAAUCCUUGGUAGCAAAUUCCGAAUGAAGUUGCCUAAUGAAGCCAUUCAAAAGAGAUGCAUUGUUGCCAGUGAGAACGAUGUCAUCAACAUACAAUAAAUGAUAAAUGAUGUGCUGCUGGGGAUGAAGAACAAACACAGAUGGAUCAGCAUGAUUGCAAGUAAAACCAAGCUUUAAAAGAAAGCAACUAAAUUGCUAGAACCAAGCGCGCGGGGUCUGUUUUAGGCCAUAAAGAGCUUUCUUGAGUUUGCAAACAUGAUGAGGGAAGCGGGGAUCAACAUAACUAGGAAACUGCUCCAUGUUAACAUGUUUCUGCAAAGUACCAUUAAGAAAAGUAUUUUUAACAUCAAGUUGGCGGAGGGGCCAACCAUGGGUGAUAGCCAGAGAGAACGCAACACGAACCGUGGAGGCCUUAACUAUUGGAUAAAGGUGUUAAUGUAAUCAAGGCUAGGAAGCUGAGUAUAUCCUUUAGCAACAAGACGGGCUUUGAGAUCAUCAAUGGAUUUGUCGGACAGAUACUUGUUGCGGAAGACCCAUUUGGAACCUACAAUGUUCAUUUUGGGAGGUCGGGGAACAAGAUCCCAUGUAUGGUUGCCGCGGAGAGCUUUAAUUUCAUCAUCCAUAGCCGCAAGCCAUUAGGCUGUUUGGUAGCAGACUUGAAACCUUGUGGCUCUGAGGAAGUAAGGAGUGCAGAUAAAAGACUAGAGACAUGUUUGUUGAGAUAAGCUGGAUAUCGUGGUAAAAAAAUGCCUGCUCUAGCUUGGGUGACCAUUGGGUGAGAGGAUGGAGCUGUGGACUGAGCAUUAGGAGCUGGAACAUCAACGAUGCCAAGAUAACCUUGGCAGUCUAGGAGUGGGACAAGUUGGCUCUUCCAGAGUAAAUAAUUGUUUGCAGAGAGCUCGAUGGUGACCAUGUGAACCACUGUAUUGAAGGAGAAAAGUUCUGCCAUGGAAAGAAAGUAAAAAAAAAUAAAAAAAUCAAAGGUUAAUCUAGUAGGGCUUUGAUACCAUGAGAAUGUUUGUGAAACCAUCUCACUUUUGGGUGGAGAUAGAAUUCCAUUUAUAUAGAGGUUAUAUACAUGUAUAGUUGUCCAAUGGGGAAGGAAAACAAUCACAUCUCUACAAUCAAGGAUUAACUGCUACUGUCAAGGAGAGGAUUGCGAGAAUUAGGAGAGGAUUUUGGAGAAUCCUCAAUAGAUAGUAUACUCCAUAAGACACCAAAAAGUUUGACCACCAGCAACUUCUACACCCCUACUUGCGCACAAAACAACAAUUGGGUUUACAUACAAACCUUGAAUCAACAAUCUAAACUCUAGCACCGUUGUCGGUCCACAUUCCCCAAAUUAGGAAGGAGAUGGAGGUUAUGGCAACAAAACAAAGAAUGGACAAUAGAGGUCGUGGUGAUAUGGAUAUAAUUUUAAAAAGGCAAAUUUUAGUUCUGUUUGCUCCACAUGAUAUUGUUCAAUUUCAUUAUUGUUUUCGAAAAUGGUGAUGGUGGUGCAUAAGAGUGUGUGGGGGAGGGGGGAAUGGUAGGUGGUUAGGGUAAAAGUGUUAAACGGUAGAGAGAGAGUAGACGAAGGCUUUAGUUUAUGUAGUACAGAAUUUGUAUGGUUAUUUUUAAAACACCCUUAUUUUUUAACUAUUUUAUAAGCAUGUAUGGGUCUAAUUUCCUCAUAUAGACCACACAAAUUAAAACCCACUGAGCAACUACUCUAGGUCCAAAGAAAAUGCCCCACUGCUCCCAAGGCACAUCCCAACUGGCAAAGAUGAGGGCGCUUCAAGGUUGGCAGAUCAGAGGUCGUGAGUUCGAUUCCUGGAAGGCUCUUGGAAGGCAGAUAUUCUCCUGGAAGGCAGGAGUUCUACUGGAAGGCAAUGUGCAAAGAUGAGAAACGACUUGCUUGACACUUUGGAAGAUCAGUUGGGGGGGCUCUUGAGCAUUGGUCAGUUUGGGGCACAACCUACGGUUUAACCUGUCUGCAGCUUGAGGGGCCAAAGUGUAGACUCCAGGAUUAGUCACUGUAAGGUGGAUACCUAGAUAUCAAAAAAAAAAAUGCCCUACUAUCCAAAUUAAACCCAAAUCUAGAAAGCAAGGGACCAGCCCCAGUGCUAUUAGAAAAAUAAUGGGAAAGAGUACACAAACUAGGUUUUAAGUAUACAUAAUUCAAAAUUCAAGUUACAAGUUUGAUUAAUGCAAAAUUCAGGUUUUAACUAAUUAAUUAAGAAUAUUUAUUAAAUAAUGAUAAUAAAGUCACAGUUACACGAUUAAUGGUCACAAAUAUACAAUUAUAGGUCACAGAUUUAUUCGUCGGUCACAUAUGAUCAAAUUAAUUGGCCACAGAUUUUUUCGAGGCCACAAAUCAAAAUUUUGAUAGGCCACAAAUUAUUUCAAGGUCAUAGAUCAUAGAAUUUGGUCACGGAUCAAAAAAUUACGGGCCACAUUUUAUGUCAUUGAUCACACAUCCAAAAAAUUAUAGAUCGCAAGUCACGUAUUUUCUAAUUUGAUGGUCACAGAUUACUUUUUUAGUCACAAAAUGAUGAAUUUCAAGGUCACAGAUUAACACUCACUCACAGAGGACCAAAUAAUUGGUCACAGAUACCCACCCGUCACCGACACCAUCAUCAUCAACAACACAACCACAACCACCAACAAACGCCGACCACAACCAAACUACCAACAAAAACUACCACUGUGUCGUACACCACCUCCACCGUAGCUAGAAUCCACCAUGACGGCCACCACCAAACACAACAACAUAACCACCGUCUCCAUCGCCAACACGACCACUGCUAGAAACCAUCACGACCAGGACACAAUCACAGCUAGAAACAACCACCGAACACACACAACAAUACAAUUUCCUCCCAACCUCACCACCACCCAAAUCACCACUGCCAACACAAGCACUCCUACUACCAUCAGCGCCGUCGACGCCAUUAGUAAAACAACCACAAUCACCACCAUUUUCAACCACCAACAAAGAUUUUCAACUACAAAACCACCACCAUCGACACCAACAAAAAUCAGAGUCCUUUUGGAUUACUGGAAUCGGAUGUCUAAGGAGUAGAUGCCAUCGCAUAGCGUCGAAGUUCAGGCAUCGUUAGAAGUGGAGGCAUGGGAGAAGUACCGUUGGAGUAGAGGCAAUCACCAUCGACUGCAGCAGCGUCGAUCGACGCCGAUCUUAAAGCUCCACCAGUGGCGAGCAGCCGUGAGCUGCCUCUACGGGGUCGUGUGUGGCUAAAUUGAGAGCAGCGCACAUCGAACCUGCUGUCGGCCAGAUCUCUAGGCGAAGCUCCAUUUGAAGAAGAAAUGAAAGGUAGAUGAAGUACCGAGAGAGGAUAGGAGGUAGAGAUGAAAAUGGAUUCGGAGCAGAAUAGAGUUGGCUCCGAGGCGGUGCUCCGGCGACGGUGCUUGGCAACGACAACGAUGUGUGGGGAGAGGAUAUAAAGAAAGAAGACGGGAAGGAAAGGAAAAGAUGAGAGAGAAAAUAAUUUAGGUUUUAAUUGGGUGGAUGGGAUAGGGUUUUAAUUGGGGGUGGAAACCUGACAUUUGCACAAAUAAACAUGAUAGUAGAUUUUUGAAUUGUGUAUUUAAAAAACCUGGAUGCGUGUAAUUUUCUCAAAAUAAUACCCAAAUUAAACCCAAAUCUAUUGAGCACGGGACCAGCCAUUAUAUGUAGGGACGUGACAACAAGGUGGGAUGAGAACUAAACCCCUAUUUGACAGACACUUUUUGUAAAGGAUGAGUUUUUGAAAUAAUAUUUUUUUAAAAUAUGCUAGUUUAAAAUUAGGGAAAAAAAAUUUGGUUUACAUGAAAAAAUAUUUUAUUGUGAAAACAUGUGGUUGAAAAUGAAUACGAGAAAUUUUUUUUUAAAAAAAUGAUUACCAAACAGGGGCUAAAAUAUAUAUUUUUUCAGCUCGAUUUUAUUAAAUUUAUUAUUUUCAUAUUAUUUUUACAUACAAUUUAAAUAUUCUAAAAUAAAAAUAAAAUAAUUUAAAAUGAGAAUCAUGUCAUUCAUCUCGAGUUAAGUAAUAGGACAAUGCUAUGCAGAAUAGGACCGGACAUUACAAGGUUGAACCUAUUGGCCAUUAAAAACAAGUCAAGAGAAACCUAGGCUUGACUCUCGUCUACACGUUGCCAUGUGUAAAGAAAAUCUCUCAUUGGGACACAAGCUAAUAAAAUGUUUGGGAAUCGAGGUUGAUCAUGUUGUAUUUAUUUAUGGACUAGCAUCUCAUUUAAUCAUUGUUUGAGCCCAUAAUGGGAUGAACCUUUUUAUUAACACACAUGAAAGCCCCUACUCUCGCUCCACUCAAUAUAGAAUUGGCUCAUUAAAUCCUAUAUAUAUGUUGGCCCUUCCUCCUCUCUAUCUCUUAAGUAAGAAAGGGGAAAUCAAUUGUAGGGUUGAAGGGGGAGUAGAGAGUAGUUCUCUCCAUGGCAAGAUUUCUUCAUCUUUUGCAACCUAAAGGAUCCAUGGAAUCUCAAUCACAAGCUAUAGGAGUUCUCUCCAUGGCAAGAUUUCUUCAUCUUUUGCAACCUAAAGAAUCCAUGGAAUCUCAAUCAUAAGCUAUAGGAGGUAUGUUUUCUUUUAUUAUUGUUGAACACAUGCUACAACCAUGAGAAUGGAUUAUUAUCUUUUCUUUUUUUUAACAAAUCAAUCACAACGUAACCUUUGGAGAGAAAUGUCUUUUGAAUAUGUAAAAACAAGCUUUGCAUAUGAUGCCAAGAUUAGAGAGAGAAUAGUUGCAUAUCUUUUGUUAUUUGGAAUUGCAUUAUUUUUAGAAUAGUACAAGAGAGAGUAUUUAUAGUGUUACAAUUGAAGUUGUAACUGUUGGAUGGCAGCGCACGUGGUUUUCAUCCGGCUUACUGGGAUGUCUCAUUGCAGAAGUCCCAUCACCUGCUUGUACUAGGCUACACUUAAUUAUUUGGGUAAGGGAAGUUUCAUAUGGUCUGUGUCGGCACUCUUGAUUGAUGAGCUGACAAGACUUGAUUUGUUUGGGCUAGAGGUUGUCACAUCAAUAAUUUUUACCAGAUCCCUAAAAGAUCUUCUUAGAAAAUGUGUUUAACUCAGGGCUCUUAAAAAUUGAGGAUUGUUGAUGAAAUUAUUCUACGAUCAAAAAUACCAUAAGUGCACAGUUCGUUAACAAGUAAUAAAAUAGAUUUUUUUGAGUCAAAGUAUCAUUCCCACAAGGAUUAUACUAGUUUAAGUUCAAAUUAGUUUAGCCUUAGCCGAAACUAUUGAAAGUUGUGAUUUUCCUCUAACAAAUUAAAUGACCUAAUUACAAAUGCAAAACCUAAUUCAACUAAAAUAAAAUGCAAUGUUAUAAUUAGCAAGUGUUAUAAAAACAUGACAAUAAAAAGCGUACUAGGACCACGAAUCCAAUUAUAUCAAUCUUCUUUAACCUCUAAACUUUCAAAUUGACAAUACGGUUCAAUUAUGAAGAUCAAUAUUCCUAAUUUGUUUAACAAUUUUUCUCGAGUAGAAUUAAACCUAUUUUUACAAGUGACCCAACUAUAUUUAUAUGAUAGAUGCAAACAUGUAAAAAUGCAUUAAUGAAUUUGUGAAUACUUAAAGAUCACGUAAAGCAUAGCAAUAUAUUUCUAUCUCCUAUCUGACUUUAUGACAAUUGACAUUAUGUCUAACUUAUUUUUCAUUUUUCAAGGGUAAAACAAGCUACAAAACUCAUACAACCAUUGCCUAUAUAAUUGUAGAGAAAAAUAAAUCCAUAUCAAUCAUGCAAUAAUUGAAAAUGUGCCUUGAAUGUAAAAAAUAAAUAAAAUGCAAAAGUCAAAAGUUCAUAAUAUAAGAUUCAUCAAAAAUCCUAGUACAAAGUAAUUUAGCUGAGCAUAAUGUUGGAAAUAAACAAUGAAAAAGAUAAUUCCGUCUCUGUCUAAUUUCCAAAGCUGCUACCACCUCUGUCUCUCUCUCCAUGUGUGUGCGCAUAUAUCCCUUCUCCAUCGUUUUUCUGUGUGUAUGUAUUUGUGCCUCUUUCCCCUUGUCCCCACUUUCCGUGUGUGUACAUAUAAAGAUUUGCUACAUGUAUACACUCUAGUUUACAAUUCUCUCACAUGAUAGGGAGACCACGGAUUUCUUAAUCACUGUAGCCCCCAUGUGAGGGGGCUGUACACUCUAGUGUACGAGUGGAAUUUCUCAUAUAUAUAUCAAGCCUAGUUGACUUUUGUCCAAUUAUAAUUCCUUUCACAGUUGUCAUCGUCGCCCACGUUUGACUCCAAUUGUUCUUCCCUCUUUUUUUAUUUCAUGUGUAUAUAUAUUUAAUCUUAGCAUCGGGCCCACUUAAUGUAUAAUUUAAUAUUUGCAGCCCUUGAGUCCAAUUGUUUUUUAAUUUUUUACUCCAAACUGGUCCAUCGCCCGUGCAAUGUAUGGACAGGAUUAUUUUGAAUGUCAUAUUAGCGUUCUUAAUGUUGAUAUGAGUUUAGUGUUUAAAGAAGAAACGAAUCAAUUAGUUAUAAAAUCGUUUGAGGUAAGCUAUUGAUGCAGACCCGAUCAGCAAGGUUGCAAUCGAACCCACAAAAUAUUGAAUCGAACCCAGGAAAGUUCCAAACAACAAAGGUUUGUAGAAUUUGACUCAAAAUAAUGGAUUAAACAACCCACACAGCCAAUAUAACAUGUAGACCUUUUAAUCACAAAAUUAAUAAAUUAAAAAUCCGAAUAAGUUAAAGAUCAAUUCGAAAAUUAAAUGAAUCAAGAAACCAAAGCAAUUACAUGAAUACCUUGACCCCGUGAUUACACAACUUGAUAAUCUCACUUUGAUUGGUGAACGCCACGAGAAAUCAUCCCGAUAAGUUCGAUAAAUUGUUCAUGAAGAACAAACAAGAAAGCAAACUUGCCUCUCAAUUUCAAUAUGUGAAAAGUCUUCUUCCAAUGAAUAAUAAAACUCCGAUUUAUGCUAAAGAAUAUAAAACCUAAUUUAAAAAGGAAUAAACUCCUAAAAUAUUGUAAAACAUAAAAUUAGAGUCCUAAUAAUAUUAAAGUUACCAAAAAUAAGAAAUUGACUCAAAACAAAUCUUCUCGCGCGAAAAGGAAAUUUUCUGGCUGAAAAACACCUAUGCGACCGCGACAUGUAUUUGGCUGCGGUCGCAUGGCAUAUGGACUGCUGCCCAUGAAAUCCCCGCAUCCUCUCAUGCAGCCGCAUGGUGGUUUUAACCAUGCGGUCGCAUGAUUACUUGGUCUUAGCUCCAAACUCGAUUUUCUUCCAACAACUUGAUUCAAUUGCUUUUCAGCCUUCAACCUCAAUACAAAUCCUGGACUUUGGCUCAUUGACUCCACCAUAUCGAAAUCCAUAACUCGACCAUGCAUUUAUACAGGUUUGUUGGCCCGAACGAAGCUUGAAUCUUGUCCUUAGGUUCCCUCCAACAUACAUCAAAUCUUUGGUCGUUUGGCGCCCAAGCCGAAUCACAUCAGCUAUUUGUGAUAUUAAUUUUGAAAUUGAAUGAUCCAAUAUAGUAAUGAUAACAAUGAACAGUUUAGCUUUGUGCAAAGAAAAGCAGUAAUUUUCACCAGUAGAAAAAAAUUGAAAUAAUUCUAAAUCAAACAAAUUUAUAAUGAAAAAUUUUGAAUAAAAAAAAUUUCUCCUUUGAAGGAGAGAAAAGCAGUAAUUGAAAAAAAAUUAAGUUCAAUCAUAAAGAAAAAAGAAUUUUAAAAAAUUUAAAUAGAAAAAAAUUUAUCUAUAAUAUGAACAAAAAAAUUAAAAAAAUAAAUUAAUCAAUAAUUUCCAUAGUAGAAAAAUUGAAAUAAUUUUACAUUGAUCAAAUUUAUAUUGAAUAAAUUUUAAAUGGAAAAAAAUUGGUCUAUUGAAGGAGAGAAAAACAGUAAUUAAAAAAAUUAAGUUCAAUGAGAAAAGAAUUUAAAAAAAUUAAAUAGAAAAUAAAUUAUCUAUAAAUUUUUUUAAAAAAUAAAUAAAUAAAAUAAAUUUCCAUCCAUUGAAAAGUGAAUUUCUCUCUUUUCCUUUUGAAAGGAAAGUCAAUCUCCAUGGAGAGUAUUUUUUCCUUAUUUUUUAAUUAAAUUUGUUUUGUUCAUAUUAUAAUUUUUUUUAUUUUGGAUUUAAAAUUAUUUUUAACUCCUUUCUCUUUACGAUAAAAUUGUAUUUUUCAAAUUUAAUUAAAUAAUAUUAAUAUAUUCUUUGUUUCAUUUUUGUAACUUUAAUUUGUUUUUUUUAAUUACAUAAUAUUUUUUUUAAGUUUGCUUUGUUCAUAUUAUGAAUUUCUUUUUCUUUUUAAUUCUUUUCUCUUUAUAGGCUGGGCAAAUUUUCUCUCUUUAAAGGAACUACAAAUGAGUGAUACCAUGCGUCUUUGAACUACUAAACAAAUCAACAAUUUUCUUUACAAAUGUAAACAACAAAAGAACUAUAAAUACUACUAACUUGCCUAAAAAGACUCCAAACAUAUCCAAAGCAAACUCUUGUAAGCCUCAUUAAAUAAAAAAUAAUAAUGAUUGAAAAAUUUAUACGUCUCAAGUAGAUAAGGGUAAAGAAAGAAAAACCUAGCUAACUUUUACACACUAAAAAAAACAUAUAUUACAUUAAAUAAAGCCAAAGAAAAUAAUAAAUAAAUAUACAAGAAAGCAAACAUCCAACAAAAACAUAAACUUCAUAGCCAUAUCCAAGAAAAAAAUAAAAUUUCAAUUAGAUUUUCACGUAUAUACAGAAACAAGAACAUACCUCACAUCUAGGUAGAGGAAGAUGAGUCAAACUAGAUUUUCAUCUAUACACAAAAAUAAAAAUUACAUACCUUAAAUAAAUCAUUAAAAAAAAAAGAAACAGAAACAAAAAAAAAAUUGUAAGAACAUACCCAAAAAUAAUUGUCACAAAUUCUACGACUUCUUCCCUAUGAUUGAGAUGAGGACUGCAAGAUUUUUUUUCCCCACAGAAAGAAAUUAGAAUUUGGAGAGUUUUUUUUUUUUUUUUCAUACAUGAAAGCUGAACUUUUGAACAGAAAUUGAUUGAAUUGAAGGAAGGAGAAUGAUUGACUUGAAAGAGUGAUAGAUGGUAGGUUACUUUAUAUUUUUUCUAUAAUUGAAAAAAAUUAAAAUUGAAAAAAAUUUAAAUCAAAAUUUUUUUUUCCUUUCAUAGAGAGAAAAAAAUAAUUGAAAAAAUUAAGUUCAAUCGCAAAUAAAGAGAAAAAAAAUUUAUAAAAAUUUUAAAUAGAAAAAAUUAUCUAUAAUAUCAACAAAACAAAUUACAAAAUAAACAAAUAAGAAAAAAAUUUCCAAAAUGCUAAAUUUUUUUUUUUUUUGCUUGCAUGGAGUUUUUUUUAAUUUAAUUAUAGUAAAAUUUUAUUAUUAUUUAAUUUUUAAAAAAUUAAAUAUAUUUAAAUAUUUACUUAAAAAUAUUGAAGUUAAUACUUCCUUAAAAUUAUAAGUAGCUUUUACAAUUAUAUAUUUUUUUAUUACUUUUAAAUAACGUGAAGUGAUUUUUUUACUUAUAAGUAACUUUUUACAUUCUAAAUAGUGCAAUCUUUUUAUUAAUAUUUAAUUUAAAAAAAAACUAAAUAUAUCUACAUAGUUAUACUUAAAAAUUUUAAGUUAAUAUUUUUUUACUUAUAAGUAUUUAGAUACUUAAAAAAUUUUAAGUUAUUAUUUUUUACUUAUAAGUAACUUUUACAAUUAUAAGUUCGUUUUAUUUUUAAAUAACUUGAAGUGAUUUUUUUUAGUUAUAAAUAACUUUUUACAUUUUAAAAAUAAAGAAUAACUUUUAUGUAAAAAAUUAUUUUAAAAAAUUUAUUACUAAUAAAAUUACAGGAUAUGGUCAAUAGUUGAUAGCGUGAGAAAAUGGCAAAAGAGUACUAUUUAUCCCUCUUCAAAGCAUGUAUGCUACGGGUAAAAUAAAAAAAUGAAGUCGUUUCUGUUCCACCAUUUAAAAAAAAAAAAAAAUUACAGUGUGACAAAAUAUUAUUUAAAAAAUAUUACUACUAAUAAAAUUAUAGGAUAUGGUUGAUAGUUGAUAGCAUGAGAAAAUGAAGAAAUAGUAUUGUGUGUCAGAUUCAAAGAAUCAAACCAGUUCAAUGUGAAAAUUAAUGUGACAAAAGUAAAAAAUAUUAACUUAAAAAUUUUUUAAGUAAAAAUAUUUAGAUAUAUUUAGUUUUUAAAUUAAAUAUUAAUAAAAAGAUUACACUAUCUAGAAUGUAAAAAAGUUACUUAUAAGUAAAAAAGCACUUCAAAUUAUUUAAAAAUAAUAAAAAAAACUUAUAAUUAUAAAAGCUACUUAUAAGUAAAAAAUAUUAAUCCCACAUUCUCUUAUAAUUGCAAAAAUUACUUUAUAAAUAUUAAUAAAAAGAUUACACUAUUUAGAAUGUAAAAAAGUUACUUAUAAGUAAAAAAAUCAUUUCAAAUUAUUUAAAAGUAAUAAAAAACUUAUAACUGUAAAAGCUAUUUAUAGAUAAAAAAAUAUAUAUAUUAAUUCAACAUUUAUAAGUAAAUAUUUAGAUAUAUUUAAUUUUUUAAAAUUAAAUAUUAAUAAAAAAUACUACAAUUAAAAAAAAAAGUAAUUCAGUGCACAGAGUGGUUAUCACUCCAUGCACGGAGUGAUUAUGCAUGUUUUUUUUUAUAUUUAAAUUAUCGUAAUUUUUUUAUUAAUCUUUAAUUUAAGAAAUUUAAUAUAUCUAAAUAUUUACACAAAAUGAAAAAAAAAUCACUUCAAAAUAUUUAAAAGUAAUAAAAAAAACUUAUAAUUGUAAAAGUUACUUAUAGAAAAAAGAAAUAUUAAUUUCAACAUUUUUAAGUAAAUAUUUAAAUAUAUAUAAUUUUUUUAAAAUUAAAUAUUAAUAAAAAAUUACUAUAAUUAAAAAAAAAAAGUAACUCCAUGCACGAAAUGGUUAUGCAUGUUUUAUUUAUUUAUUUAUUUAAAUUAUAGUAAUUUUUUUCUCAAACUUUCUUCCAUAAUACGGUUGCUUUACCUUGUACCCACUAUGGACACAAAAGGGAAGGUAUUUUCAGCUACAAAGUCUAUGAAGAAACAAGAAGAAAAUCGGCCAAGAGAGCACAAAGCAAAGAGACAGAGAGUUUUCUUCCAAGGCAAGACAAAAAACACGUGAGUUAUAAUAAUAAAGGAGGCUAGCUUAUAUAGUUUAGGUUAUGUCAAGUAUAUGGGCCAAGUCCAAUACAAAGAGGUUAAGUGGACCAACAUAUAUAAGCCGUUCAAUGAGUAUGGAAGCCGGGUCAUGAGCAAUACUAAUUAAUUAGAUUGCUUCUAAUGGUUCAAAUAGUUUUAGGGUCGGGUCCUCAAUCUUGGACGUCGACAAUUAAUUUAUCCAACAUCUGUUUAACAUUAUCUCUCGGGAUUAUUGGGUAUCAAAAACCCAACAAUCUACACUUUGAUGCCUAAUAAUCUGCAAGCAACCAAAACACAAAAUUUAAACUUGCACAAUCAAGGUAAUUCAAUAAAAUUAGUAUCACAGGCCUUACCUCGUGUUUUGAACCGAAACAUACACCAUACCUACAGGGACGUAUCUAGGUUCCACGUUCAGCUAGGGCGUUGACUUUGACAUUGAUCGUUGACUGUCGAUUAUCAACCAUCAUAUUGAAAUUUGAUUAAAUAAUAUAAAAAAUUGUUCGAUAUAUAUGUAAAUGCACUAAAAUGUUCAACACUCAAGUCUCAAGUCAAUCAACACUCAAAUCUCCAACAUAUUGAAGUCACCCAAGUGCUCAGCACACUCAACUCAACUCUCAACACCGUCAACAAAUAACAAAGGGUCGACAAAUUGCAGUUGCACAAGCACAAAUCAACAAAUAUAGUAGAAAUUUUUUCAAAUAAUGCUACACCCUAAUGUCCAGCUAUACAUUCUUAGAGGCAAUGUGAAGUCCCACUCUUUACUAAGGUGAAAUCCCCAAAAAACUAUUGUCCAAGCUGAAGGGACUUUACUAUAAAAGAGUUGAUGAUAACAAUAAAAAGGGAUAUUUUGAUAAUCGAAUAGAAUGUUAUUUGUUUGCUCCUAUGCAUCAUAGAGUUUCCUUAAUAUGCUCAUCAGCUUGCGCCAUAUGAUAACAAUGUGAUCUUAUUUUGAUUUCUGAUGAUAUGUACGUGUCCCUUAUGAAAAGAAGAAAAAUAUUUGGCUAAAUUUUAUGAAGAUCUUUCAAGGACGUCUUUAACUAAAUUUCUUCAUUAAUUGGACAAAGUCUUGUCAAAUUCAAUGUCACAUACAUGCAUUGAAUAACUUUCCCAUAGUAAUAGCAUUUGUAUUUCUUCAACACUAAGUAAUUCAUCAAUGCAUUAACAGCUUUUUUCUGGGUAGAAUUCCUAUCUCAUUUAUAUUUAACUCUAUUUGUCCACUAGAAUUUCCUAAGCUCACUACAAAGGGCACACUUAAUGGGUUCCAGCUUCUUGUGGUACUAACAGGAAUUAUUGAACAUCUCUAGCAGAUUCAACCACAAAUUUCACAGCUUAUGUGCUUUUCAACAUGUUAUCAACCUUACAAGGAAAACAGACAACAAGGACUAUAGAGUUACAGACAAGUGAGACAACCAAAACAAUUCAAAUAUUCAAAUCUUCAACUUCAAGUAUUGAACUCACCAAUCACCACUGCUGACUGCACACUGCUGGCUGCUCGCUCAGUUGCUCGGCCGCGCGAGACGCCAGUCGCCUCUCUAGUCCUUGGAGUCCGUCGAAGAUUCACCUCUGAGACUUCGUACACCAGCGCACGGUCACCGCCUCCAGCUACUGCUAUUGUUUCGAAUGGAAAUAUGAAAAUUGAAGGGUGAGGGACCAAGGGUUUGCUAUUUGCUGCCGUUUCAAAUAGGGGAAAACGAGAUAAUACCAAUAUAUAAUGGAUUGGAAAAUUGGAUUCAAUUUCCUCAUUUGGGCCUAAUUUUUUUUUUGUUUAAAGAAAAGACCCAAUUUCCGGUUAGAUCAGCAAAAAAAUAAAAAAAAAUAAAAAAAAAAAUUCAAAACUGGCCGUCUUCUUCCACUCGCGGUUUGCAAUUACUGCGUGCAGGCACCUGCUGCCAACCCGGCGGUCCCGACAGCCACUGAAGACUCCUGCGGAGCCAGCACGCGCGGCCGCACCCCCUCGCCGGGUGCUGGCUCCGCCGCUGAUCCCAAUCACCUACUAACCACUAGGCUAGAAUCGACAACUCCAAUUUGGGUCAAUUUUCUUUUAUGCAAUUAAUUUAUGUUACUCACAAUCGAUAGGAUAUGACAGGCAUUAUGAACUCCAUCUGUAGUCAAUUCACAGAAAUUAAUAUAUUGUAACUGCAUUGUCAUGAAAUACUUGGGCUUAAUAUAUAAUCUCAUUAUUAAUUAAGUAAUUAACACAAACACAAACCAUGAACCCUAGUCAGAAAUUCAUAAGAAGAAAAGAUUGACAUAUUUCACUGCGCAGUAGAGAUCUCAAAGAGGCAAAUAGGACAGUGGUGGCUUCUCACAAGCCAAUCUCUAAUGCAAUUGUUGUGAAAAACAUGAGAACACGGCAGAGUUGAGAUGACCAACCCUGCCGGAAUCUCUUCCAAGCAAACUGUACAUAACUCAACUUCAGCAUCAUCAUUCUCGUACUUCAUCUCUUUCUCCGGCAAUGAUGUGAUUGUAUCCAUGCUCGCAGGUACCAUGUUGAGACGAUCACUUUCUAUGGACUCAAACCAACGUUCAACUCUAUCGUAAAUAAGAAACUUCUUUAUUCUAAUAACUAAUGAUUUUGCCGAGCCCGUGAUAUGUCUGGUUUUUGCAUAGUCAAUUAAACCAUCUGCAACUUCAUGAUGAAACCUUUGAGAUCCAAUUAGAUUGGCGAAUUGUGGCAACAGAACUUGUUUUAACUCAUCAUGAACCGCUCCAAAAUCAACUUGAAUGAAUCUUGACAUCGUUGCUCCUUGUUCUUGCAUUAUAACUCCUUGUUCUUGAGUUACCAAGAAUUUUAUGAUUCGAAAAUUGAUUUCCAGGCGAGUAUUCAUUGUUGAUGAAGAGUCAUUAUGAUCCACUAGUUCUGUGUUACGCCAUGCUCUUAUCGAUACACACCAACGGGAAGAAACCAUACUCAAGAUUUAGUUAAAAGCUUAAAGAUGUAAGUGUAUGCGUAUAUUGGUUUUUGGAUGUGAAUUUGUUGGGAACCAGGCAAAUCACGAAUCCUGCCUCCGUUUUACCAAAAGACAUCUGGAUUAGCCAAAAAUUGAGGUUGCAUGUCCGAUUUUUUGUAAAAAAAAUUUGAACAGAUUUUCUGGACAGUUUUCUACUGCGUUUCUGGUCAGAUUUUGGCCGAAAAUUCCACCCCAACCUCGCUCUGAUUCCAAAUGUUGAAUAAUCGACCUUCAAUUGUGAAUUUUUCGGGCUUAGGAUACCAAUCUCAACAUUCACAACAUCCAACGAAAUCAUGACUCAAACCUCAAAUUUUCUUCCACACUCCGGUUGCUUUACCUUGUAUCCACUAUGGACACAAUAAGGAUGGUGUUUUUAGCCACAAAGGCUAUGAAAAAACAAGAAGAAAAUUAGCCGAGAGAGCACAAAGCAAAGAGGUAGAGAGUUUUCUUCCAAGGCAAGACAAAACACAUGUAAGUUACAAUAACAAAGGAGGCUAGCUUAUAUGGUUUAGGUUAGGUCAAAUAUAUGGGCCAAGUCCAAUACAAAGAUGUUAAGUGGGCCAACCUAUAUAAGCCGUCAAAGCUGGGCCAUGAGCAACACUAAUUAAUUAGAUUGCUUCCAAUGAUCCAAAUAGUUUUAGGGUCAGGUCCUCAAUUUUGAGUGUCGAUAAUUAAUUUAUUCCACAUCGAUUUAAGAUUAUUGCUCGGGAUUUUUAGGUAUCAAAAACCCAACACCAAGGUUAAUGAGAAAAAAGUUUCAUUAAUUACAGAACUUUACAUAUUGUCAAGUUGCAGUAACUCAACUAUGAUAUUCCACUGCGAGGUAACUGAACUUACAACCCAUUCCCUCCAUCCAUCACUACCUACACAGUCGUUUGGAAGUCGUCUGAGGUGGCAAGACGGAGUCAUACGCGGCAGUGGACAGCGUCUUCAUAAGGCCAUGUAAGAGUCGAUUCAUUCCUAAACCUAAAUCGUCCCCCUGGAUCGAACCUUAAUCUCCCAACCCCCAUUGCGAUUGAAUCUGCAAGAAUACAAGGAACCCAAAUUUGAUUGGGUAAGAAAUUGAAAUCAGUUGUUUUGUUGGUGCAAGCUACCUUCAUUUGUCAUAUUUGUGGUUGAUUCAAUAACCAAUUUGAGGUCUGAACGUUAUUUUUCAUCUCUUCGAUGGCAGACAUUUUUAAUGCUUUACAAAUGCCAAAUUCUGAGGAUAAUUAGUAUGUGAUGAAGUGUAUAAUGAAAGUUCUUGGGGUUGGUGAUGUUGCUUUACUCUUGGAAUUGAAUUGGUUAAUUUUUUGAAAAUAUGUUCUUGUACCAUAUGCUUAGGCUUUUACUUUAGUAGCAUUUAGUUUACUCCUGAAUUUAAUUAUUAGUUGUUUUGGAGUCUUAAUGUAGCUAAAUACAUAUUGGUCUGAAAAGAAUGUUAAUUUAUAGCAGAUUAGAGGCAAGUCUUGGGCAGCUGUGCCCGUAAUAUGAAUCUCGUGAUUAAAUGAUUUUACAAAUUUAGGUCCUUUAUGCAGAGUAGAAACCUGCUGGUUAGUGUUAACAUCUAUUUUCUAAUAGAAUUUAUGCUCUACUAUUGUACGUGAAUAGGGAUAAGUGUUUCUAAAGAUUUAGAAAAUUAGAUAUAAUAAAUUGGGACAAUAAAUUCAUGAAGUCCAUCACGAUUUCUUGACCAGGAAAUGAUAAUUUGCACCCAUGGCAGCCCGAGAAGAAAUGAAAGAUGUUGCCAUCAAUUUUGCAUCACCACGGCCAACUCUUCUGUGGAAAACAUCAUCAUCAAAUGAGUAAAACACAGUUUUGAAAGAAGCACAAGAUGAGCCAAGGGAUAGUGCUCUACAAAGUUUUCUUGAAACCAAUAUUGAAGGAGCUGAUCUUUGAUUGGUGACUUACUAAUUGAUUGCAAAAGACUGGCUAUGCAAGGAAAGGCUGAUGAUUGUUUUGUUUAAAGACAAGAGUAAUGAAGGGUGCAUAUGUGUAUGUCUGUGGCACAUAUAAGAACAAUAGCCCUCUCUAUUAUUUUUAUGAAAAUAUGGCCUAUUAUUAGUUGUAUGAUAAAUGUUUUCUUUCUCAUUAUUUCCACAAAUGUGAAGUUGUUAAAAUGAAUCAUUAUUUCCUAUUUAUAUGACCAAUUCCUAGUAGCAAUACUGGAUCAUUGUUGUAAAUAAUGUCAAGGAUUCCUUAGUAAGACUAUGUUGUAUUGCAAGAAAAUAAGUAGAUUGUGUUUUAGUCUCUUAAACAAGUCACACACAUGGUAGUUGCUAUGUGUCUCCAUGUAUGGCCUUUAUUGGUGUGAUGCCAAUUAAUCCAGCCCUGGGCGAUGAUGAUAAUUGGCAAAGCCCACUCUAAACCAAAUCCAUUGUCUGAUAACUCAAAUCCAAAUGGGCCCAUACCUAAUCCCAAAUAAAGGGGACAUGUGUGUUGCUCUGAAAUGUAGAUCACCACUUAAUGAUCCACGGUGAUGCUGGCUUGUAUGAAACAACCAGAGUGGUUGCCCUAUCGUCACUUUUGACUCUCUGAUUUCUUAAAAACCUUUUGGGUUCUCUCUUCGAGUCUCUUCUCAUUCCUCUCUCUCGUUUUUACUUUGUGUAACCUUAAAACUUUUGGUUUUUGGAAAAUCUGUGUGAUUGAGUCUUUGUGAUUCGUUUUGUUUAGAGUUUGAGAGUAAGAUUUUGAGUUUUGUGGUCAUUCUUGGUCUAUAGAAAUAGCUGCCUCUGUUUCUCUGAAAUUAGGGUUAUGGUUAUGUGGAGAUUUUGGUUUGUAUAGAAGAGUACAAUGUAUAUUUGAGCCCAAAAACAUUUAACUCUUGAUGUUAAUGAUCAUUCAUUGAUUUUGGUUUGAAGAGUCUUUCUGUUCAGGUUUCUGGGUUAUUCUUAUUUUGAGUUAUAACAGCCUUCCUACAACAUCAUUGAAAACAAGAUGCUGGUAUCUACCAUUGAAACUCAAUUGAUUUUUCAAAUGGUUAUUAUUUACAUAAAACAAGAUGCUAGAACUGGUUUUUCAACAAUACUAUUGCACCAUGCUGAAAUACAUAACAUUACAGAAAAACCAAUGGUUUUUCAACUAUAACUAGAAGACUUGCCUAUACUACAACUCGAUUAUUAAAAAUUACUAUCAUUUAUCAAAAAUAAGUAAUGCAGAACGUCUAGUUGGUUCUGCAAACUUCAGUUCUUCAAGGAACAAAAAAAUGGCAUUAAGCAGGCCAUCCGUCUCAGCUUGUAUCAAGUAUUUAGUUUUUGAUCCAGACACAACAAAUUUGCUUCAAUAAUGGCAUCUCAAGGUUCUUUUAAAUGCCAUUGAUUUCUCGUUAGCUGUGUGUGCCUUGGUUUGGACUUGCACUUUCAUUCUAGCUUCCUCAAAAUACUGUGCAGAAGAUAAAAAAUGUUAAUCAGAAAUAGGACUGGGAGAAUCAAUGUCAAAACUCAGAACUCUAGUUGGCACAUGUUGAUAGCAUUGCAAUAUUCGGGUACUCUCACUUUCUGUUUCUUUUCCUCUCUAGCUCGGCUUAUUCAGAGUAUAAAGGCUUAUAGAGAUUAACCAGGAUCCAAAAGUAACCAUACUAUGUCGAAUGAAACUAAUCCAAAAAGGAUUACAUAUUAUGUCCUGCUUCCACGAUACAGUUGCGGUUGCUGAAUACAUCUGACCUUCACAAUGGACAUGGACUGUGUUCAACAUCGAUAGUUGAUUCAAUAAAUAGAUAAUAAUAUAGAGAUGCUAACAAAAACCAAUUAUAAAUUCAUCACCAAAAUGUGAUCAAAUUUUCGUAUGUAAAAAUUUCAUAUAUAUAACAAACAGCCUUCAAUUUGAAACUUUUCACAUAUAUAAUAUAAUAGCCCUCAAUUUGAUAUUAAUCUUCACUGUGUACGGAAGUGGUUGGGUUUCGUUGAUUUUCUCCUUUGCGUUUUGGGGGUUCACGUUAUGGGAUGAUGAGGGAUGAUUAAAGGAUGGGAAAUUAGAGAUUGGAAAUCAUCUGAUGUGGUGAUUUUGAAAUUUGGAAGAGAAGUAAUUUUCCCAAAUUGAAUUCUAGAGUUUGUUUCAGGGUGAGAUUUCGUUAGGAAGAAAUUAGGGCCAUGCCUGAUCAAAUUGUGUUUGAUUUCUAACUGAUGAAAUCGGUUUUUGCAUCACGUGGCAAGAAGAUAACGUCGUAUGUUGACACGUUGGACUCCGUCUUGCAACUUGGGAUGCCAUUCAAACGGUUAUUUGAAUAAUGAUGGAUGAAGGAGANNNNNNNNNNNNNNNNNNNNNNNNNNNNNNNNNNNNNNNNNNNNNNNNNNNNNNNNNNNNNNNNNNNNNNNNNNNNNNNNNNNNNNNNNNNNNNNNNNNNNNNNNNNNNNNNNNNNNNNNNNNNNNNNNNNNNNNNNNNNNNNNNNNNNNNNNNNNNNNNNNNNNNNNNNNNNNNNNNNNNNNNNNNNNNNNNNNNNNNNNNNNNNNNNNNNNNNNNNNNNNNNNNNNNNNNNNNNNNNNNNNNNNNNNNNNNNNNNNNNNNNNNNNNNNNNNNNNNNNNNNNNNNNNNNNNNNNNNNNNNNNNNNNNNNNNNNNNNNNNNNNNNNNNNNNNNNNNNNNNNNNNNNNNNNNNNNNNNNNNNNNNNNNNNNNNNNNNNNNNNNNNNNNNNNNNNNNNNNNNNNNNNNNNNNNNNNNNNNNNNNNNNNNNNNNNNNNNNNNNNNNNNNNNNNNNNNNNNNNNNNNNNNNNNNNNNNNNNNNNNNNNNNNNNNNNNNNNNNNNNNNNNNNNNNNNNNNNNNNNNNNNNNNNNNNNNNNNNNNNNNNNNNNNNNNNNNNNNNNNNNNNNNNNNNNNNNNNNNNNNNNNNNNNNNNNNNNNNNNNNNNNNNNNNNNNNNNNNNNNNNNNNNNNNNNNNNNNNNNNNNNNNNNNNNNNNNNNNNNNNNNNNNNNNNNNNNNNNNNNNNNNNNNNNNNNNNNNNNNNNNNNNNNNNNNNNNNNNAACAAAUUCAGGAGCGGAAAUUAUUAUAGCUGCUGUUAACUUAUAUUUAAUAAUUUAAUAUUCAAAAUUUACAGCAAAAUCCCCAAAUUUCUGGAGCCCUAGUUUGAACUUUCUAUUCUCAACACCUUGAAUCCAAAAUCUUCCACUCACACAUUAUUAUAUUCUCCCCAUUUUGACCACUAUCCAACCUUCCAAUUCACCACGUAAUCGGUAUCCCACCGGCUAUCCGUUUAACUUUAAUCCUCUAUAACCCAUAUCUAGCUAAACCUUUCUCCACGGCAUAACUGAUUUUAACCCAAUCUGGACCUGAUUCUCUAACCCUAGCGCGUUUGUGGCUUUACUAGUUUCAAUGGCUACCGACGCCUCGCCGAAAUUCAAAAAAUCCGACCUGAUACAGGUCCCUCAGCCGCCCGACUACCACCCGGAAAUUACAGUUUCGCCGGUGCAUGACGGCCUCCACUUUUGGCAGUUUAUGAUCGCUGGAUCAAUCGCGGGCAUGGUGGAGCACAUGGCAAUGUUUCCCGUUGAUACAAUCAAAACGCAGAUGCAAGCCAUGGUCUCUUGCCCUGUUGAAUCCGCGAGCGUCAAACAGGCCGUACAAUCUAUCUUGAAAUCUGAGGGGCCGAUAGGUUUUUAUCGUGGCAUCGGAGCUAUGGGUCUGGGCGCUGGUCCAGCCCACGCCGUUUAUUUUUCUGUUUAUGAAUUUUGUAAGAAGAGAUUUUCACGUGGAAAUCCAAAUAAUCAUCUGGCCCACGCUGUGUCAGGGGUUUUUGCAACUAUUGCGAGUGAUACAGUAUUUACUCCUAUGGAUAUGGUUAAGCAGAGGCUGCAAUUGAGUAGUAGUCCUUAUACGGGGGUUUGGGAUUGUGUAAAGAGGGUGCUGAGGGAGGAGGGAAUUAGAGCCUUCUAUGCGUCUUAUAGGACCACCGUUCUAAUGAAUGCACCUUUCACUGCAGUUCAUUUUGCCACCUAUGAGGCAGCAAAAAGGGGUUUGAUGGAGGUGUCCCCAGAAAGUGUGAGCGAUGAGAGGUUGGUGAUUCAUGCCACGGCUGGAGCUGUGGCGGGAGCAUUGGCUGCUGCAGUUACGACCCCACUUGACGUUGUGAAGACCCAGUUACAGUGUCAGGUAAUUAAACUAUAAUUGUUCUUGGUAUUAGUGUAUAAAGUUGGAUAUGUAGAGAACACGAGGUGGGUAUAUUUUUUAUUUUUUUCCCCUCCUUUUGGAAAUGAAUUGGAGUGUGACAUGUACUAUACUAUCCUUGCUGUUGGUCUUGGAAAAAUGAAAAAGAAAUCUUAGAGAUGCUAAUUUAGAUAUGAGAGACAGUUAUCUUUGUUGUUUCACUUUGCAAGUUCUGGUGAAAGUCAAUAGAAAUAGGAUGAUCUUUGCUGUUUUCCAAGGUUCAAUUGGAGUAACCGUGCCUUGAUGCCUUAAAAAUCUUUUUAGAGACAAUGGUAGGGACAAUAUUAAAUAUUACUGUAUUAGUCUCUAUAAUUCUGCUGAAAUAGUGAACUUUUGGAGGUGCAUCUUGAGGUAAAGAUUUCAACUUUAGUUGGAGUACGACCGAGUACUUUUUGUGUAAUUUUAGUUCAGGUACAAGUACACUUGGGGAUGUAUUAGUUUAUGGAGCUCAUAAAAUAUAUUUCAAUGCUUGGAAUUGAUUAUUCAUAGCGUGUGACGUCUGAGAUGCUAUUCAGAGGUCAGGGAUUAUAAGACUAAGUGGUUUUGUCUUUGGAACUUGUUUGGUUGAAGGUCACAGUAAAAAAACUACUGGACUGGACAUCUAUGUUUUAUGGGAUUGAAUAUUGGGGAAGCAAAUUAUAAUAAUUUGAAUUUAUAUGAGUCGUGAAAGUAAAAGAAGUUUUUGGUAAAACAAGAAGAGAUAGGAGUAAGAAUAAGCAUACUUGUAAGUUGGUUAAAAUAAUAGCCUCUAAGGAUUAAUUGCUUGAGAAUGGAUUGAUAUGGUUUGGGCACAUCUUAUGAAGGUGGUUGGAUAUAUCGAUAAGGAAAAGUAAUGAAAUUAAUAAUAGCACUAUCAUAUGGUAGAGGUUGACCUAAAAUGACAUGGAAUAAUGUAAUUUGAAGUUGAGGGGGAAAGAGGAUCUCUGACUCAGUUAACUAUGAGAUUAGGCUUUGAUGAAUUGAGUUAGGUUUCUGUCAAAAUUGUUCUUAAGUACCUAUCUAUGAUUUAAUGAACCUUCUGUUAGUUGUUGUUUCAAGAUAUUGCCUUGAAUGUGUUCUUUAUGGAUUAAACCAAGACUCAAAUGUGACGAUAAGGUUUACACGAGGUUUUGAUGCCUUUGUUUGUUGCAUGUCUUACAUAUAUUGUGUUUGAUUAUUACUUUUCUUAUAUUUCGAACUUCUCCUUUUUGGGAUUAUAUUUUUAUGAUUGUCAACAACAUUUUAUGUGAGUUGUGGAAAGGGAUUUAGAUGAGGCGUCUCUCAAUAAGUUAUGUAUUUACCCUCUUUUUACUUCUUUCUUAAUCUUUUAUCAUUUUCUUCUCUGUCUCCCUGUUUUUCUGCUUCUUCCUUCUAAUGAUGGCGAGCAGUUGUAGAGUUAUCUUGGUGUUUAAUGGUGGUGGGUCCCGGUUGUUGAACCCAUUUCAAUUCCAAUCUUUCGUGGGUAUUAGCUCUAGUAUGAUACAGGAAGUCAAUGCUUAUUCCGCAGCUUUCGAUCCCCAAGUGUUACUGUAGAGACUAGAGAGAUAGCUUCUCAAAAUGAGUUUGAGGAUGGUUGAGGAGGAAUUAGGUGAAAAUGAGUUUGAGUACAGUUGGGGAGGAAUUACAAAAGGUUGCAGAUUUGGACUAAUCCAAGGUUUCAUCUGCAGUAGGUGAGAAGGUGACCGUGGUGAGGUGGUGACAGUGGUACGAAGGGGUUGGGUGGUGGAGAAGGGUGAAGGGUUGGGUUGUAGGUUUUAAUGGGUAAAAUGUAAAUUGGUUUUUGUUUAAAUUUCGUUUUGCAUUAAGAGUAGUGGUGAACCUGUGAUUGUGAAAUGUUGUGUUUGGAAGGUGUGGAGAUUAAUUUGGAAACUGUAUUCAAGAGCUCCUAUCAUGAAAGUUGGACUUAAUUUAUCGGCAGCAAAAGAACAAAGAGCGGCAAUUUAGACUUCAACAUAUUGCUUCCAUCAUUUGAUUUAUGUGAUAACUAACUGAUCGAUAAUGUGGAAACAUUUUUAACACUUUCCCAUCGAAAUUAGCUAAAAUAAAAGGGCAUUCUGGAUAUAAGGAUUUUAUUAUCAAGUGAUUUGUCUUGAGAAGCAGGUGGAUUAAACUAGAAGAAGAGGUUUGAUGGGAUAAUCAAUGAAAACUUGAGAAAUUGAAAUUGAAAUUGAAAUUGUUUCUUUCUUGUCUCCGGUGUAGUUUUUGCUCAUCCUGCAAUUUUUCCUGCAUAGGUGACUUGGUGAUUUGUUUUCGUUUUUGUAUCAGCUUUACUUUUUAUUAGCUGAAAAUAUGUAGCAAGUAUUUGCAUUAUAGAGGUAAUAAUGUGUUUUGUUAGGUUAUACAUCACUCCCCCUGCUAUGAUGCCUGCAGAAAUUGCUGAUUAUCUGCGUUAGCCAACAUUCUUACAUGCUCUAAUAUAGGUUCUCUUUAAUCGAAUCUUAAAGAACUUUGUGGUUACUAACCCCUGUGUGGUUUGACUAAAAAUCAUAUUGUUAGUAGAUUUUGAUAAAAGUUGAUAAAACGUGUAGUUGAAAAGUUGUGGGUCCCUUAAAAUUUGUGGGUGAAAAUGAAUUUUGGAAAAACUGACUUUUAAAAAAUUCGGGUCGAAUGGCUUUAAUCUAUUGGUUUUAUGCAGGGCGUUUGUGGAUGCGAUAGAUAUGUUAAUGGUUCGAUCAGGGAUGUUACUCGAACAAUAGUGAAGAGAGAUGGAUAUGUUGGUCUAAUGAGAGGAUGGAUGCCGAGGAUGCUUUUCCAUGCUCCGGCUGCUGCAAUUUGCUGGUCAACGUAUGAAGCUGCAAAAUCCUUGUUUCAAGAUUUAAACACCAGCAGCAAUGACAAUGUCACCUGAGAAGCACAGUGCAUAGCUUCAAAGUUUUCGGAAUUUCAGACUAGGAUUGAUGGCAAGCUUAAGUGUCGGAGAUGGGCAAUUUGGUCAAUCACCUUUCUGUUUGAUUUGGCUGUUGUAACUUGUGUAACUUAACAGAUGAGAUCGACAACUCCUGUAUUCAGGAGAGGAGAGCACUUAUUAAUGUGUAUUACCCAAAAAAAAGGAAAAAAAUUUAAAAUUAAAAUUGUCAAGUUGAAAUAAGCCCAUUAAAUUGGGAGGCCUUUCCAAGAUUGGAACUCAAAAUUACACAAUUUUCUCGUGCCUAGGACUUGUCUACGGUGGUCAUAGAAAGAUGUUAGAGCAAUUAGACCACAAAAUUCUGAGGAUGAUUUUGUAAUAUUUUCAGUUCUGAUAUUGCUCGUAAAAUUAAGUAUCAUCAUUGCUUCUAUUGUCGCACUAGAAUAUUUUCAUGAGACUCUUUGUGUGUACAAUUUAAAUUCAACACUUCACAACAGUCUAAAAGGUAGACGCAGCCUCUUCGCCUAAUUUAUGCCAUUCACUAAAUUAAUUAUCCGUGCAUUCUCCUUUUGGCUAUGGGUACCACGAAGCUGUUGAGUUGCUCUCUUUUUGAAGCAAGCUAUUUUUGAGUGUGAAAUAAAGCAAGCGGGAACGUUAGGAAAGGGUUGUCUGAUAUGAGCUUUGCUUAUUGUAGAAGAGUUUUUUUGAGCAAAUUAUUUUAGAUUAACUUUCUGUAAAAGCUCUUAUAGUCAAAUAAAGCACUUUCGAAAAAUUAUCUAAACAAAUUCAAAAUUAACUUCUUAAUCUCAAAGGUAACUUUUGACUUUAAGAGAAGUCCUGCCAAAAUAUUGGGCAUAUAUUUUCUUGUGAUACAAACAACUAUUUUCCUUCAACUCCUUGAACAGCCAUUAGUAACAUGGAACAAACUCAACUACCAGUAAUAAGCUCGUACCCAAAAAUUCCAGCUGUGUAGAUGCUGGAUUUCGUGGUGUUGAUCUUCAAACCCGGUGCUAAACCAAAUUUGUCAAGGCAAUUGCUUAGAAUUUCAACGGACAUCGCAUCACCCCUUGCAAAAAGCAUCAAGUCAUCCGNNNNNNNNNNNNNNNNNNNNNNNNNNNNNNNNNNNNNNNNNNNNNNNNNNNNNNNNNNNNNNNNNNNNNNNNNNNNNNNNNNNNNNNNNNNNNNNNNNNNAUUUUAGUUGUAAGAAUAACAUAGGAUUUGAUUCUGUGAAAACUUAUAGAGAAAUAAGAAAAGUAGAAGAUAUUAUAACUAAAUAUACGGAUAUACAAGAAGAAAUUUCAGAAGGAUUAUUUAAAGAAUAUAUAACCAAGAAAGGCCAACCUAUAAUCUUUGAAGAACUAUUAAAAUAUAAAGAAUAUUUAAAGGUGUUCAAAAGAUUGAAAAAUAUAGAUAUAGGACCUGAUUGACAAUUCCUUAAAGAUAUAAGAUAAAUCUUGCAAAUAAUUUCAUUAAGGGCAAUAUAGUACUUUUGAUAAGAAAGGCUAUUGUGAAAAAUAGGAAGAAUCUACUAGCCAUUUUCAAAGUUGUCCCAACUUUUAGACCUAUUUAUUUUUAAUUAUUUAAAGUGGAGGGGCAAACUUUUUGUAUAUGAUCCUAGCAAUUGGAAGAUUUCUGUCAACGGUAAUGAACCAUGCUAAUUAGUUAAAAGUUAAAAAUGGAUGGUGCCAAUAAAAAAGUUAGAGGUAAAUACCAAACAUUUUGAAAAAAUUGGAAACUAACUAUGCAAAUUUCCCUUGUUGAUAUAAGAUAGAAUUAAACUACUUUGCCUGAAUUUUUUUAACGUAAUGGUUGACAUACUUUCACAUGCGCGUGAGUCUUGUGUGAAUAAAAAAGUUCAAAAAAGACGUGGGCCCUCUCCCAUUGUCAGUAUCGAUCAGCCAUUAUGUCAAAAAAAUUCGGACAACAUAGCAUGGUUCAUAAAAUAAAAUAAACUUUCAAAACUCUCUUCAUUUUUAUGCAACGUGAAUUUUUUUCAUAUGAAAAUAUAUAAUACAUAAUACCCAGAAUCCACCAGCCUAUCUUUCAUGCAAAAAUGUAUAAUUCUUUCAUAAUUUAUUAGAGAUGAGCAAGUCAUCUGCAGUAUAAUUGCAUAUCCAAAUAAGGAUUUUAAGUGUACAAUCAAACAUAUUUGAAAAUAAAAGAAAAAAUGAAUUAUUCAGGUCGAACCUUGAGUAAAGCAGCGGAUAUGCCCUCGACUUUUCUUGCUCCUAACUUCUGAGAAGACGGUUUUUGCCAAAAAAAAUAAAAUAAGCAAAUAAAUAAAAUUAAAUUAAAUUAAUGUAAAAGAGCAAUAUUACCCUUCAACUUAAAUAAACAAAAAGAAAAAUAAAGCAACAAAAAUAAGGAAAAAAAAANNNNNNNNNNNNNNNNNNNNNNNNNNNNNNNNNNNNNNNNNNNNNNNNNNNNNNNNNNNNNNNNNNNNNNNNNNNNNNNNNNNNNNNNNNNNNNNNNNNNAUUUUCACCAUUCUAUUACCAUAUUUUCUCUCUCCUUUUCCAAGCAAUAACUAUUGGAUGUUGUAUGGGAGUUAAGAACGAUUAUAUGGAGUUGUAAGUUUGCAUUUCAAGUUCAAACCAUUUCAUCCAAUCUUUUAAAUGUUUUGUGGGUCGGAUCACUUCAGAUGGACAACCUACAAACCAUAUUUUCUAACAAGUACAAAUGUCAUCGUAAAGAUUCAAAAAUUACUAAAAAUAUGGUAAAUAGGUCCCUUUCUAUUAAAAGAAAAGGAAGAGGGGGGAAGUUAACAAAUGGGAUCUCUAACUUAUGACAAAGGGUAAUUAGCAAGAAACGUCCUUACCUUUCAUGAUUUUUUGUGGAAAAUGUCAUUACCUUUCGUUUUUUGGCGCAUUUCAUCCCUACCUUUAUAUUUUCUUAUGCAAAACAUUAUUUUCAUCAUUUUUUUACAAUAAAAGGCUAUAAAAUGACCAAUAUACCCUUCUAUUUAAAUUUCUUAAAAAAGUUCAAAAUAGCCCCAAACAAAAAUAAAUGAAUAUUUGCACUCCCACAAGAUCAUUCAUAGAGAUUUGAAGCUGUCAAGUAUAUUAGUAAACAAUAAAACUGAAGUGAAUAUUUUUUUAUUUUUUAUUUUGGAGUUAGUAAAAUCAUACACCGGACAUUGGAUCCCUGCUAUUCCUACGUUGGAACCUACGCUUAUAUUAGCCCGAAAAAAUUCGACCCAGAUACAAACGGCGGAAAUUACAACGGGUACGCCAGUCAUAUAUGGAGCUUAAGAUUGACUCUACUGGAACUGUUCAUGGGCCAUUUUCCAUACUUGCCGAAGGGGCAAAGACCUGACUGGGCUACACUUAUUUGUGUCAUAUGCUUCGGUGAACCAUCGAGCUUGCCAGAAAGUGCAUCGAAAAAUUUCAAGAAUUUCAUUCAGUGUUGUUCGCAGAAGGAUUCCAGUAAACGAUGGAGUGCAACCUUGUUGUUAUCACAUCCUUUUGUGAAAGAGAUUGAACUGAAAUCAACAUGAGGAGAUUAAUUUUUGAGGAUUAUGGCCUCCGAGGGUAACAGUUUGGGGACCUGUUUGUAUGUAUAAAAGCAACAUUUUUGAGAUUUUAUUUCUUUAGUUUUAUCUUUAUGUUCUUUCCUUAAUUUUUGAGGAUUAUGUAUUUUUUUAUUUUUUUGUUUGGGACUCUUUUGAAGUUUUUUUUUCAAAAAUUGGGAAUAUGAUUACAAUUAUUUAUUUAUUUUUGUUUUUUUUUAAAUUUAAAUAGAAUGGUAUAUUGGUCAUUUUAUAGCAUUUUAUUGAGAAAAUUGAUGAAAAAGGAUGUUUUGCACAAGAAAAUAUAAAGGUAGGGAUGAAAUGCGCAAAAAAAACAAAAGGUAAGGACGCUUUCUACAAAAAUCAUNNNNNNNNNNNNNNNNNNNNNNNNNNNNNNNNNNNNNNNNNNNNNNNNNNNNNNNNNNNNNNNNNNNNNNNNNNNNNNNNNNNNNNNNNNNNNNNNNNNNNNNNNNNNNNNNNNNNNNNNNNNNNNNNNNNNNNNNNNNNNNNNNNNNNNNNNNNNNNNNNNNNNNNNNNNNNNNNNNNNNNNNNNNNNNNNNNNNNNNNNNNNNNNNNNNNNNNNNNNNNNNNNNNNNNNNNNNNNNNNNNNNNNNNNNNNNNNNNNNNNNNNNNNNNNNNNNNNNNNNNNNNNNNNNNNNNNNNNNNNNNNNNNNNNNNNNNNNNNNNNNNNNNNNNNNNNNNNNNNNNNNNNNNNNNNNNNNNNNNNNNNNNNNNNNNNNNNNNNNNNNNNNNNNNNNNNNNNNNNNNNNNNNNNNNNNNNNNNNNNNNNNNNNNNNNNNNNNNNNNNNNNNNNNNNNNNNNNNNNNNNNNNNNNNNNNNNNNNNNNNNNNNNNNNNNNNNNNNNNNNNNNNNNNNNNNNNNNNNNNNNNNNNNNNNNNNNNNNNNNNNNNNNNNNNNNNNNNNNNNNNNNNNNNNNNNNNNNNNNNNNNNNNNNNNNNNNNNNNNNNNNNNNNNNNNNNNNNNNNNNNNNNNNNNNNNNNNNNNNNNNNNNNNNNNNNNNNNNNNNNNNNNNNNNNNNNNNNNNNNNNNNNNNNNNNNNNNNNNNNNNNNNNNNNNNNNNNNNNNNNNNNNNNNNNNNNNNNNNNNNNNNNNNNNNNNNNNNNNNNNNNNNNNNNNNNNNNNNNNNNNNNNNNNNNNNNNNNNNNNNNNNNNNNNNNNNNNNNNNNNNNNNNNNNNNNNNNNNNNNNNNNNNNNNNNNNNNNNNNNNNNNNNNNNNNNNNNNNNNNNNNNNNNNNNNNNNNNNNNNNNNNNNNNNNNNNNNNNNNNNNNNNNNNNNNNNNNNNNNNNNNNNNNNNNNNNNNNNNNNNNNNNNNNNNNNNNNNNNNNNNNNNNNNNNNNNNNNNNNNNNNNNNNNNNNNNNNNNNNNNNNNNNNNNNNNNNNNNNNNNNNNNNNNNNNNNNNNNNNNNNNNNNNNNNNNNNNNNNNNNNNNNNNNNNNNNNNNNNNNNNNNNNNNNNNNNNNNNNNNNNNNNNNNNNNNNNNNNNNNNNNNNNNNNNNNNNNNNNNNNNNNNNNNNNNNNNNNNNNNNNNNNNNNNNNNNNNNNNNNNNNNNNNNNNNNNNNNNNNNNNNNNNNNNNNNNNNNNNNNNNNNNNNNNNNNNNNNNNNNNNNNNNNNNNNNNNNNNNNNNNNNNNNNNNNNNNNNNNNNNNNNNNNNNNNNNNNNNNNNNNNNNNNNNNNNNNNNNNNNNNNNNNNNNNNNNNNNNNNNNNNNNNNNNNNNNNNNNNNNNNNNNNNNNNNNNNNNNNNNNNNNNNNNNNNNNNNNNNNNNNNNNNNNNNNNNNNNNNNNNNNNNNNNNNNNNNNNNNNNNNNNNNNNNNNNNNNNNNNNNNNNNNNNNNNNNNNNNNNNNNNNNNNNNNNNNNNNNNNNNNNNNNNNNNNNNNNNNNNNNNNNNNNNNNNNNNNNNNNNNNNNNNNNNNNNNNNNNNNNNNNNNNNNNNNNNNNNNNNNNNNNNNNNNNNNNNNNNNNNNNNNNNNNNNNNNNNNNNNNNNNNNNNNNNNNNNNNNNNNNNNNNNNNNNNNNNNNNNNNNNNNNNNNNNNNNNNNNNNNNNNNNNNNNNNNNNNNNNNNNNNNNNNNNNNNNNNNNNNNNNNNNNNNNNNNNNNNNNNNNNNNNNNNNNNNNNNNNNNNNNNNNNNNNNNNNNNNNNNNNNNNNNNNNNNNNNNNNNNNNNNNNNNNNNNNNNNNNNNNNNNNNNNNNNNNNNNNNNNNNNNNNNNNNNNNNNNNNNNNNNNNNNNNNNNNNNNNNNNNNNNNNNNNNNNNNNNNNNNNNNNNNNNNNNNNNNNNNNNNNNNNNNNNNNNNNNNNNNNNNNNNNNNNNNNNNNNNNNNNNNNNNNNNNNNNNNNNNNNNNNNNNNNNNNNNNNNNNNNNNNNNNNNNNNNNNNNNNNNNNNNNNNNNNNNNNNNNNNNNNNNNNNNNNNNNNNNNNNNNNNNNNNNNNNNNNNNNNNNNNNNNNNNNNNNNNNNNNNNNNNNNNNNNNNNNNNNNNNNNNNNNNNNNNNNNNNNNNNNNNNNNNNNNNNNNNNNNNNNNNNNNNNNNNNNNNNNNNNNNNNNNNNNNNNNNNNNNNNNNNNNNNNNNNNNNNNNNNNNNNNNNNNNNNNNNNNNNNNNNNNNNNNNNNNNNNNNNNNNNNNNNNNNNNNNNNNNNNNNNNNNNNNNNNNNNNNNNNNNNNNNNNNNNNNNNNNNNNNNNNNNNNNNNNNNNNNNNNNNNNNNNNNNNNNNNNNNNNNNNNNNNNNNNNNNNNNNNNNNNNNNNNNNNNNNNNNNNNNNNNNNNNNNNNNNNNNNNNNNNNNNNNNNNNNNNNNNNNNNNNNNNNNNNNNNNNNNNNNNNNNNNNNNNNNNNNNNNNNNNNNNNNNNNNNNNNNNNNNNNNNNNNNNNNNNNNNNNNNNNNNNNNNNNNNNNNNNNNNNNNNNNNNNNNNNNNNNNNNNNNNNNNNNNNNNNNNNNNNNNNNNNNNNNNNNNNNNNNNNNNNNNNNNNNNNNNNNNNNNNNNNNNNNNNNNNNNNNNNNNNNNNNNNNNNNNNNNNNNNNNNNNNNNNNNNNNNNNNNNNNNNNNNNNNNNNNNNNNNNNNNNNNNNNNNNNNNNNNNNNNNNNNNNNNNNNNNNNNNNNNNNNNNNNNNNNNNNNNNNNNNNNNNNNNNNNNNNNNNNNNNNNNNNNNNNNNNNNNNNNNNNNNNNNNNNNUUUUGGGACAAAAAUCGCUCUCAAACAAGUUGCUAAUAUCCCUUCAAAAUUAUGAAAACUAAAAGCCAUAAAUGAGAAUUUACUAUCUCCAGUAAAAAUGUGAAAAAUGAAAUAAAAAGUUGCAAUGUCUUAGUGAAUAUUAUUCUUUUUUUUGUUUUUAUUACUUAUUUUUCUUUUCUGUUUAACUAGAAUUAAGGUAAAAGCAUCGCUGAAACAAAAUUUUGGUUUUAAUCAAAUAUAAUUGUCAAUUGGAGAGUCGAAUGCAUAAUAAAAAAAAUGGUUAAGGACUGAAACCCUCAAAACAAUAGGUUAAGAGGUUUACUUCCUACAUUUCCAAUAAGUUAGGGACUCAUACUAUAAUUAUCUCAUAAUCUGAAACCAAAGUCCUGGAAUUCCAAGAACUAGUAAAACGUCAUAAUCCACCACUGACUCAAAGGCCACGUGGCAUCAUAAUGUGACUCUCCACAUCACGUACAAGGCUGUCCAAGUCUGUCCCUCACACGGUAACUUUAUCAUUACUCUUUGGUACCCAACGAGUCCCGCGUGACGACUGUAAUAAUCGGCAAUUUCCGUAUAUUCAGCAUUUAAACCCUUUCCUCACAUUCUGCAUUAACUUGUAAAGAAAGAUACUUGGGCCGUGUUCGGCCACCAAACAACAAAACAAAAAUGUAAUUUAUAACUUAUUUUUAAGUUUUUGUAAAUUUUUCAUUAUGUAAUUUAUCCCUUGUGUUGGGUUUCAUUAAAAUCAAAUUUUAGGGCAAAAUAUAUUUUGUACUAGUGAUUUUUUGAAUAAUGUGUGGUUAAAAAAAAUGAAAAAUUUGACUUUAUGCAUAAUAUUAUUUUAUUGAAGAACGUGAAAUUGAAAAAAAAGUGUAAAAUGCAUUAAAAUUCUAAUAGAGCCCAAACAGUUGCUUAUUUAGCAUCUGAUAAUUGCAAAAUAUCAAGCUCCUGUUCUAGCUCCUUUUUUUUUUUAAUAUUUUAUAAUAGAUUUAAAAAAAUGAUAUUUGAAGAAUAUAUGAUUAAAAAAUUGAGAAAAAUUUUGAGUUUACGUGCAAAUUGAUUUUAUUAAGAGAAUGUAUGGAUAAAAACAAAUUUUUUUUUUAAAAAGGAAUUUUAAAAAAUAGGACUCAAACGAGGACUAGAUUGUAUCUCCAACUUCUAAGAAAUAUAUAUAUAUAUAUAUAAUGCUCUACACAUAUCAAAGGUUAUUAGUAAGCCCCCGUUUGUUUUUCAUUAGUUACCCAUUAAAAUGAAAAAAUUUACCGUUAUCCAUUAUAUCAGGUUACCAUAUUUGACUUUCUAUCUCUUGUGUGGCCCGUAACGAUUGUAUUUUUCAUUUUCAUUUUUACAUUAAUGUGUACCAAAUGGGGUCGAAGAACAUGAUUGAAGAAAUAAAAGAAAGAUACUUGAAUUUCUUUAUUUAACACGUGAUCACUUAGGUUAUAAAUUUGAUUUUCUCUCUUUUUAAAAAUAUGAAGUUACAUUUUCACUAUACAUUUUGGGGGUAGUAGAGUAGGAAGCAAACAAUUGAUCUUUUCGUGGUAGAAGAGUAUACGAUGCUGCCAAACACGGCCCCCGAAAUAUGGAAAUUUAGCAUUCCCGUAAUUCUGGUAAGACUCGUUACCCCUCCCCGUAAUCUAAAUAUCAAAAAUUGUACAAUUGGUUUCUAACUUAUUUCUCUAUGACAAAUUGGUCUCUAGCAUUUCAAAAAUGGAAAAAACACUUUAGCGCUUUUUUGAUAAAUAUUUUUUCUUUGAAAAAUAUUUUUUGCAAAAUGAUAUGGUUAAAAAAUAAAAAAAUUAUGAAACUUAACUCCAUUGAAUUGAAACACAAUAUUUGAGAGUGACAAAGGGAGGUGGACUAGCCUGUCGAAAUUUUAUAAAUUUUUAUAUGAUAUAUAUAUUUUUCUAUUUUAUAAUUUUAGCCUUUGUUUGUCUUAUUUUUGCAUCAAAAUAUAUUUUUGAAUAAUUAUUUGACUAUACUUAAAAUAUUUUUUUUUAAUAAAAUAAUAUUACACGUAAAUUUAAAACGUUUCAUUAUUUUUUAAGUACACAUUUUCCAUCGUAACAUUAUUGCAAAAUGCAUUUUUUUGAAAGGGGGCUCAAACAAUCCCAAAUAUUGCUGCAUUGUGUUUAUAUAUAUAUAGGUCACAUGAUGAUAUAAAAUAAAUUUGAAUUGUUUAUAAGGAUUCACUAUUUAUAUAUUAAAUAUUAGGGACUUAAUUGUUACGUUUUAAAACCUGACGGCCAAUUUGCAAAUUUCCCUCCUACUUUUUGGCUCCAGUGUCAAUAAAACUUCAGAACCCUAUCCAUUUUUAUGAUAUUACAAACUUGACAUUCUUCAAAGUUUCUCUCUCACGCACAUACACACAGUAACAGUGUUUCUCGAGACAAACCUCGAGUCAACUACAGUAAUGGCGGACGAAAUUGCCCUUGAUUUUCCAGCUGAAAUCCGAAUCAUACCCCGCAACACUUUUUAGAUUCUACCAACCGUUUGAAAAGAUUCCGUUCCUCCGAUCAUUCAUGGAAAUCGUUUUCAACUCAGUCAAGUUUUUGAGCAAUUCAAACAUAGAUAUGUAUAUACAAAUAUCGAUAUAGAGUUAAGUAGUAGUUUUAUAUAGUUGGGGAUGGAUUUGGUUGAGGAGGUAGGAGAGAGUUCAUCGCCACCGCGAAGUUAUGGCAGUUACGGCGGUGGUAGCGGUGGUAACGAUGUAAUCAGGAAUGAUGUGUAUAAUCGGCUUAUAGAGAAUGAAAAUGAAGAAGCUCUUGGGAAUCCUGAUUUCCGCGAACAGUUGGAGUCUCACUUCAAUCGCCUACCUCCGAGGUUGUGCUUGCGUGCGUAAAGAUGCAUAAAUGAGAAAUGUGUACUGCGUGUGUCUGUGACUGUGUGUGUGACGGUUGAGUAGGUUGGAGUUCAAUUUUGUGUGUAAUUGCUCUCUAUACGGUAUAUGUGGAUGCAAGUAUUCACAGAUGAUUCCUGUAAUAUUUAGAAAAUUCUCCUUUUCAAAAAAACAGGAAAGUAACUUCAUGUACGUAUGUGUGUGCCUGUGUGCUUUCAUUUAUGUGGUACAUGUGCUUUGCAUUAUGUAUUCUAUGAAAUAAUGAAGCUGUAGACAUCUUGUGAGUCUUAGCAUUUGUAUCACAUAAAAGCGAUUCAGCGGUUGACUGAUUCAAAUGAUGCUGUGAUUUUGGUGUUCUAAAUUGGAAAACAUCUUGGAAAUUUGAAGUUCUGAAUGGUAUCGGAUUUAUUUAUUGUUUUAACAUGUUGUCAUCUAUUAACUUUUUCAAUUUUGAGUUGAUAUUUUUUCGAUAUGAUGGUAAAUAGUUCCAUUUUAGUACUGUUGACGACAGAUUUUUUUAUCAGUUGUUGUCAUUGCGUGUUUCAGUUAUGGACUGGAUAUUAAUAUGGAUAGAGUGGAAGAUGUAUUGUUACAUCAAAGUCUUCUUGCGCGGGCAAAGGAUCCUAAUAAUCUGCCUGUUUUCCAUAUUCGGUUUUUAGAGGUAUUAUUUACAGUAGUAAUCCUUUUAUGCUUCCAUGUACUCAUUAUAAAUCAUUGCACUCGUGAUAUAUGCCUUUUCAAUUUAUUAACUUCUCAUUCCUUCUGAUUUAAAUUAAUUUACUGUAAAGUAAUGUCAAAUAGUCAGUUCAACAGAACCAGUGUAUUAACAAUACUUGCCUACAAUGAAAAAACAGCACUCGGGUGAUUGUUGGUACUUUUGGACCUGUAUUGUAUAUUAUAGAUGAUAUAUCAUGUUAACUAGAUUUAUUGUCAAAGCGCACCAAUGAUCGAGUGUUUGAGAUUCCUUUUGCAAGUCAUGCAGCAGCCUCCCUUUUUACAUCAGUGCAUAUGAUCAAGAAUCUUACAUUUGUUCUAGCAGGCUUUGGGAACAAAAAUAAGUAAUCUGUCGCUUUCAAAAGAUGAAGAAGAAUUGUAGGAUCUGGUUGCUUGUUACGAAGCUUUUAAAGUGGAGAGGAGAGAAAAAUGGCACUUUGACCUGCCCAUAAUUUGAAACUCCAAAAACUUGAUGACUGAAGGGAAGAAAAAUCUUGAAGAUUGAAGAAGAGUAGGGUUGUAUUGAGAACAUCUAGAAUGAGUAAUGUCAUAUUAAAGACAUUGUUAAAAUCAAUGUUUCCUUUUCCCUGUUACUUAUUAAUCGGAUAGCCUUUGAUGUGCUCUAUCGCUGAGCAUAACAUUCACAUUAUAUGUAUGUCUUGGUUAUCAUUGUACCUUUUAGCUAAGUAUCCGAACAAAUCACCCAAAGCAUGUGAAAACUAACCUAAACCUUUGUAUUUGGACCUUAAGAUAAAAGGUUAACAAUUAAAAAAAAAAAAAGAAAAAAGAAAAAAAAAAAGCUUCUGACGGAAUCACUCUCCUAUUACCUGGGAAGAAAUGAUUCUUAGACAAUAAAUAAGCAUUACAUGUUUGUGUCAUGAUGUAGCUGCCCAAAAGCAAAACUAACUCUUUUUUCCAUUUUUUGGUGGGUUAUCUGUCUCAUUUCACUAUCUCUAGCUCAUGCCUGACUGCUAUAUUGUGUGUCACUGAUCAGAAUAUCUUCUCUAGAGCUGAUGAUAUCGAUGGUGAACAAGUUUCAAGCAUUCCUUCUGCCUCAAGACCAUGUGGCGGGGAUGGUAAUGAAGAUGCCCCAUCUUUAAAUCACGGGUACUUUUGACUGUCAAAAACUAGUUACAUACUUAUUUAGUGCAUGUUUGGCAAACCUUAUACUUGCUUGUGAGGUGGUCAAACUAUUUUUAUUUCCAUAGGACCCACAUCUCUUACUUAUUUUUAAACCACACGUUCUUUAGGUUCUACUGUUUAUAAGUACUUAAAAGCUUAACCAAGCAAGCACUUAAUAUAUUUCUUACCUGCUUGCUCUAUACAUUAUUCUUUUGCUUGGUAAUGUUUGUGUCUCUAUGUCUGUCCAUAUUUCCACACUGUCUCUAUUUCUUUUCAUCUCUCUAUGAUUUAAAACAGAAAAUGCACGGGUGACUUUGAACCUUGUUCUAAGCUCGAGGAUCUAAACUUGGAUGUAAGAAGGAAUUCUAAUGACAGAAACAGGGAAACUCCUACCGAAGAUUUAUUGAGAAGGUAAUUUCCUGGUAAAUCUCUUUUAUUAUUGUAUUUCUGUUAUUACUGAGAUUCUUCAAAGACGAUUCCUUCAUUUUUUUAUUAGAUUGCCCCUUGGUGAGAAAGACUCAACUAAUUUUUUGUCCACCUUGCUUUGACCCUUGGCUUCUGAGGGAGAGUUACUACAAAGAGCUAUCUCUACAAGGGUCUGAAUAUCUUGGAUAUAUUGAUUGUUGUAAUGGCCAAAAAGUCAAAGAAAAAAUUAAUGGGAUUGAAUAACGUAUAUUGAAAUGCAAAUUUAGCUUAUCUUGAAAUGCUUAGCUUAAGGACCCUAGGAAACAGCAUGUCCAUGCUUCAUUAUUUGAAGGCUACUCUUUCUUUCUAUGCCAAUGGUUUAUCUAAUGGGCAUUUACCGAGCCUAGUUGAACAUGCUUGACUAUGACUCAAGAAAUCCAAUACAUAUUUGAUUUCCUUCCUAUUUGUUUUCUCUCAUAUCGAUAACUAUGAUAUUUUAUUGUGAGAUAUGCUUAUUUUGUGAAACUUUUAUAUUGUAAUUGUGUAUGACCUUGCUAUAUUCUUCAGAUAUACAAGACUCUUAGCUGCACUUAAUCUAUAUAAUAGAUGUAAAUGUUUCUCUGUUAUAUGUGAAAAGUAAGUUUACUAUUGAGAAGCAUAGUGCAGGCAGGAGGUUCAACACAUACCAAUACUACCAAUACAUGAAGUAAUAUUUUCAACUAUUGACAAGCCCAAGCUUCUUAGUCAGGUAAAUUUGAGAGCGAAGUUGUACAAUUUUGUUUAAUAAAUGGUUACUGUUUCCUGCUGUGAAUUUAUCUUGUGAUUAUUGGUCUUGGUCAUUACCGGUUGUGGUAGGUUAAUCUUGUGUAAUGUUUGGGGGUGUAUUUUCUUGUUUACUUAAUGUGGAUUAUAAAGUUCAUGGCACAUAAAGCUUAGUGGAAAUUACCCCUUGGGCUGUUUUUUAAGCUUGCAUUUCAUAAACAAGAUUUUAAGUUUCAUCUUUCACAAUUCAGAUUAUAAUUAUUUAUUGUGGAAAUUACAUAAACCCAGGUACUUAAACUUUCAAAUUCAAAAUUGAGGGGCGAAGUUUAUUUAUGCACAAAUCAGGUAUUAAUAAAUAUAACGACCAAUUUCAAACCCUAAUUUCAAACCCAUUUCCCGUCUCUCUCUUCUCCCUCUAAACGCACACAGCGACAACAACCAUCUUCUCUUCGGCAUUUGUUUUGUGUAAUGCAGCGGCGCCGGCCAGACCUGAUAUGAGCGGCGCUUCCAGAUCGUCGUGACGAUUUGAGCCCCGCAGCCAUGGUGAUGCCAAUUUUGGGCGGCGCUGCUCGUGGCGUGAGCUCCGAUGCUGUAACGAUGGUGAUUUUUCCGGUGUGCGUAGCUGCUGCUUUGGGAAUUUUUUGGGUGGGAUGUCGCAAUGAAGUUACUUGUACUCGACCACUGCAGAUGAUGGCGCUAUAAUAGUUUCAGAUCUCAUCGCUGCAACGGUGAUGACAAUGCGACGGCGACCGCUGCAAUCACAAUUUCAGAUUGCGGUACCUAUAAGGUCAAUGUUUGGGUUUUUUAACUAUAGCGGUGCAGCGCUCAUUGUGAGCGGUGUGGUGUAGUUUGGCGAGUUAGAUUUGGUAGUAUUGUAUGAUGUGGUGGCGGUGUGGUGUAGUGUGACGAUGUGGCUGAGUGAGUUGGUGACUGUGGUGCUGUACAGGCGAUAGUGUGCUAGUCGACGGUGAUGCACUGUGGCAAUGAUGGAGACGAAUGGGGUGUCUGUGACCAACAAUUAGGCUCUGUGACCAUCUAUUUAGGCAUAUGUGACCAAAUAUUAGGUGUUUGUGAUUAAAAAAUAAUUUGUGAUUAAUAAACUGUGAUCUAUGUGACCCAUAGCCAAAAUGUAACCUGUAAUUUAAAUGAUCCGUGACCUACAAAAUUUUUGAUUUGUGACCGCGAAAUAAUCUGUGAUUAAUUAAUUUAACGAUAUGUGACCAAUAAAUAAAACUGUGACCUAUAAUUAUGAAUCUGUGACCAUUAAUCAUGUAACUGUGAGUUUAUUAUCUUUAUUUAAUAAAUAUUUUUAAUUAAUUAAAUGCAUGCCUGAUUUUUGAAUUUUCAAACUAUUUGAUUUUUGAAUUGAGGUAAACAUAACACCUUAUAUGUGAUUUUUUCCCUUAUUUAUUUAACAUUUAUUAAAUAAAGAUUCACUUUCUCUCUCUAUUAUACUCUCUCUAAUGUCUCUCCACUCAUCCCUAAUUCAUCACAAAUUACUCUCUCUCUAUUAUUUGUCCACUAUCUACUCUUCUGAAACACCAACGUUGGCGACACCAUCUUCAUUAGCUGAUGACCACCUCAUGCAGCCACGUGCACGAAUACUUGUGGUUUGUUGAUGAGACCAUGGUGGUAUGCUACUGGCUUUCGUAUUGGUGGUUUGUUGGGACCUUGGUAGUUUGUUAUAGACACGUCUAUGUAGGAGUGGUGGUUGAAAAUGGUGGUUGUGGUAGUGGUUGAAAAUGGUGGGGGCGACGGUGAUGGUGGCGGCGGCGGCGAUGACGAGGAGGUAUGGUGAUGGCGGUUUUAGAUUCGAUUUGUUGGUGGUGGUGGUUGUGAUGUUUGCCGCGGUGGUGGUGGUUGUGGCAGUGGUUGUCGUUUCCAUUGUUGCUUUGAUUUUGGAUCUAUUUUGCAGUGGUUUUGUCGUUGCUGUCGUCAUAGUGGUGGUGAAGUAGUGGUAGCUUUUUGUGGUCAUAGUGUGGUUUGUUUGAGAUGAUGGAGAUGGUGGUGCUGCUAGUUGUAGGGAGGUGGUGGUUCUGACAACGGUGUUAUUGCAACAAUCCUGCUAAAGGCAGUAUAAGGUGGUGGUUACAAGUGGUGAUUGUGGUUACAAAUUAUUUAGUUGAUUUUGACUAAUAAAUUGGUUAAUGUGUGAUCAAUAAAUAAUAUGUGACCUAGGGCCAACCCUCAGAAUUUUGAGGCCCUAUGCGACUAAUAAUUAUGAGAACCUUAUAUAUAUAUAUAUAUAUAUAUAUAUAUAUGUUAUCUCUCUCUCUCUUAAAGAUCUUCGACUCAGUCUACAAUAACUUUUCACCUAUUUUCUAAUAGAAGAUGUAAGUUAUGUAAGAAAACAUGCCCUGAAACCUGUGUUGCUUCGGGCAAUUGUGUACUAACUCACACGUGGAAAUAUUCACACCAAUGUAUCAAAACAUGAUAUCUCAUUGUGUUCACAUCUUUGAGGAAAACCACUAACAUAUUCCUUUAUAAUAGACAAUAUACCUUAUAGAAUGAAACAUACUGUGAAAUGAUGUGAUGUUUUGCAUUUAUUUUACUAAACAUAAAUAAAUUUUUGCAUCACCGUGUAGGAAUAUGAUAUAAGUUGUUGAAUUCGCCAUUUGAGAAAGCAACUAUAACAUAUUGGUGUAUAACAUACAAAGAAACUUACGGAAUAAACUAGAAUAUGCAACCAUGUUACACUGUGCAUUUUUGCACUAUUUUUUAACAUUUAAAAACUAAAUAGCAAAAUAUCAAAGUUUGAUUAUCAUCUUGUUGAUUCAUGGUUUGAUAUGAUGUCUUGAUCUCUUGUACUUCCUAGAGUUUUCGAGCAACUAUUUAGAAUCCCGUAAAUAUAUAUUACAUGAUAAUAUAUAAAUUUAUAUUAUAUACCAAUCGAUACUUAACUUAUAUAUUUAUAAAUAAAUAAUAAAAGAUACAAUAAUACCUAGAAGUACAAGAACUACAUAGAUGGGUUCCGAUUGUUAUGGAAAUCUGAUCUACCCAAUUUUGGCCUUAAUUACAUGAAUUUAUUUUCAUAUUCAAUUAGACUGAUUAUUAUGGAAUUGUCUUCAAAGAUUUUCCAUUUAUGCGGAGUUAGUGUCAGUUUCCUUAAUUAACACUAUAGAUGGAUUCCAAUUGUUAUGAAAAUUUAACCCAAAAUUUCAGUAUUUUGGGAAUAAAACCUUCGUCACAAUAAAUUUAGAAUUUCUUCAUUUUUUUUUUUUUUUUGUGCGGGUAUACUAGAAAAUUUCCCAUGCUUUUUUUGGAGGCCCCUAGAAUGUUGAGGCCAUUGCCUAGUUGGCCUUGGGCUAGGGCUGGCCCUAAUGUGACCAAUGAAAUUAUCUAUUUGUGACCAAUAAAUAAUGUGUGACUUAAAAAUUUACUUAAGUUAUUAUAAAUAAUUUGAUAAUUUGUGACCUAGAAAUUGUGUGUGAUAGUUAGUUUGAUAUUAUGUGAUCAUGAAAUAAGUUGUGACUUAUAAAUUUGUGAUUUGUGAUCAAGGAAUAAGUUGUGACCUACUAAUUUGAUGAAUUUGAUCCCAAAAAAUAAGUUGUGACCUAUAAAAUUUGUGAUUUGUGACUUUGAUGCAUGUGAUUGUAACUAAUACAUAAUUGUGAUUAUAAAUUAUAUAAUAUUGUGACUUUAAUAUAUUAUUAAUUAAUUAUUUUAUAAAUAAAAUUUAAUUAAUACCUGAUUUUUGAAAUAAUAACAUUGUUUCUUACUUUUGAAAUGGAUUAUACUAAGCGGUUGCAAAAAUCACUUCAAGAUUGUAACAACUGGUGCUUCAUCUGUUUGGAUCAAAAGCUUAUUUUAGUUGGUUGGUUGCGUUUCAUAUUUGUAUUCUAUAGGGCAUAUUUUGCCUUCUUUUCUGCUAGUUCUCUGUCUCCCCAUUCUUUCUCUUCUUAUCUUCUGGUGUCCGUUAGCCAAGCUUGAUUCUUGAGUGCAAGCUUUUUAAUUUGGCAAAUGAACAUCAAGAUCUAUUUAGUACUCUGUAAGUUCCUUCUUAUUGUUUUCUUUCUGUUUCUGCAGCUUUCUGCUUUGCUUUCUGACAUAGGACUUAACAUCCGUGAAGCGCAUGUGUUUUCUACAACAGAUGGCUACUCUUUGGAUGUGUUUGUUGUGGAUGGAUGGCCUGUUGAGGUACUUAUUGUUUUAGGAAAUCCGACCUGAGUAUGCUAAAUUUCAAGUAAAACCUAGGAAUUUAUGUUUCAAGUUUCUUGGAUGAUGUUGUUCGAAUUAUGUUUUUUGUCACUUUCUUUAAAUUUAUGACAUGGCCUACCAUGUGUUGGAAUUUAGUGAUUUAUGCAUAAUUAAUUUCUGAUUGAUCUACCUUUUACGUGUUGGUUCAGGGGACAUCUUCAUUAUAAUGUCUGGGUCCGAACCGGCAGAAGUUUUGAACUUGGUGAUAAAUAUUGCUUCUGUUUUUUAGUCCUUAAAAUAGCUCAUUUGAUAACAAUAGCUUUUAUUUUUGAAUCCAAUUUGUUUCUCAAAUAUGUAGGGGUAUUAUGUAAACUUAGAGUGAGCACGGGUUUGACUUCUAAAAUAGCACACAUGUAUUUCGGGAAACCUAAAUUGGAAAGCGGCACACGUUUCAUGGCAACUGAAAAUGGAGAGUCGUAUACUUUAUGGGAAGGAGAGAUUAUUUUCUUUGUGCCUUCACUAUGUAGAAUAUGCUAUAUAUGAAGUGUUUAUUGCUUUCCCUAUGGGGGAGGCUAAAGCAUUACUGUGGUUACAUCAACAUUUUGGUGGCUGCUGUUAUACAAUGUGAUUGUUGCAAGACUGAAUAUAUUACAUAGGGCCAAGUUAUUAGGCUGUUCUGACUCCAAAUGUUGUUGACUUGCAAUUUUUUUUUACCAGAAUACAGAGGGUUUAUAUGAAGAAAUGAGAAAAUCAAUUUCUAGGAGUGAGGUAAUCCCCUUUCCAUGGCUCUCUCUCCCUCCCUCUCUCUCUCUCCCCAAAAUUUAUGACGGGGUUCUUGUACAUUGUAGAAUAUAUUUGUUAGUCUUCGGUUCUACUAGCACAAUAUUAGUUGCUAUAUAAUACACGUAAGAAAGAAAUGAUUUUGCCUUGUUAGGCUAUUUUAUAAUUAUCCCUAAGUGGAACUGGAAGAUAAUAAGAUGAAAUAUAAUCAAAAUGACUUUCUCAAUAUUUUCACCAAGCCUGUAGUCAAACCAUGAUGGAGGACAAUCCUAUCACAAAUAGGAUAGAGAAUUAUUUAUUGUUGUAGUAGGAUUUUAUUUCUUGUUCGGAAUAGAGUUUCUUCUUUCUUGUUAGGAUUUCUUCUUGCUUGUCAGAAUAAUAUUUUUUCUUCUACUCCUUUUGUGAUUUAAUUGCUUAAGUCAAUAGGAUUAGGGAGUUAAUUUGCCCAUACAAACAAAGGGUUUUUCCACUUUUCAAUCAUCAAUUCAAUACAGUCAAAUUACUUUCUUACAAACUUUCAAGUUUUCAUAUUUUCUUCUUGUUUUCAAGAAACCAAUUCUGCUUCCGUACUGAACCAUCUUUAGCAGUCCUUAAUGUUUUAUAUCUGAUCCUUUUCUCUGACAGGGGUGCAUCUUUUUUUGAGGUCAUUCCCAUUGUGUUUGAUGGCAGCAAUCAAGCCAAAUACUCUAUUUUAGUUCAAGUAGCUUGGGAAGUGAUUAGCAGUUGACUUUAACUUAAUGUAAUCUUUAUUUUUCUUUUAUUACAGCUGUGAUAGGAUCUCAUAGACACCGCUUUCUGAAAAUACAACAUCAUGUAUAAUUUCUGAAACUGCAACCAGAUCCAUUAAAGUAAAGACACAGGUUAACGAUGAAUGAAGCGAGAGGACUUGUGAAGUGUUGCCCGGUUUUAAUUUUCUAUACGCUUGGACUUAUUUCAAUAUGCUAGAAGGACAAGAUAAAGGCUUUUAACAUCGUUUCUAGUAAUUGAUUCUCAUUUCUGCUGAAAAGGAGUCAUGAAGUGAGAGUUUCGUUACACAUUAGCUACUUAGUUCUGAUUUAUGUUUCUUUUGCUUGAGGAUUCUUAUGUUAUAUAGUGCAAGAUUGGGUUUAUAUGAGAUCUUAUAAGAAAGUCAAUCUUGGUAAACAGCUAAAGAUCAAUGGAGUCUUGUGUUCUUUGCUUUGUGUAGGGAACAUGGUCUGGUUCAUCACAUUCUCAAUCAGCUGUGGAGAAAGCCGUCGCUGCACAAGAAAAAUGCGAAUGUUGGGAAAUAGAUUGGAGAUCAUUGAAGAUAGGAGAAAAAAUCGCUGCUGGGUCAUGCGGAGACUUGUAUGUUUAUAUCUAUGCUAUAAGUGCCACUAUCUAUGGGUUUAUUCUGUUUCUCAGUGACAUUGGUUGUAUAUUACUCUUGUUUAUGAAAGGUAUCGUGGAGUAUAUCGUGGUCAGAAUGUUGCUGUUAAGGUGCUUAGAUCUGAGCAUUUGAAUGACCUCCUGGAGGAUGAGUUUACAAAGGAAGUUGCUAUUUUAAGGUGAAUAGAAUUGCUACCUGCAUGCUAUUUACAUUUAAAUUGUUAAAUGCCAAUUUGUUACUGAUCUGUCUUGCUACAGAACUGCUACAUUAGUGACAGGCUAAAUGAUGACUUAGCCAAAAGAAACCAAGAGAGCUAAGAUAUCUGAUAUGUUAGUGAAUGAUACGUCUAAAUUGCUACUUUGUUUGAUAAUAUUAUGAUAUCUUUAUCAGUGGGCAUAGCCUUGGAAUCCUAGUAAUCAAUUAAGAUACCGAGCGAGCUUGUUAGCAUGAGCUUGGUUCUUCUUCUGGACUUCCAUUUUGUUUAAUUUAUGUUUUCCAAUAUCGUAUUGCCCGUAAGCAAGUCAUAGUUGUUUCUGACAAGAAAUCAUUGAUUCUUAAGCUUAACAGUCACAUUCUCUUCAAGAGUAGUUAUAAGAAACUGCUAUGAUCUGGCAACGAUCCAUAUGUUUGGCAUUUAAUUUGUAAAUGAGCCAUAUUUUGAUGGCAAUUGCUUAUCAGUCAAUGGCCGUAAUUGCUUGCAGUGGCUGUUUGAACUAGUACUCCAAACAAGCGAAAGUAGUUUGUGAAGAAUAUAUAUUUUGAAGUUGGAAGCAGCUAGGUAGUUAGAUAUUGGUAUGAUGUUGAUAGGCUGCCGAUUUAUAUCAGAUAUGUGGUUAGGGGAAGGCCAUUCAAAGAAGUUUUCCAGCUUCAUUUAGAGUUCCAUUAAUUAGGAAUCUUUUGGUGAGUCAAUUAGUCAGCGGGAUGGACCCCAAUGUGUUAUGUCUAUCUAUCUAUAAAAGAAAUUCACAAGGUUGGGAAGUUCAAACUGUGCCAAACCUUCUUGAUUGUUUUGAGGUCAAACUGGGAAUUCUGGUGUGGAUUUAACCAGGUGGAAUCAAAUAGUGAAUUAAUUAUUCUCAGCCAUUUUAUCAUUGUGCACUUAAAGAGGACAAUCAAAGCAGUUUCCAUCGAAAGCAAAACUGGUCAAAUAAAGCCGGACCAUGUGAGGGCUUUCUAUAAUUGGGAGACACCCACAGAGCAUAUUUUGGCAGGGACAAAGGUCAUGCAAGAGUCAUGUAAAUUAUUGUAUCUUUCUUAAAAAUGCUUACAAGAUCAGGAACCACCUUUUACUUCAUUGGGGGCACUCCCUGCAUUCUUUGGACUUAUGGCCAAGGAUGUGUGGCUUAUCAUGGAUUAUGCCUUGUUCAGUCAAGGAUCUAUUUUUGAGGUGGAGUUUUGUAUAGGAGAGGAUGACAUUUGGGACAGGACACCUCUUUGUGGAGAUGUAGAGAGAUGAAUGGGUGAAGUUUUGAAGGAAAACAGAAGACAAUUUUGUGAACAAACUUUUCUUAAUGAAUAUCUGAAAUAUUUUGACAAAAGGCAUAGCUUUAAUCUGUAUAAUUUAUUUGAGAGGAGUCAAUUGCUUAUAGCUAUUGAAGUGCUCAAUAAAUGGAUAUCACCUUCUUGGGGCAGAUAUAAUGGAGCUAUUUGUUAAAAAAUAUUUCUGAUUACCAAGUAUAUAAUAUGUCACUUUUAGGUGUCUUUUCAUGUUUAUAUUGUCCGUCUUAGAAUGUAUCAUUUUGAAUCUUAAAGAUGAUGAUUUAUGAAUGCAGGGAAGUACAACAUGGAAAUGUUGUUCGCUUCAUUGGUGCAUGCACAAAGUUGCCUCAUUUAUGCAUAGUGACAGGUAGAACAAUUUGAACUUCAUCAAUGCAUGUUGCUGGAACUAGUGAGAUUCUGUUGUUCAUUAUAUUCCCUCUUUGACUGUUUCUCCACUUCAACUUGCAUGCAAGUGAAAAGAUGCCAAGAGGAGUCAAACUCUCAGAUUCAGUUUGCUAUCCCCCAUACCUAUCCCAAAUAAAGAAUUAAUCAUUUAUGGUUUAGCACUCUUACAUUUCAUGAUCUGCUUAUUUGUUUUAACUUGUGUCAGUGUAUUGCCUUAUCCUUGUGAAUUGUGCAUAAACGGUUUGUUUAUAUUUCAGUUGUAUUUAUGUCUAUGUUUCAUCUUACAGCAAAUUGCUUCUGGAGAUUCUAUUGGUUCUAUAUUUCAAGUAGUUAAAAUAGUUUACAUCCGGAGCACUUGUAGAAUUUUCUCAACUAACUGCUAUUAUUGCUUGUAGAAUACAUGCCGGGCGGUAGCCUCUAUGAAUAUUUGCACAAAAAUCAUGUCGUCUUGAAGCUCUCACAGUUGCUGAAGGUUGCAAUCGAUGUGUGCAAAGGCAUGGAGUACCUGCAUAAUAAGAACAUUAUUCACAGAGAUUUGAAGACAGCAAAUUUGCUUAUGGAUGCUCACAGUGUAAGUUCAUGGAUAAAUUAGAUUGUUAUGCUGGGACUGUAGUCUAGAAUGCCUAUAGAUGUUUGGAAUAAAGAAAGUUUUGACGGCUUCACUUAACUUCUCUUAUUGUUGAAGUAUGAUGGGAUAUUCAUCUUCCUUAAGCCAUUGAUCUUAUAGAGUUGUACCUCUUUGGUUUUUAUGUAUGUUUUUUCACUUCUCAUGCUUUUGGUAAUAUAACAAGAAGGCUGCUUAUGGUGGUUGUGUGGCUUAUCAUUGAAAGUCAUGAAAUGAAACUCUUAAUCUUGAAUUGUACAUGAUAAAUUGGAAAUGCUGCUUGAUUUUAAUUUGACCAAUGAAUUUGUAAUAUGCUGUAUGUUUUUGUGAGGAUGACUAGGUAAGAUGUUUAGUCCUUUCAUUAUUCUGUUCUGGUAUACGUAUUCAAGUGUCACCCAGACCUAUUACUUGUAGUCAAUUAAUUCCUUGCUUGUUUUUUAACAUCAAACCUCGUUCACAACUCUCUUCUCUAAGAAAAUGCACAAAAUUGAUCAUUAGCUUACACAUGAAAUGUAAGUAAUGACAUUUGUAAUCAAAAUGGGAGGACGAGAAAAUAGGCCUGCUCUGUUGAGCCUGCAGAUUUGUUGAACAUGCUGGCCACUAAGAUGCACUGCACAAAUCUCCAGAUGCUUUGUUAAAUUAGAUGCAAAUGAUUUAUAUACUAGAAACAAGUGAAAGAAAGUGAGACCUCAAGUCCAUGCAUCAAUAUGCUCCACUCUCUGUCGAUUGCAUGAAGUAUUUAGAAUAUGCGAUUGUGUAUCUAGAACAUUGGUUACAUUUCUUAUGCAUACGUCUUGUAUAAUUUGUUUGUUUAAAAUAAGUUUCUUUUAAUUAUUUUCUCUUAAUCAACAUUUCUUUAAUUACGUUUGUGUGUAGUAAGGUCCUUUUUAAUUUCUUGCUCUUGUUUAUAGAGUUCACUGUAACUCAAUGCAGCUGUAAUCAUAUUCCUGAAUAUACUUGUAGGUUGUUAAAGUGGCAGAUUUUGGUGUUGCUCGGUUCCAGAGUAAUGGUGGGGUUAUGACAGCAGAGACAGGAACGUAUAGAUGGAUGGCACCUGAGGUUUGACUUUUGUCAGCUAUUAAAAAUAUUAGUCUUUUAUGUCUAAUAAUAUGUCACGGGAUAGGGGGCAUUUGCACACACUUUAAUAUCUCGAGUUACCCCUCCCAUAACAUUCCAAAAUAGUUUGUUGACAUGGGAACCAUUAUGGAGAUUUUAUAUAAUUAGUGGUUUACAAAAUGUUUUGAUGUGAAAAGGGUCACAUCAUUUGUAUUUUGAUGGUCAUUUUGUUUGGAUUGUGUUGGGCGAGGGUUGUGCGUGAGACUGUAAUAUGGAAGUUGAGCUAUAAAUUAUUUUACAUAGAGUUGGAUGAUUGCUGGAAAGUGAGGACACUCCUGAGAAGCUUUUAUGUCCAUGUUGGUUUUAACACUCAUGUAUGGGUUUGAACUCUAUUGAACAUUUCCGGAAAUGAAUACAGAAUUCAUAAGUUUAGACAGCUCAGACACGUUUUGAACAUGUAUGGUACAGUUAUACUUUGUUAGUCAUAACUGUUUCAAAUACCGCGUUCACAGCAAGUGGUGGGACAUAAUUGUUUACAAAUACACAAAUCUAGUGGCAUUUGAUGUGAGCGUAUCAAUUUCGUACUUCAAAUACACAAGGGUUAAAGGAGUGGGUGGAAGAAACUGGUGCAUACACGGUACAUAUGCAUACUUAUCUUCAUUAUUAGUGAUUCACCUAUUUUCUGUAUUUUACUCCGAUGCAAGUACCUUACUGAACAUUGGUAUUUUUCAGUCGGAAAAGGGCCCCUGUACACUAAGCAGGGCCCAUUGUCAAUAUUCCUGAGUCCUCAUUUUGUUCUGUCAAAACUGAACACUCUGCAACCUUGUCUAUUAGUUAGUUCUAAAUUAAUGACUGUGUGGUUUGGAAGUAUUUAUUGCUGCCAGAAUGAUAAUGCCUUGCCUCAGGAAUUAAUAGAUUGUUUUUCCUUGUGAGCCACAUUAUUUUCAUAAGAAUGCAUUUUUGAGUAAUGUAUUUAUGGGAAAUGUGUGGUUAAAAAAUAAGGAAAAAAUUUGGAUUUACGUGUCAUAUUAUUUUAUUGAAAAACGUGUAAUUAAAAUGAUGUCAAAUCACUGUUUAAGAAUGCAUUUUUUUGAAAAAAUAUAGCUCAAACAGGGCCUGUAUCUUUUUGUCUUUUGCAAUCCCUUGGCUACAGGUGAUAAAUCAUGAACCGUAUGAUCAAAAAGCAGACGUGUUCAGUUUUGCUGUAGUUCUUUGGGAGCUUGUGACCGCGAAGGUGUUUCUUAAAUUUAUAUCUUGUAAUAAAUGAUAAUUAAAGCUUUGAGAGUGAGGAAGGUGAUGCUGUAUAAAACUUUCUUUUGUUGGGGCUGCAGGUUCCUUACGAUACUAUGACACCUCUACAGGCUGCACUGGGAGUCAGGCAGGUUUGUGAUCUACUCUAAACUUAAAAUUCUCUCUGGUGGCUAUCAUUUGACAUAGCUCAGCUAACUGAGCGAAGUGCCAUGUCCCAUAUUUCUGUGUGAUCAUGUUCAUUUUUGAUAUGAUGCAAUCUAAGUGAAAGGGUGUCCCUCUGUUUACUGUAGUAAAAAUAUCCUAAAACUGCCAAGCCACGUGGAGGCAUCAAUAUUAAUGAAUCCAAGGUAUUUUUAAAUAUUUUAAAUAAACAAUCAGUAUACUUUUUGAGUCCCAUUUCUGUUCAAUGUUAUAUUCUGAUAAGAACUGGAGACCCUCUUAGUUGCUGAGUACCAUUGUAAGCAAGUCCAAUGAAAGUGAUGAAUCUGACUAAAAAAAUUUGAUAUUUAAUCAUUUGAGUAGGCCCAAGUUAGAGCAAUCAGAUUGUCCUAUUAGUUACACGAGGGCUUAACAGCAGGCUAACGUUGAUACAAUCAUGUUCAUAUAACUUUUUAAUGUUUUCUAUAAGUGGAAGUAAUUCACACAAUCCUAAGUGAAGUUGCCGCUUAGAGAUCACAUAAAACUGAUUUCCUUUGACAUGAUUUUCUUUAAUACUGUACUGUUGACCAAACAUUUAGAUAACUCCAAAGAAUUUUGCAGGCCAGUGAGCACUGCUAUGUGAUUUCAUAGCGAUACAUUUUAUGAAAAUAAUGACUGCACCUGUUUGUGUUCCUGACAUGUCGCUGAUUAAGAGUUGGCUAAAUACAACUAUACAAUGCUGUAAUUCUGAAACGGUCUCUAGCAAAGUUAUAAAGCAAUCAUUUACUGCAUUAUGCUAUCUUCAACUGUUGAAGAAAAUGUAUACAUCUUUCCACUUUCCCUUGUUUAUAUUUGGUGUUUCUUUCCCCCAUCUUUGUUUCUUUUACUUGAUAGAGGAUGCAGAGGGGGUUUCUAUGUUUAGAACCGGGGGAAAGAUUAGCAGAGUUGAAAAAGCAGCAAAUAGGAAUCAGAUUGAACAUAUGAUAAAUUUUGUUUGAUAUAUAUUCAGCAGUGUCAUUUGUUGACAAGCUUCUUGAUUUGUAUGUGUGCUAUGUGCUAGGGUCUUCGACCAGAACUUCCCCAAAAUGGUCAUCCAAAGCUGUUAGACUUGAUGCAGAGAUGUUGGGAAGCAAUUCCUGAUAAUCGUCCAACCUUCGCAAAAAUUAAAGUCGAACUUGAGGAACUCCUACAAGAAGUUAAGGUAGAACUUGAACACGUUAAAAGCACUAGUGAUCAUUGACCUUCAUUUUGUUUUAAGUUACUCACGAAAUAUAACUCUGAUAAGUGGUAUCAAAAUUUAAAUGUUAGUUACAAUUUGGUGGUCAUCUGAUCCAUGCCCGUUAGUUUAACUAGUGAGGCAUGAACAGAGUGAUCAAAUUGAAGACGCAUCAAGUUCAAAAUCAAACUUGAAAUUUCGUAAAAAGUUAAGCGACCACAAGUGCAUUUAACCCGCAUGAACUCAUUAAUAUAUGCAGACCUGUAUAUGGAUACAGGUAUUUAUUGUUUAAAUUUUACAAUUUUCAACUGCAACUCAUUUUUAUAUGCUUUUCGCAGAAUGCUCCGGUUCCGCCUGACGGACUUUGAUCCAUAGUGAAUAUUUUACCCAUGCAUCGGCACAUUUUGAUAGUAAAUAGUCAGAGCUUUUAGUCGUCAUCUUUUAGAUUGAAAUCGAAUUUAGCUUUGUUAUAUAGGUAGGCGGUGAAAUACUCUCAAUAGGAAGAUGUUGUGUUUGUUUUGCAAUACCAUAGUUGUGUCCACGAUGAAGUUAGCAACACCAACUUGUACCUGUACAUGGAUGGAUUAUCAAUCAAAGAGGGGUGUUUUUUGGACAACAUGCGUUCUACGUUGGACUGGAAAUUGUUAAUGUGGCAUUGGGAAAAUAUUUUACAUGCGUGACAUGUUCGGUAUUGAGAAUUGGAUAGUACUUGACAAUAUUAAGGAAGAAAUAAUAUUUAGACCUAUACACUUAUUUUUUCAGAAACUUUACAUUGGCGAAAUUACAAAAUACUACGUAAUUUUAUGUUUUUUGUUUUGUCUUUAUUUAUUUAUUAUUUUUUUUGUUGGGGGGGGGGGGGGGGGGGGGGGGGGGGUUUNNNNNNNNNNNNNNNNNNNNNNNNNNNNNNNNNNNNNNNNUUUUUUUUUUUUUUUUUUUUUUUUUUUUUUUUUUUUUUUGUGGGGGGGGGGGGGUGGUGGUGGUGGUGGUUAUAAUUCUAGUCCACUUUGCAAAGUUGAUAAAUACGUACCAGGUUCGAAGUAAAAAUUCUAAUUUAUUUCGAGAGUAAUCAAUUAACAAAUAGAAAUAAAGUUCACCGAGACUGCAUCCUUUUUGCCACUAUUGUGUUUUAUUUUGGUGAGUAGUAGUUUACAAAGGAAAUUGUACAUCCAUCUUCUUUUAACACCUUUUUCUCUUUUACAAUGGUAGUAUAAAAGUCUAAUGAUGGCUCUAUUUAUAAAACAAAUUUGGGCAAAAUCAAAAUUUAUAAGAACUCAAAUUCCUAAGGCGAAAUUUGCAAUGUUACAAAUUCUUUAACUACUCUUAUUGAAAUUUGGAUUACACUAUUUAUACAUAAAAAUGGUAUAUAAGGAAUUAUAUAAAAUGAUGUUGAGAGAAAAUAUUUGAUGAAAAGUUGACGAUAUUUUCAACUAACAAAUGAUUAAGUAACCAGUGACAUUAUGUAUUUCAUAAUGAAAAGCUAAACUACGAACCUAAGGAUAAGAGAUGUAAGGAAUAUCACUAGUACGAAAAUUGUAUAUUUAGCCUAUAUAUAAUCUCAAUGAUUGUUACAACGUACGAUGAACAUGGGAGUCUAGAUAUUCUAGUGCUCAAUUAGUAAGUUGUAAAUUGACUCAUGUAUGUACAAGUUUAUUUAUUAUUCAAAUUAUUUAAUUUUUUUUAAGAGAGUCGAGUAGAGGACUUUGAUGGUGAAACAACAAUCUUUAACCAAUCACGACGAGAUGAAUUUAUUUAAAUUUAAAUAAUACUAUUAUCACAUCUCUUCAACUUCUAGAGACAUUUUUUUUUCAUCAAUAGCCUCUAAGUGCAUGCACAAUUCAUUAUUUCAACAAAUUAUUUAUCUAAGUUAUGUCUUCAAUAAUCCAUUCGAUUUUAGCUUUAGCCGUGAAAAGGGUUUUGGCUUGAAGUGACGAGUUAUUAAAGACAAACUGCAAAUUUGCAAUUACUCUCUUUUUUGUUAACCUAGUUAUCUUUUCCCCUUAGAAAUAUCAAUUCUAGAAAUAUGAAAUUCGAAUGAGAUCACAAUAGAAAAAGUUACAUGUUACACCCCCCAUCCUAUGCUUGGACGCCAUCGAAUAUCAGAACAAAGGACUUCACUAAAGAUUAGGGAAAAUUAGGAUUAGGUUUCCUAACUUUUCAAUUAGUAUGGUUUUGACUUUCUAAUUUCAAAAGUAGGAAUCUGGCUCACUAAUCUACUUAAAUACGUAAAAUUGAGUCAUGACAAAAAUUAUCUAUGUAAACAUCCAAAUUGCACAUGAAGUCAAGUUAAAUUGGUGAAUCUAAGUCUAUGGGUUAAUGUUAAAUCUUUGACAAUUUUGUCAUCUAAGUUCAAAUAGCAUGAAAGUCGAGUAUAAUAUUAUAGUAAUAUUAGUUAUCUCUAUUAGAGAUGAUUUCAUGUGAUAUGCCAUUAAAUGAUAGGGUCAAUAAAAUGAAUCUCUACUAGUACAUAUGUAUCUACCAUUAAUUUAUGUUUUAAUUGAAAUAAUAAUUAGACAAGUCCAUGAGUAACUUGGCGAUUUCGUAGUUGAAGGUACCAAAUCGUAUCGAAUGUCCUUUUUUUAAGUGGUCAAGUUGACUCAUGUCACAUACACGACCAGUAACUAAGCUAAGUUGAGUUCUUGAAUAUUGCUAUUUUUUUUCUCUCUUCUCGAUACUUACUAAAAGAUGUAGUGCUCGAACCUAAAAUCCAGACUUGAGCUACUCGAUCCUUUUAUACGCCUUUGAUAAGAUGUUAACCUGCAAAGUUCCCAAACUCAUUUUGAACUCAAAAUACUAUUUUACAUCAUAUUAUCUAAAAAAUUAUUUAUUUAUUUAAAUUUUAUCUACAAGAUUUGACAGUGAUUUCGCUUAUAAAACAAAUCUUCAAACGAACAUUUGACUCCAAUAUAACAAACCAGUCAAAAAAUGCCAAAAAAAAAUUAUUAGUUAAUAGUUUUUAAUGCAGAGGAUAAUAUAAUUAAUUAACAUAGCAUAAUAUUCAAAUGAGAGUAGGUGAACUGCUCGACUUUUUGUCAACAAGAAAUUCUAAUAUUCAUCCAAUUAAUAAUUUGAUGGCUGUCUGUGUAAUUUUCAAUUUUAAUUAUUCCUUGAUUGGGAUCCGUUGACUAAAAAGAGGUACCACUGUACUGGAUCUUGAUUUUGUCCUAGUCAUGAUUUUAUUUUUAAAUUAUUUUUUUCCUUUCACCUCUCUCUUCCACACACAUGGAUUUUGAUUUUGACUACGAAAUUUAUUGCCUCCGUUUGGCCUCCCUUUUUUGAAAAUGAAAAUGGUUGGAAUAGAGUUUUUUUGAAAGAUGAGUGGUUGAAAAAGAAGAAAUUUUUUUUUGAUUUACGUGUAAUAUUAUUUUAUGGAAGAUUGUGUGGUUGAAAAUAGGAAAAAGAAAAAUGUAAUGUAAUAAAAUUUAAUGGGGAACAAACGAGGGAAUUUUGAGUUUUUGACGCUCGAAAAUGAUAUUAUAUUAAACAAAAUAACUAAAGGCAUGAUGAAGAAAAGUAAUAUAAGCAAAGAAAUAAUAUGAUUUGUUUAAAUAUUUUAUCAAUUAAAGUUCCCGUAACGACAUUGCCUUGAGGACUAUAUUUUGGUUUAAAGGGUCAAUUUGGGUAUUAUUUUAGUUAGUUAGGAGGCUAAUAUUAAGUGGUCAAGUUGUAGUACGAUUCCAAUAUUCUAGAAAGAUUGGUUAUAUUCACACCAUAUAUAUAUAUUUUUUUGAUAAAUACACCAUAUAUUAAUCAAAUUACAGUUUAUUAUCACAAUUAUAUCCUUAAACCUUUCUUCAGCACACUUUUAUUUUUAACAUUUCAUUAAUUAGAAUAUUUUGUCCUUAAUCAUCAUUUCUCAUUUCCGUCCAAAAAUAUUAUUAACAUUCUUUAAAAUAAGAAUCAAAUAUUUAAUCGCACUUUUGUAGUAUUAUUUAUUUUGCUUAUUCAACAAUACCAUGGGCAAAUGAGUCUUUUGACUCUAUCUCAAGGAAAAAUUUGGAGAGAACCCAUAAUAAAAAAUAAUUUAUGUAUUUGAGAAGAAAAAUGCGAUGAAAAAAAUUUUGAGACAUAAAUGUAAUAAUGUGUAAAAUUAAGUUAUGAAUAUUUUAUGCAAUUAAAAUGUAGUCUAGUUAUUAAAAUUUGUGGUGUGAAUAUGUUAAGCCAUUCUAGAAUUGUGUCCAACACAUUAUUUGAAAAUUAUGUUUAAAUGCUUGUUUGGAAUAGUAUGAAAAGUUGCCAGAAAGUUGAGAUCAAAAUCAACAAUUAAUUUUAAUCAUACGUUAAAUGAUCCAAAUUUUUAUUUAACUUUUCAAUCACAUAUAUUGUCAACUUCUAUCUAAAUCUACUAAAAUUUUUAUCAAAAAAUUUUGUUAAAUAACCCUAAACUUUGACAAGUGCAAGUUUAGUUUGGAUUAACAUGGUGAAGAUCGCCACAAGAAACUACGAACCUAAGGAUAAGAGACGUAAGGAAUAUCAAUAAGUACGAAAAUUGUAUAUUAACCUAUAUAUAAUCUCAAUGAUUGUGACAACAUGCGAUGACAUGGGAAUCUAGAUAUUCUAGUGAUCAAUUCGUAAGUUGUAAAUUGACUCAUGUAUGUACAAGUUUAUUUAUUAUUCAAAUUAUUUAAUUUUUUUUAAGAGAGUCGAGUAGAGGACUUUGAUGGUGAAACAACAAUCUUUAACCAAUCACGACGAGAUGAAUUUAUUUAAAUUUAAAUAAUACUAUUAUCACAUCUCUUCAACUUCUAGAGACAUUUUUUUUUCAUCAAUAGCCUCUAAGUGCAUGCACAAUUCAUUAUUUCAACAAAUUAUUUAUCUAAGUUAUGUCUUCAAUAAUCCAUUCGAUUUUAGCUUUAGCCGUGAAAAGGGUUUUGGCUUGAAGAGCCAUUUUUUGUCAAUAAAAUAAAUAGAUUCUAUAUUAAGUAUAUUUUUAUAUUUUACGUUUAUUAUUUUACUCAAUAUGUCGAUACGUGAAGAAAUUAUUUAUGUAUAUUUAUGUUUUCAAUAUGCCCCAACAUAUCUGUGCUAUGUGAACAUCUUAUAUUUAUCGUGGUAGAUUUUAUUUGAAUUCUUAAAUUUUAUCAAAUUAAGUAUGAUAUUUAAUAAUCUCAUCUACUUAAAGUAAAGAUUUAUUUCAAGACUUCCAUUAAACAAGAACAUGAACAUUCACUUAUUUAUUAUAUAAAUCAUGAAACACUCUGCAUACAACCAUGCAUGGCUUGCUACGUAAAACAUAGGGACGCUAAUCUUAAUAAAAUAAACAAACUGAAGAAAAUUAUGACAACUUCUUCUGCAGUAUAUAUAGCUUAUUCUAUUCUUCUUCCAUCGCUUUCAUUCGUCCUCAAAAAUCAUUUUCAGCACAUCCAUUUCUUCUUUAUUCUGGAAAUAUUCUCCUUCCUGCAAGAAUGGAUUGGCUUAUAAGAUUAAAACGAGUUGUUAGAAUCAACUAAAUCGAACUCUAAGACUCAAUAUGGUAUCAGAGUCAAAUAAACUCAACAAUACGAUUCCACGAUUGAUAUUUACAAACGAGUCUAGCAUUCUUGAUUUUCAUAUUGUCUGGCAAUUUUUUGUGUUGUCUGUGGUGAAGUUUAUUCCAUUAUUUUAUAUGUUUACCUUUUUACAAUCAAUUAAAGACACUAUAAUGUAUAAAAUACUUUGGAAUAUUUGUAAAAUGGAAAAUAGAUUACCCUUUCUUAGUCGUGGUGAGGAGGUGGAGGAGACUUGUACUUGUAAACUGGAGGUGGUGGGGACUUGUACUUGUAAACUGGAGGUGGUGGGGACUUGUACUUGUAAACUGGAGGCAACAAGAAAUUCUAAUAUUCAUCCAAUUAAUAAUUUGAUGGCUGUCUGUGUAAUUUUCAAUUUUAAUUAUUCCUUGAUUGGGAUCCGUUGACUCCAAAGACGUAGCACUGUACUAGAUCUUGAUAUUGUCCUAGUCAUGAUUUUAUUUUAUUUUUUAAUUAUUUUUCCUUUCACCUCUCUCCUUCACACACGUGGAUUUUGAUUUUGACUACGAAAUUUAUUAGUUUUGAGUUUUUGACACUCGAAAACGAUAUUAUAUUAAACAAAAUAACUAAAGGCAUGAUGAAGAAAAGUAAUAUAAGCAAAGAAAUAAUAUGAUUUGUUUAAAUAUUUCGGGGUAGGUGGUGGUGGUGGAGACUUGUACACAUAAGGCUUUUUUGGGGGUGGUGGUGGAGACUUGUAGACAUAGGGUUUCUUCGGUGGAGGUGGUGACUUGUACUCGGGAGGUGGUGGAGACUUAUAUACUGGAGGCGGUGGUGGUGGAGACUUGUAGAUAUAAGGCUUCUUUGGUGGUGGUGGUGGAGACUUGUAUUCAUAAGGCUUCUUUGGGGGUGGUGGUGGAGACUUGUAGACAUAAGGCUUCUUUGGGGGUGGUGGUGGAGACUUGUAGACAUAAGGCUUCUUUGGUGGUGGUGGUGGAGACUUGUAUUCAUAAGGCUUCUUUGGGGGUGGUGGUGGAGAUUUGUAGACAUAGGGUUUCUUCGGUGGAGGUGGUGACUUGUAGACCGGAGGCGGUGAAGACUUGUAUACUGGUGGUGGUGGAGAUUUGUAAAUAUAAGGUUUAUCGUCAUCUGCAUUGGUUACAAAAGGCAAGGAUAGAGCCACUAUUGCCACCAUUAGAGUGGCAAUAAGAGAAGCCAUUGUAGACAUCUUUAGUUUUAGUUUUGAUUGUGCUAAGAACCCUUACAUGCAUCCCUUUAUAUAUAGAUUAGGAUUUACCAUUUUCAACUCAUUAAUAAUUGAUUAAUUACGGUUAAAAAAGAUAAAAUGACUAAACCCAUAACUUAAUCGCUAGAUCUUGUCGGUAAUUAGUGGCUGAAAGCUAAGCAAACGAAAUAAAAUAGGUUAUAUGACUAUUCUUUGUCCAUUUGAUGCAAUAAUUCAAUGAAAAAGUCUUCCAAUUGCAAGACUUUCUUUUCUUUUUUUUUUUGUGUAUAUUAAUAUGUAUUUAUAUUUCUAAAUAGUAUGAGAAAUUUGAAAUUUUGUUGCCUAACUUUGGAUAAUGAUUGGUACAUGGUUAACGAUUCAUAUUUUGCAACCCUUUUUCUUUUCAAACGGAGCACACAGUUUUUUCCUUUUUAAGCAUAAAUUCAUUAAAAUCUACGUCGAAUUUUUACGCCACCAUAUAUAUAUAUAUAUAUAUGUAUUGCCGGGCUCUCUGUUUUCAAUUUGCCUUAAUGCAUCGUGUAUUGUAUUUGUAAGAAUCAUUGGCAAAGUCGUAAUCGCUAGAGGAAGGGGAUUUAGGCCAUCUCCAACCAUUGCACCAAAUUGCACCAAAAUUUGGUGCAAACUUCCUCCAACCAUUGCACCAUUGCACCAAAUUUUUAUUAUUUUAGUUAGUUAGGAGGCUAAUAUAAACAUUGUAAAAAGUGGUCAAGUUGUAGUACGAUUCCAAUAUUCUAGAAAGAUUGGUUAUAUUCACACCAUAUAUAUAUAUUUUUUUGAUAAAUACACCAUAUAUUAAUCAAAUUACAGUUUAUUAUCACAAUUAUAUCCUUAAACCUUUCUUCAGCACACUUUUAUUUUUAACAUUUCAUUAAUUAGAAUAUUUUGUCCUUAAUCAUCAUUUCUCAUUUCCGUCCAAAAAUAUUAUUAACAUUCUUUAAAAUAAGAAUCAAAUAUUUAAUCGCACUUUUGUAGUAUUAUUUAUUUUGCUUAUUCAACAAUACCAUGGGCAAAUGAGUCUUUUGACUCUAUCUCAAGGAAAAAUUUGGAGAGAACCCAUAAUAAAAAAUAAUUUAUGUAUUUGAGAAGAAAAAUGCGAUGAAAAAAAUUUUGAGACAUAAAUGUAAUAAUGUGUAAAAUUAAGUUAUGAAUAUUUUAUGCAAUUAAAAUGUAGUCUAGUUAUUAAAAUUUGUGGUGUGAAUAUGUUAAGCCAUUCUAGAAUUGUGUCCAACACAUUAUUUGAAAAUUAUGUUUAAAUGCUUGUUUGGAAUAGUAUGAAAAGUUGCCAGAAAGUUGAGAUCAAAAUCAACAAUUAAUUUUAAUCAUACGUUAAAUGAUCCAAAUUUUUAUUUAACUUUUCAAUCACAUAUAUUGUCAACUUCUAUCUAAAUCUACUAAAAUUUUUAUCAAAAAAUUUUGUUAAAUAACCCUAAACUUUGACAAGUGCAAGUUUAGUUUGGAUUAACAUGGUGAAGAUCGCCACAAGAAACUACGAACCUAAGGAUAAGAGACGUAAGGAAUAUCAAUAAGUACGAAAAUUGUAUAUUAACCUAUAUAUAAUCUCAAUGAUUGUGACAACAUGCGAUGACAUGGGAAUCUAGAUAUUCUAGUGAUCAAUUCGUAAGUUGUAAAUUGACUCAUGUAUGUACAAGUUUAUUUAUUAUUCAAAUUUCAAAUAUGGUGCAACACUAUUCAUGUUGCACCAUUUUGCACCAAAUGGUGCAAUGUCCAUUUUACCUUUAUUUUUCUUUUUUCAAAGUUAAGGGUUAAGGGCAUUUGUGUCAUUUUCGUUCUAUAAUAAUAAUGAUAAUGAUAAUGAUGAGAAUAAUAAUAAUUACUUAAUUAAUUAUACUCUUAAUUAUAUUAUUAAAAUUUAUUAUUUUUAAUAAUAUAAUCAAUAAUAAUUAACGUAAUUGUUAAUUUAACGUACAGUUAAAUUCGUAAGGUUUACGUUUAAAAUUUAAUUUAAUGUAGAGUUUAUAUUAUUAAAGUUCAUUAUUUUUGUAAAUUUAACGUAAUUGUUUAUCAUAAAUUAAUAAUAUAAUCAAUUAUUUUUGUCAAUUUAACAUAAUAUAUAUGACAUGUAAUAAUAUAGUAAUCAAUAUAUUUGUUAAUUUAGUGAAGUUAUGAAUUAGUAAUAUAUAUAGUUAUAAAAUAAAUAAAUAAAUAAAUAAUAUUUUAAAAUAAAUAUAUUGUCAAAAAUCGAAAGAAUGAAUAAAAUAAUAAAGUACUGUUCAUUUGGUGUAAAUUUUGGUGUAAUGGUUGGAGAAGAAUUUUGGUUUGGUGCAAGAUUUAGUGCAAAAUUUGGUGCAAAAUGAUGCAAAAUUUGGUACAGGGUUGGAGAUGACCUUAGGAUUGCAAAAUAUGCUUUUUAAAAAUAAAAAGUCUCUUUGAAAUACUUUAAAAUAUUAAUCACCAGGUCAUCUACCGCUUCCCGAAGUGAGGUCCCACUAUGAUCCGACAAUUCUUGAAGUAGUUAAUAAUUCCUUGCUUAAUGAAAACAUCGUCCCACUUACCCUUUUGUGGAGCUUCCGUCCCUUCUAGAGAAAAGAAUGAUAGUUUUAAAAGUUUUAGCUUAAAAUUUUUAGUUUUUCUAGCGCCCACUUUGUUAAGGGAUAUAAUUCCGCAUCGAAUAAAGAUGAAAAUAUUGACCACUUUAUAAGGGGGUUUGAGCUACUCCUCUUAACGAGGUUUACCUUUUAAGAUGGAACCCUAAAUCUUAACAUGAUAUCAGAGUCCAUUAUAUUUCAACGAGAUCUACUAAAAAAAGAGCCACUAUCUUGCGGGACAUGUUAAGGGAUAUAAUCUCAUAUCGAAUAAAGACGAAAAUAUAGAUCAAUUUAUAAAGAUUUGUGCUACUUCUCUUAACAAGCUUGACAUUUUAAGAUUCAACCUCAAGUCUUAACACAUUUAUCUUCCACUACUAAUAGACUUUUUUUUUUUUUUUUUUAAAUCAAAACGGAAAAGUAGCCCUUACAUUUAACUUGUAAAUUAGAAAAUAGAAUUUAAGUAUAUAUAGUGCAUUAUAUUUUCUAACAAAUGCACUGAUGAUAGAGAGAAUCAAAGAAAUUAGAGUCGAAAUAAUUUUAUAUAAUCGAAUCUAAAAAAUUUAUCAAGAAUAAAUUUUUAUUUAUUUAUUUAUUCUUUCGACCUUUAAUUAAUAUUGACCGAAAAAAAAAAAAAGCAUCUAGUUGAUCCGUCUACGCAAGAUGGUCACAUAAAAUAACGAAUCUUAGUUUCUAAAAUUAGGUGAAGACUUAAUCAAAUUAAUUAAUUAUCAGGAUAAACAUUAAAUUUAUUCAUGAAGAACUGGUCAUCUUAAUUUUUUCAUUCAAAUUUGAUGUAAAGAUGUUUGAAACUGCACACGAUGAGCUUUUCUAAGGAAGAAAUAGUCAUCUUAAUUUGGUAAUAAAUAAUUCAGUAAUAAACAUUUAAGUGAAAAAAACGUCAUUAUAAAAAAUUAAAUAGGAAACCCUCUUUAUUUACCUUUAACUCGUUUUGAAAAUCUUGGUAGAAGUUUUGCUUAUAUUGUAUAUUGUAAGAGAAAAAUAAAGCAAUGUGAACAUCUUAAAAAUUAAUCACAAUGGAAGGAAAAAAAAAUAAUCAUAGUCAAUUAUACGUGGUAUGAUUGAGAGCUAAAAUCCAAUCUAUUUAAAGGGCCCACUUUGGUCAACCUUGUAGACUAAGGGAGCUACUUGAGCCCUAUUUUUUAUUAAAAAAUAAAUUUUGUAAUAGUGAUUUUUUUUUUUUUUUUAGAAUAUUUGAUUAAAAAAAGUAAGGAAAGUUUCAUGUUUAUGUGCAAAAUUAUUUUAUUGAAAGAAUUUAAUUGAAAAUGAGUCUAAGAAAAAAAAAAUUAAAGAACGGAGAUCAAAGAAAGACUAAGCCCCGUUUGGUAAUAAUUUUUCAUCCCAAAAAAUCAAAAUUUUAACCGUUAUUUCACUAUUUCAAUCAUCAUUUUUGACUUCUUUAAUCACAAGGAGGACCUAUUUCCUCUCUAACAGUCAAAAAAUCACUUCUCAUAAUUAUUACCAAACAUACCGUAAAACUGCAAAUUUUGUUUGAUAAUUUACUUUUUUUUUUUUUUUUUUUUUUUUUUUUUUGAUUAGUUAAUUUAAUCACCGACAGAACCAAAUUAUUAGAUUAGCAUAAUAAACAAUAUUAUUAGGUUUUUUUUUUUUUAUAAUAAUUCUUUGUUAACAAUCAAUAUAAUAUCGUGCCAUUGAUAGUCGGUACAACAGUGUUAGCAAGUUGUGCCAAGUUGAAAUUUCAAAUAUAUACUUUUGCAAUGUUUUCUUUACUAUAGAUUAAAUUGAAUUAUUCGCUUAUUUGCUUAGUGAUAUUAUUAGUUUAAUUACUCUUUAAUCACCGACAAACAAAGAUUAUCUUAAUCAUCUAAUCUUAGAUUAACAUAAUAAAAAAAUAUUAGUAGGUAGCACUUUGUUAACACUUGAGAUUUGAGUCGACAAUGUGAACUACUAGCAUCCUAGGUCAUUUACUUAAACAUAUAAUUUUUCUUUUAAUAUGGAAGAUCAAAUCUUAAUAAAGGGCAAUCCCAUAAUAUUUUAUUGUAUUACAUAAAAAUAAAAAGGGUGGUCAUAUUGCCACUGUAUUUUUUAUUUGAUACACCACAUUUUAAUUGCAAUUAAACUCCUCAAUUUUUUACUCAUUUUAUCAUUUAUUUCUUUAACAUUUUUAUUGAAUUUUUAUCUUUAACUUUUCAUUAAUUAAUACAUCUAGUCCUUAAUGAUAAUUUAUAUCAAAAUAUUUUAUUUUUAUGAUUUGAAACGAGGGGAAAAUAUUUUUGACACUUUUAUUUAUUUAUUUUUAAAAAAAUAUGAUAGAAAAUAAGUUAAUCUACGCAAUUUCGAUGAACUGUUGGACAUAAAACUAUUAUUACAUUUUUAUUUAACUUUUCGACCACAUAUAUUGUCAACUUCUUUCUAAAUCUACUAAAAUUUUUUAUCAAAAAAUUUUGUUAAAUAACCCCCUAAACUUUGACAAGUGCAAGUAAAGUUUGGACUAACAUGGUGAGGAUGGCCACAAGAAACUACGAACCUAAGGAUAAGAGAUGUAAGGAAUAUCACUAGUACGAAAAUUGUAUAUUUAGCCUAUAUAUAAUCUCAAUGAUUGUUACAACGUACGAUGAACAUGGGAGUCUAGAUAUUCUAGUGCUCAAUUAGUAAGUUGUAAAUUGACUCAUGUAUUUACAAGUUUAUUUAUUAUUCAAAUUAUUUAAUUUUUUUUAAGAGAAUCGAGUAGAGGACUUUGAUGGUGAAACAACAAUUUUUAACCAAUCACGACAAAAUGAAUUUAUUUAAAUAAUACUAUUAUCACAUCUCUUCAAAUGCUAGACACAUUUUUUUUUUUUUCAUCAAUAGCCUCUUAGUGCAUGCCCAAUUCACUUUUUCAGCAAAUUUAUUUAUCUAAGUUAUGUCUUCAAUAAUCCAUUCGAUUUUAGCUUUAGCCGUGAAAAGGGUUUUGGCUUGAAGAGCCAUUUUUUGUCAAUAAAAUAAAUAGAUUCUGUAUUAAGUAUAUUUUACGUUUUGUAUUUUACUCAAUAUGUCAAUAUCUAAUUCCAAGAAAUUAUUUAUGUAUAUUUAUGUUUUCAAUAUGCCCCAACAUAUCUAUGCUAUGUGAACAUCUUAUAUUUAUCGCGAUAGAUGUUAUUUGAAUUCUUAAAUUUUAUCAAAUUAAGUAUGAUAUUUAAUAAUCUCAUCUACUUAAAGUAAAGAUUUAUUUCAAGACUUCCAUUAAACAAGAACAUGAACAUUCACUUAUUUAUUAUAUAAAUCAUGAAACACUCUGCAUACAACCAUGCAUGGCUUGCUACGUAAAACAUAGGGACGCUAAUCUUAAUAAAAUAAACAAACUGAAGAAAAUUAUGACAACUUCUUCUGCAGUAUAUAUAGCUUAUUCUAUUCUUCUUCCAUCGCUUUCAUUCUUCCUCAAAAAUCAUUUUCAGCAUAUCCAUUUCUUCUUUAUUCUGGAAAUCUUCUCCUUCCUGCAAGAAUGGAUUGGCUUAUAAGAUUAAAACGAGUUGUUAGAAUCAACUAAAUCGAACUCUAAGACUCAAUAUGGUAUCAGAGUCAAAUAAACUCAACAAUACGAUUCCACGAUUGAUAUUUACAAACGAGUCUAGCAUUCUUGAUUUUCAUAUUGUCUGGCAAUUUUUUGUGUUGUCUGUGGUGAAGUUUAUUCCAUUAUUUUAUAUGUUUACCUUUUUACAAUCAAUUAAAGACACUAUAAUGUAUAAAAUACUUUGGAAUAUUUGUAAAAUGGAAAAUAGAUUACCCUUUCUUAGUCGUGGUGAGGAGGUGGAGGAGACUUGUACUUGUAAACUGGAGGUGGUGGGGACUUGUACUUGUAAACCGGAGGUGGUGGUGGUGGGGACUUGUACACAUAGGGUUUCUUCGGGGUAGGUGGUGGUGGUGGAGACUUGUACACAUAAGGCUUUUUUGGGGGUGGUGGUGGAGACUUGUAGACAUAGGGUUUCUUCGGUGGAGGUGGUGACUUGUACUCGGGAGGUGGUGGAGACUUAUAUACUGGAGGCGGUGGUGGUGGAGACUUGUAGAUAUAAGGCUUCUUUGGUGGUGGUGGUGGAGACUUGUAUUCAUAAGGCUUCUUCGGGGGUGGUGGUGGAGACUUGUAGACAUAAGGCUUCUUUGGUGGUGGUGGUGGAGACUUGUAUUCAUAAGGCUUCUUCGGGGGUGGUGGUGGAGACUUGUAGACAUAAGGCUUCUUUGGUGGUGGUGGUGGAGACUUGUAUUCAUAAGGCUUCUUCGGGGGUGGUGGUGGAGACUUGUAGACAUAAGGCUUCUUUGGUGGUGGUGGUGGAGACUUGUAUUCAUAAGGCUUCUUUGGGGGUGGUGGUGGAGAUUUGUAGACAUAGGGUUUCUUCGGUGGAGGUGGUGACUUGUAGACCGGAGGCGGUGGAGACUUGUAUACUGGUGGUGGUGGAGACUUGUAAAUAUAAGGUUUAUCGUCAUCUGCAUUGGUUACAAAAGGCAAGGAUAGAGCCACUAUUGCCACCAUUAGAGUGGCAAUAAGAGAAGCCAUUGUAGACAUCUUUAGUUU